rnacentral:lncRNA from 1 species
CUUUCUUUUCUAUAACUUAUUAUGCCUCCUAAAAUAAAAAAAUAUGCAUCUGGAUAUGAAAAACGUAAGAAAAAACAAAAAAUUGAAGAAGAUAAUAAAACUCAAGCAGGAUCUAUGGAUAAGUUUAUAACAAAAAAAACACAAAACUUUACGAAAAAUGAAACACAAAAUGUUAAUGAAGCUAAUCUUGAUAAAAUGAUAAUGUUGAUGUUGAUGUUGAUGUUGAUGUUAAUGAUAAUGUUGAUGUUGAUGUUAAUGCUAAUGUUAAUGUUAAUGUUAGUGAUAAAGUUGAUUUUAAUGAUAAUCCUAAUGUUGUUGUUGAUGAUAAUGUUGAUUUUCACACUUUUGAUAUAUUUGAUCCAAGAAAUCGGGAUGCUCUUGAUUCUAGUAUGAUAAAUAUUUUAGUGUUGAAAGGUCCUAAAAGAGAUUUGUCUCUUACAAAAGGUCCUAAAGAUAAAUAUUUAAGAAGAUUUUCUGCAACAUAUUAUACUAAAACUUUACCAAAUGGGGAAAAAUGUGAUAGAGAUUGGCUUGUUUAUUCUAAAGAAAUUGAUAAAAUUUUUUGUUUUUGUUGUAAAAUAUUUCGAAAAGGGUGUCGGAAGGGUCAAUUAGCAAAUGAGGGUUUUAGGGAUUGGAUACAUCUUAACACUAGAAUUAAAGAGUAUGAAACUAGUAUGAAACAUGUUAAAACUAUAAAUACUUGGUAUGAUUUGCGUUUAAGAUUACAAAAAAAUGAAACUAUUGAUAAUGCGGCUCAAAAACAAUUAGAAAAAGAAAAAGUUCAUUAGAGACAAGUUUUGUUGAGAAUUAUUUCUAUUGUGAAAUUUCUUGCUAAACAUAAUCUAGCUUUUCGUGGUACUAAUGAGAAAUUGUAUGAAGAUAACAAUGGAAAUUUUUUAGGCUUAUUUGAAAUGUUGGCUGAAUUUGACAUGGUUUCUUAUGACCAUAUACAACGUAUUACAAAUGAAAUUGGUAUCCAUAAACAUUAUCUUGGGCAUAGGAUACAAAAUGAAUUAAUACUUUUGCUUUCUUCAGAAAUAAAGUCUAUGAUUAUUAAAAAGAUAAAAAAUGCAAAAUAUUUUUCUAUAAUACUUGAUUGUACUCCUGAUAUAAGUUACCAAGAGCAAAUGACUAUUAUUUUAAGAUGUGUAGAUGUCUUGUCAAAUGUUGUUUGCAUUGAAGAGUCUUUUUUAGGGUUUUUAGAUGUAAAUGAUACAACCGGCCAAGGACUCUUUGAUGUUUUACAAAAUGAAUUGAAUUUGCUUGAUCUUGACAUUAAUAAUAUACGUGGCCAAGGUUAUGAUAAUGGAUCAAAUAUGAAAGGAAAACAUCAAGGAGUGCAAAAAAAGCUUUUAGAUAUAAAUUCAAGGGCUUUUUAUACUCCUUGUGGUUGUCAUAGUUUGAACUUAACUUUAUGUGAUAUGGCUAAUACUUGUGGUAAAGCUAAAGGUUUUUUUUGGAACAAUACAACGUAUCUAUACAAUUUUUGCAAAUCCCACUAAGAGAUGACAAAUUUUAAAAGAUAAUGUGAAAGGGGUAACUCCUAAAUCGUUGUCAUCCACUCGUUGGGAGAGUCGUGUUGAUAGUGUUAAAGCUAUAAGAUUUCAUAUACAAAAAGCUUUACUUCAAGUAGCCAAAAAUGAUAAUGAUCCAAAAAUAACAAGUGAAGCUAAAUCCUUAGCAAAAAAUGAACUUGACAACUUUGAGUUUAUAUUGGCAUUAGUAAUUUGGUAUGAAAUGUUAAACACUAUUAAUUUAAUUAGCAAACAAUUGCAAUCAAAAGAUAUGUUUAUUGAUGUUGCUAUGGAAAAAAUAAUGGGGUUAAUUUCGUAUUUUAAGGAAUAUAAAGAAAAUGGGUUUUUAAAUGCUUUACAAACCGCAAAAGAUAUUGCCUUAGAAAUGGGGAUCGAUCCAAUAUUUCCUAAAAAACGUGAACCUAAAAUAAAAAAACAUUUUGAUGAGAUUUCAAACGACACUUCUUAUAGUUUUUCACAAUCCGCCCAAGAGAAAUUUAGAGUUAAAUAUUUUAUUUAUAUUGUUGAUCAAGCAAUUAGUUCUUUAACUACAAGGUUUGAACUAUAUCAAUAAUAUGAUAAAAUAUUUGGCUUUUUAUUUAAUUCAGAAAAAUUGCUUUCAUUAGAUGAUAUAACAUUAAAGUCUUGUUGUAUGUCUCUUGAAACUUCACUCAAGAAAGAUGAGCAAUCGGAUAUUGAUGGAAAUGACUUAUAUGUUGAAUUAAAAUUACUUUUACAUCUCUUGCCUAAGGAAAAAUUGACAGCAAUUGAUAUUCUAAAUUUUUUAAAACGUGUUGAUUGUUUUCCUAUUACAUCUAUUACAUAUAAAAUUAUGUUGACUAUUCUUGUUACUGUUGCAUCUGCAGAACAGAGUUUUCCAAAAUUGAAGAUUCUGAAGUCCUACUUAAGAUUUACAAUGACUCAAGAACGACUUAAUGGAUUGGUUUUGAUGACGAUUGAGCGUAAUAUGUUGGAUAAAGUUACUUAUGAAGAUGCUAUUGAAAAAGUUUAUUUCAACGAAUAUUAGGAGGAUGACUGUUUUCAAGUAGAAGCUAAUUUUUUUUUGUAUUAUUUUGAAUGAAAUUUUAAUUUUAUGUAUUUGCAAUAGAAAAUUAAACUAUAAUUUUUUUUUUGCUUAAAUUUUGAGAUCUUUCAAAUUUUAGAGCCUAUUUUUUGUUAAAUCGCACAUGGUCUUCAAUAUCUCAGGGCCGGCCCUGCCAUGUAGACCGAGACCCCUACUUGUAACUAACCUUUUCGGUCCUAAUAGAUACACAUGUAAAAAACUAAUAACUACUAACUAACUAUUAAUUAUUUAAUAUAAAAUACAAAUAGAACAUCAAUGAUAAAUAUUAAAAGGGUGUUGCUAAAUUGACACCCCUUAGACACCCUAUAAACACUUUUAUUAAAAGUCAAUUUAUAAUAAACUAUUCACAAUUUACUUUUUCAAAAAACAAUGCAAAUUAACUAAUAAAAAAAUCUUAAAAAUCAAAUAAGGUUUCAACAUGAGAGAAAUUAUAUUGCAAUAAGUUUGUUGUCAGGUGAGGAAUACAAUGCAUAAAUGAUUUACAAAAUCGAAAGUUCCAGACACAAGUUAAAACUUAAAACCCUAAAAGACCACACAAAUUUCAAUCGUCGACAUACCCCACCACAAAGGCACAAACAAUCAAUGAAACAAGUGUAGAUGUAGAGGCCUUUUUCACCACAAUCACCCUUCAUCGGCCAUUUCGAAGGCCACGUGAAAUGUCACUAACGUGGCCCUCUAAAUAUCCACUACUUUGUCUUUAACCCCUCCCCCCUCCCUUAUAAAACACUCCAUCCUCCUCCUUAAUCACCAUCACCAACAACCUUCUCUCCUCCCUCAAAAGUACCACCAUCUUUUCCGACAUGGCUACUUCUUCAAUCUUCAUGGCAACUCCCAUCACACUCCUCAAGAAAACUCCCACCUUCUCCGUCAAAUGUAUGUCACAAACACCUCAAAGCGGUGAACCGGAGGUUUCAAAACCAGCAACCACCCCAACACUACCACAGAUCAACAUUCCUCCUCCUCCGCCACCUGCUCCAAAGGUCAGCACGAAGUUCUCUGACGUGUUGGCGUUUAGUGGACCUGCACCGGAGAGGAUCAACGGAAGGUUAGCCAUGAUAGGGUUUGUGUCGGCGAUGGCUGUGGAACUGAGCAGCGGUCAAGACGUGUUCACCCAGAUCGGCAACGGCGGUGUUGCGGUGUUUGUCGGGACAAGUGUGGUGUUGACGUUGGCGUCGUUGGUGCCGUUGUUUAAAGGAGUGAGCGUGCAGUCGAAGUCGAGUGGACUGAUGACAUCAGAUGCAGAGCUUUGGAAUGGGCGGGUUGCGAUGUUGGGUCUGGUGGCUUUGGCUUUUACUGAAUAUGUUAAAGGCAGUGCCCUUGUCUAGAUAAUGUAGCAUAAACUUUUCUAUUACAGAAUUACAUCUAAGAUAGGCAAAUGUAUAUUCUUUUGAAUAUUUAUGUGUAUCGAUUUACCAUACAUAGUUCAAAUCAUGAAAAUCAUGUUUUUUUGAUAAUAUAGUAUAAAACAAAUAUGAUCAAUCAAAUCGAACGAUUGUGGUAUCUUUCAAUAUAAAAUUCUUUUUACAAAAAUAAACAAACAACAUACUAAGAUAAUUUUUUGAGGAAUGAACCUAGAUUAGCAAUAUAAGAGUCAAAGUCUACAAAGAUAUUGACAUCCUAGUUUCACAACUUCCUCUUUGAAUGUUGAAGGUGAUCAUUAAUUCAGACUGAAUAUGUGGCUAAGUCCAGCCUAGUCAAUUAGCCAAUUUAAGUUGACAAGUAUCCAAAAUUCAAAUAAACUACAUGGCUCAAUUUCAAAGAAAACUGAAAAAUGACUAAUGCUCACAAAAUGAUCACCGAAUCAAUUUAGGCUAUGAGGAGUGGUCACAUUCAAACCACCGGAAAAACGCUGCAAAGUCAGUGAUAUGUCAACUCCAUCACCUUCUAAACAUUGGAAACAAUUACCACUCCGUGUCAUUUAUAUUUUCAUUUUUUUUACAUUAGAUUAAAUAAAAAACAUAAUUACUAACUUAAGUAAUCAUUUUACUAAUUAAAAAAUCAACUAAACAUAUAUUAAUUUUCAAAAUUAAAUAAACAUAUAUAGUAUAUAUAGUUGAGGGUUUAACUUAAUUCAAAGAAAAGUAAGAGGGUAUAAUAAGAUUAAAAGACAUAAUUUUAGAGACCAAAUUUGUAACUUUAGUUAAAGCAAAUAUGAAUGGUCUUCUUCACAGGUCAUUGCUCAAUACCAUUUUUUUUCUUUUACUUCGAUGGAUACAAAGGAAAAGGGAAAAAAAGGGUCAAAUAAAUGACCGUUAUUGUUCUUGCUUUCUUAUCCGUCGUCUUCAUCCGUCUUUGCACCCACAUUACACCCAAACCACCGGCCUUAGGGGUGGUGGUGUUCACGUGUCCUUAGGCCGGACACAUCAGCAAGAUGUGUGAGUUAGUCCUCCCACUCCGAUUAGCCUUAAGCACUUAUUAAAAGCUAGUCUAUUUCUUGUUAGGUUGAAAUCUAAUGUUAUCAUCAAAUCUAUACAAGAUUGAGAUUGAUAUUAUAGUAACAAUCUCCCAAAGAAAAAUAAUAUAUUUAAAAGAAUAUAUAUAUANNNNNNNNUAUAUAUAUAUAUGAAUUAUGCCCCAAGAAGUACUAUGCAUGAGUAUAAGAUUACUAUUAUCUUUGGAUCCAUUAAUUGAUAACUAAGCAUACUUCAAAGUUACUAUAUGGUCGUAUGAGACCCGCGAAUAGGAAAUUGGCUGCACCCUUGGCCCGAUUCGAAGGCUAAAACCCAAAAGAACCAUGCACAUGAUUCGAACCAAGUGCUCUAAUGCUAUUUUGCCCAACUUACAUGAACUACCUCCAUACACAUACUUAAGAAACCCAUAAUCUCAUCCAGAUAGAGCAGGAAUGCCAGAGAUAAUCGGAAUAAUACCUCAAUCAAUUACAAAAAACAUCCGCAUUAUCGGUUGAAACAAGAUCCCAUACUUGAUUGAGACUGAACGGAUUCCAUCGCUACACAACUAGCUCGAGAAGACUUCCACGGAUCUCGAAAGUUGCCUAAACCUGAGUCUGCUAUGAAAUAGGUUCCCACUCCACCAUUGAGGGUAAACACACUUGAAGCCCCAAUGGACAUAGAUCAUACUAAGCUUGAUAACAGAUCAGCCUGACCACUACAUCUCGACUGACACAAUUAAACUUCCAAGUGAACUUUUAUUGAUUGAUGAACCCCACAACCAGUGGUCGAGGACACUUUAACACUUAGUCCAGAGAAUCAAGACCACAUAGAACUGAACAUACCCACUCAUGGAAAGAUCCAUCGACCAACGUCUGCCCAACUAAUAUGAAAAUAGUAAUCCAACAACAAACUGGGAAAUCCCUCAACAGCUAAAAAUACUCAACCUGAGAAUCCCGAUUCUCCUCCACUUAGGGCUUAAACUACCAUUCACUAGCGCUAAAACCAAAUCAUAAAUCAAACCAUAUUGAGGAUAUACUCCCUUCCUAACCCUGGAAGUUACGAGCCUCUUCACUCCUUCCCCGAACUCGGAAAAAAUGAAAGGGCAUAACCCUAGCCAUUGAUAAUGACGUUCCAAACCAACAAUCAACCACUUCCAACUGUAAAACCCAAGUCAAUCUUAAUCAUCGUCCCCUUCACGAGUCCCGCGACUCGAAUACCCGACCUCAAGCAAAACCCCCGAGGCCUCAAACAAAAAAGCUCCCUAGGUCUGCACCAAACAAACAAAAUCACUAACGCCACUGGGGCUCAAAACACUUACCAUAUCCAUCCGCAUGUCGGAGCAUCCACAAGCAAAAUAUUAACAGGAACAUAAACACUGCCGCGAAUCAUGGUAUCCAACCAUGCUAUCUUCACCGACCAACCCUUAGAAUCCCCAAAACCUUCCUUGAUUAGAUUAUGGAUCCUGUGCUUCAAGUAGUACUGGCCCAAUACUACCUUCCAUACCUAUCCAUACUUUCCUCAAGAAUCAUCCCAAGUCUUUUAAGUCCUAGUCAUAAAAUACUCCUGAAACUUGCUUAACAAUGAAGCAACCACGCUAAAAUACUCACCUACACUCCCUCUGCCAUCAACUGCUGAUAAACCCCUACCAAUGCCAGCUAACCACUUCAUGAAUACAAUUACACACAACCAAGCUUAAAUAAUCCUUCGAAUAAAGGGCUUAGCCCUACAACGAUUGGACUCAAACGAGAGCUGCACAAUAGGUUUGAGUCCUUCAUUCUAAGAUUAUUUAACCUUCAUAGCAUGUAAUUUUAUUAUAUUCACUUGAUGGUUAACUCCCAUCAACAUGGGUCCCACAAAGCACAAAGCAAGCAACAUUCGGGUAGAGAAGCCGACUGCGACUAAAACGCAACAAAAUCAGACAUAUCCUCAUAGAAAAUCCUCGAUCUCAAACUCCUCGCACCACGAGUGCGCCUUCACCCUGCUCUCACUCUCCCCAGAGUGGUUAAUCAUUCCUCGUGCUUACCCGCUAUACACUGCACCCACUCAUGAAACUUCCACCAACCCUACAACACUCGUGUAUGCUAGCCGUACAUAACACUGGAUCCUAUAGACAGUCGAAUAUCUGAUCCUACUCUAAGCCCUUCAUCAAACAAGAACAUGAAAUAAGGCCAAACCAAACAUUCUCAGGCUAUAGAAUCUUAGUUAUGUACAACUAUGAUGUAUACACUAAGUAACUGUAGUAGAUGAUGUCAAUUUCAUUUAAGGAAGAACCCUAGGCUAUCAGACAUCAUAUAAUCAUGCAACUUUGUCAUGCAAUUCCUGAAGAUCCCUAGCCUAUCACUACCAUGCUAUUCUAAUAUUUCACAAGAUCAAAUAAAGUGUGGUAAUUUGGGGUCUACUUACUAGCUCCGACUGAUCAUACACAUCGUAUCCUCUUUAGUUUGAAAGUUAUUUUUAAAACCUUUACUUUGAAAAUUACUUUUUUUAAAACACCUUUUCCUUAGUUUGAGACCGGAUUCACACGAGUUUUCCUCCCAUUCACUCAAACCAAGGCUCUGAUACCAACUAGUAACGUCACAAAAAUUUCAACAAAUCUAAACCUUUCAAAACAACCCAUAUGUUAACAAAAGUGAUUUGAUCCGCAGGCACUCUGCACGCCUUGAACUCCCGUAAUGAGGGAGUUCGAGCCCCAAUCUGACCCACAGUGAUCUCAGAUCGGAAAGAACAAUCCGCUCCUCCAUAUCCUCCAUGAUCCCCUCCUUGACGGUACUGAACCCGAUCUCGAACCUGAACCUCCUCGCGUAGCCAUCAUAAUCUUCAACUGAAAAUACAACAUAGAAAGAAAUUGAUAAGGAAGUUCAAAGGGAUUUCUCCCCACUGGACUCCUUAAAGCCUUCAGGUAUGUCCUUGUCUCGGGUACAAGUCUUGUGCUUUUAGUAGUACGGACCAAAUACUACCUUCCACACCUACCUGUACAUUCCCCCAAGGCCAUACCUGAUACCUCCAAUUCACCAAACCAUAGAUAAAACAUGACCUACGAAACACAGCACAUACACAUAUCUUAGAAUCUUCGGGGAUUUCUCAAUCCUCAUAGAACCAGAAACCUCAAUCAACACCGCAUGUUGCCUUAUGCAUGCAAGUUAUACAUUAAUAGAAUCAUAGAGACUGUCAAAUAAAGUUUCUACCCUAAGACCACAACCAAACAAGGAACAAGAAGUAAGGCAGAAUCCAUCGUUCUAGGGCUAUAAAAUCCUAAACAUAUACAACUUUGAAAGCAUACACUUAGCAAAUAACAACGUCAACAUCGAUUCCAAGCAUUAUAUUCAUAGCAUUGAACUCUCCUAGGCUACAAGGCAUCUCACAAAUCAGACAAUUCUCAUAACACCUAAAGGUAUCCUUAGCCCUAUUCUAGCAUGCAUUUCACACAUUAACAUACUAGUUGCAAUUCAUAAGCAUGGUUAAAUUUUUGGAAACACUUACUUGAGCUUGGCUGAUUUCGCGCAUUGCGCUCUCCCUUUUUACUUAAGAAAACCGGUUUAAGAAAAACUUGACUUUUGUUUCUUUUUUUAAAAAGGUUUACCAUUUCCUCAGUUUGAGUUGUGACACAUAGUGUGCCCGAAUUCCUCAAACCAAGGCUAUGAUACCAACUUGUAAAAGCCCAAAAAUCCAGAUAAAAAUUUUCAUUUAAAAAAAAAUAGAAAUUACAAUCAUAAUUUGUUUCUUAAAAUCCAUUACAUCAUUUCAUAUCAAAAUAUCAGAGUAUCAAUAUCAAUAAAUGAGGAAAUUCUUGGGAGUGAAUGUUGCGCCAUCUAGCUAGGCCCUUCCCCUUAGUACCGAAAGUACCUGAAAACACCUAAAUAAACUGUAAGCAAAAACUUAGCGAGUUCCCAAAAUACAACAUAACAUAUAACCACAGAAUACCACGCCACAUACAUAAGAUUGCCAUGGACAACCCCAUGGUCUUUACUUGGAAUGCCAUGGGCUACCCCAUGGUAUUUACCUAGAAUGCCAUGGGAUACCCCCAAGGUCGGAUAUCCAAGUGCCAUGUGCUACCCCAUUGGUCUUUACCUGGAAUGCCAUGGGCUACCCCCAUGCUCUAAUAUCCAAGUGUCGUGCGCUACCCCCAUGGUCUUCAUAUAAGUGCCACAGGCUACCCCCGUGGUCUUCACAUAAUGAAUUGCAUAAAAACUAUCAAUCCACAUGUCAGGCAAUGGGCCGCCAUUGGUGCCUUCGACCCAUUGAUAUAGUGAGAAGACUCACCUCAGACUGCUGAUAAAAAUACUGCUCGGCUAACGCUCUAGAUAUCUGACACUGAAUAUACACAAGUUAACCUAAUUAGAAUUAAGUCACAAACUCAAGGCCUAGGCCAAAACCCUAAGUACAAACUCCUCCAAUAAGGCCCAAAGUCUUUUUCCUUUAAUGGGCCUAACAUCCAAGAUCCAAAAAGGGGCAUAAGGCCCAAAAGGCCUAGCCAUGCCACUUAUGGUCCAACAACAAGUUCAAAGGCCCAAAUACUAUAAUAGAUCCAGGCCCAAGUCUAAGUAGAGCCCAAAUAGCUUAAAGGCCCAACAAAAGCCCAAAACUCAUUGGAAGCGUACGCCCAACGUACAUCAUCAGUACGCUUAGCAUACUGGGUUCUUUGGCGGUUAGCGUAGUGUACAAGCUAGUAUGCCCAACGUACAAGCUACUUUGCACAAAAAGCCAUUAAGUGCUUAAUUCAUGAAGCCAUUUCGUCCGAUUCCAGAUCUUGGUCAUCUUAAAGGUCCUAGGGCAUAAAGAUGGUAACUUUAUGUGUUUACAUGCCAUAUGGGAACCCAACACCUGAUUUUAUCCAUUAAGACUCCCUUUAAGAUCUUAAACUCAUGCAUGGUGCCAUAACAACCAUCAAGUUAGCAUUUUUAUGCUUUUAACAUGCCAAAGGAACUAGGAUCUAACAUUUAUAAUCUCUGGAGUUGUUCAAACUUACAAAAGAGGAUCCAUGGACCAAAAAUGGACUUAUUACCAAACCCUAACUCAAACUAGCGAAAGGAUAAGCAAGUUCUGGACUUUUUACCUCCAAAAGUUUUCCAAGAUGAAGUAGAUGCAGGAUCUAGAAGCUCAAACACGUCUAAGAGUUGAUCACAACCUUCUCCUUCUUACACACACAUUAAAAUAGCCACCAAAAUCACUUUUAAGCUCAAGAAUCACACUCACUUGCAAACUAGGGUUUAGGGACGAUAAGAGGCAAUAAAAGCUAUGUAGGGUUAGGUCCAAAUGUCAUAAGAGUGUUAAAAUAGGGUUCAUGCGCAAAAAUUAGGGUUUUUGUCAUAUGCCACGUACUCCUCGCAUACAUGGUGCAUGUACGCAUCUAAACCACCCUAGUACGCUAAGCGUACACGUAUGUACGCCCUGUUGGAUUAGUGUUUAAGUCCAUAACUAUAUUUGGUAUGUAUUUGACCAGGUUGUGCAUGGUCCUUUUAGGUUGCCUUCACCGAAGCAACUUGACUAGAGGAAUUAUAUAGAAAGAGGUGAUUAUGGUUUAUUAAUAUAUUAUAAGAUUUAUAUAUUAAAAGAGAAAUCAUGUUUGAUUAAUUAACAUUGGUCAAGAGUUAAUUAAACAUUAGUUUUGUGAUCAAAAGAAGUUAAUUGAACUUAAGGGGCUGAACUGUAAUUAUGUGAUAGUUACAAAGUUAGGCAAGGAAACCCUAAUGGAUAGGGUGGAUGAAUUCUAGGGAUAUAGCCUUAAGAAUUCGCCCAUGAUAGGGAUUCUAGAAUUAUCUUAUGGGCUGCUUGGUGGCUAAGUAACCAUAUAAGAAUAAUGAAUGAAACCCUAAUUCCUAAACCUAUAUAAAGGACCCUUGGUCAUGGGAAUUUCGGCAACUUGAACCCUAGAAGUCCUAGAGCCGAAAUUCUCCUCUUCCCUCUCUUGCUUCCUCUAAUUGCUAUUGGUGUUUGUUAUUAAUUAGAGGCACAACACUUGAGGUGCUAAAGUUGUCAAGGCUUCAAGAUCUUCAAUCAACAACGAGGUAAGCAUCUUGAUAUACUUUGCUAAGUUAAUUUCAAUUAUAUACACUAGAUCUAGGGUUUGAAAGUCUUGGAUGAAUGCACGUACAAUUAGAGAAACCUAGAUCCAAGCAUUAGGGUUUGCAUGAGCACAUAGGAUGUUCUUUUGGCUCAAACCUAUCAGUGGUAUCAGAGCUUUUGUUUGGUUUCUAUUGUAUUGAUGCCUUGCUUGUUCAUCCUCUCUUGAAAAUCGUGAUUUUGUGUUCUCUGCCUGACGAACUCGAUGAGUCCCAAUGUGGGCUCGACGAGUAGGAUGAACUCGACGAGUCCAUAAGGGCACUCAACGAGUCGGAGCGUCAGACAUAGAUUUUCGGGAUUUCUUGUUGUUUUGCUUAAUGAUAAUUACCUAAAUCGUUUUUGACUAAUAAAAUCUGAAUUUUAUUACUGCUUUAUGUUUAUCCUUUCCAAAACAAAAGAUAAUUUCCAUUUAUUUGAAUAAUAAAUUCCUUAUAUGAUAAUAAUUGAUUAUUUAAAUUAUUUGUUGAAUUAUCUUAUGAAUAAAAUUGAUUAGGUCAAAUUUAGAUAAUCAUUAAAUUAAUUGUUUAAUUUAAAUUAUUUGCUAUUUGAUCCUUUAUGUUUUGAAAAGUUCAAAACUUGUCCUCAAGUUUUGAAAUUUAAAUUUGUGAUUAAAAGUUUAAUUUAAACUAUUUAAAUUUCAAACCCUAGAAUUUUACAAGUUUAAAAUUCAACCUUAUACUUUACAAUANUUAAACGCUAGUCUUACUGUUAGUAGGCCUCAUUCACGAAGCCGAUCUAGAAGGAGGUAUAAGGUUAUGACCUAUAAAAUGGCCAUUUAAUGGGUGUCCACUCUCACCCACCACAUCCUUGAUUGGUGGAGGGUCGUUAGCCGAACGGGUAAGAUAGGGCAACCCUUUCUCAUGAAUAAGUAUAAUGAAUUAUAAAAGUAACUAAAUGUUUUACAAAAUUCCCAAUCUUAAUUACUUUAGGCAAAAGUGAAAUUGAUGCAAUUCCAUUAAAUUACAUUUUGUACCCGUGCUAAGACGUUAGUGGAGCGUGUGUGGUUAACUGGCACACUAAUUCGGUUCUAAGAAAAGGUGGUAAAGGGUGACUCAUUGUUUCUCAUUGUUCGAUGGAGCAUGUGUGGUUAACCAGCACAUCGAAUAGGUGACUGUAACAAUGAGGGCACCAUGUAUAUUUGCAUGGUUAUUCAUACCCACUUUGUGAUCCUCAGCAUCCCAGUCACAAACUAGAGGGGCAUAUCAAGAUUUAUACAUGCCAUUGAAAAGUUCAAUGAAUCUCAAAAUAUCUAGGAGUUUUCAAUACAUUUAAAACUUAAUCUCUUUUUCGUUUUUCAUGGUGGAGAAUUAGUGAAUCGUCAUUCACUUACCUUCAAAUUAUUUGCAUGUUAGAUUACGACACCCCUCUUCUAAUAUGUAAAUAAUGUUGUUGGAUCCUAGCCCUAAUUUCUCAUUUAGGUGUUUCAUUAGGGAUUCAUUUCUAAUCAAACUUUGUUCUUUUUCCUUUUCAGAUGUCGAACAACAACAAUGCUUCCGGAUCGUUCUCACUCAUGAACUUGUGUGGGAGAGUGAUCUUUGACGAGUCCAAUUUCAAUGAUUGGAUUCGCAACAUCCGAAUGGUCACUCGUUACGAGGACAAAGAGUAUGUCCUUGAUAAGAAGCUGAAGGAAAUCAACCUCAACACUGCUACUACUGAAGAGAUCGCCACCUUUAAGGCUCAUGAGCGUGAUGCCACGAAAGUCCAUUGCAUCAUGCUAGCGACCAUAACUGCAGAACUCCAAAAGUCCUAUGAGGACAUGUAUCCCUAUGAAAUUCAUCAAAACUUGUUGGACCGGUACCACCAAAGUGCAAGGCAAGAAAGGUAUGAGAUCAUCACUUCGAUGAUCACUACCAGAAUGGGUAAUGGAGAGUCCCUUACCGCCCAUCUGCAAAAGAUGCAGAGAUAUGUUGAUCACCUGCUAAAGUUGAAAGUUAACUUUGAUGAAGAGAUGGCAAUCGACAUUAUCCUUCACUCCUUACCUCCCUGCUACAACCAGUUCCGCAUGACUACCACAUGAAUAAGGAAGAGGUCACCUUGAGCAAGCUUCACGGCUUGCUAAGAACUGUUGAGAGCAAUUUCAAGGAUAAGUAUGUUGCAUCAACUCCAACUCCCACUGCUGCCCUUGUCUUGGAAAAAGGGCAAGGGAAGGGUAAGAAAAGGAAGGCUCCCUCAAAUAUCCACCACAAGGGAAAGUCCCAAGAUGUUACCUCUUCUAGUGGAACCAAGGCUGGUUCUGCUAAACCCAACUCUAACCCUAAUGAGCCAGAGUGCCACCACUGCCACAAAAUAGGGCAUUGGAAGAGAAGCCGCCCAGAAUAUCUGCAAGCUAUCUAGGAUGGGACGAUCAAGCCAUCCUUCGCAGGUAUUUACACUAUUAAAUCUAAUGAUUCAUCGCAUGCUAUUUCUUGGGUUAUUGAUACAGGAUGUGGUUUUCACAUAUGUUCUGAUUUGCAGGGACUAAGAAGAAAUAGGGAUGUGGAGCAUGGAAGAAUAAACCUAAUAAUGCGAAACAAAAGAUUGUCGCCUGCCACCAAUAUUGGAGUAUAUAUAUUCCUUAAUGCUUAGUAAUGGAUUAGGUUUUGAUUUAAACAAUUGCUGCUAUUCGCCAGAUAUGGCAAGAAACAUCAUUUCAUUUCAUGGUUUAUAUAGGCAAGGAUUUAGAUAUUCAUUUGAUAAUGAAAAGGGUUCUAUUUAUGCUUAUCUUAAUAGUGUUUUAUAUUUUGAAGCAUUGCCUUGUAAUGUAAUAUAUGAAACUGUGAUGGUUGUAGAUAACUUAGGAAAUGAUGUAUUGUGUGUUGAUUCUUCCAACAAUAUAGAUAAAGCAUGCUUGUGGCAUUGUCGUCUUGGACAUGUCAACAAGAAACGCAUAGCCCAACUCUAAAAGGAUGGAGUGUUGGAGUCAUUCGACCUUAGGGAUGAUGACGUGUGUGAGUCUUGUUUACUUGGAAAGAUGACCGAUGUGUGUGGGCACUUGUGAAAGGGGUGAGGGUUUAUUGGAUCUCAUACACACCGAUGUGUGUGGGCCCUUUAGAUUACCACAAAAGAUGCAAGCCACUUCUAUGUGACUUUUACCGAUGAUUAUAACAGAUAUGGGUAUAUCUACUUAAUCAAGCACAAGUCGGUAACCUUUGAAAGGUUCAAAGUGUUUAAAGAAGAAGUGGAGAAUCAUUUGGGCAGGAAUAUCAAGAUGCUUCGAUCCGAUCGAGGAGGAGAGUACCUAAGUCUUGAAUUCCAUGACUAUCUCAAGGAAUGCGGAAUCGUUUCACAAUUGACGUCACCUAGGACACCGCAGUUAAAUGGUGUGGCUGAGAGGCGUAAUCGAACCUUGUUGGACAUGGUUCAUUCCAUGAUGAUUCGUGCUUCACUACCUAUCUCAUUCUGGGGGUAUGCCUUAGAGACUGCCGCCCAUAUCCUUAACUUAUUCCCUACGAAGAAGGUUGCCAAAACACCUCACGAGAUGUAGACAGGGAAAGCUUCCUCGUUAGCACAUAUCAAGGUUUGGGGGUUGCGAGGCUUUCGUAAGACGAGAGACUCACGACAAGCUCGAACCUCGUAGUGAGUGGUGUAUUUUCACCAGCUACCCACAAAAGACCUUUGGAUAUCUCUUCUAUAGUCCGAGUGAGAACGUUGCCUUCAUUGCGAGGAGAGGGGUUUUCCGUGAGCGAGAACUCAUAAGCCUAGGGGACAGUAGGAGGCAAAUCGAUCUUGAAGAGAUUCAAGAGUUGAGCGAUGAAGGAACCUCCAACACCGGGGCUUACCCGAGGAGGAAACUCCGGUUGAACCGAUUGACGAGUCCUUACCUCUUAGACGUUCCGAAAGAGUUAGGUUUCAACCCCAGUUAUAUGGCUUUCAUAUUACUACAGAAGGGGAUACGUAUAUUAGUGAUAUUAUACUAAUAAAUUUGGAUGAACUUAACAGCUAUAAGGAAGCCAUUGCAGGCCCAGAGUCUGCAAAGUGGAAAGAGGCGACGGACAGUGAGAUUCUGUCCAAGUAUGACAACCAAGUUUGGAAUUUGGUUGACAAUGUACUAGGUCGUAAGAUGGUCUGGUGCAAAAUGAUCUUUAGGAAGAAGGUACUAAAACGUUUUGUGACAACCCGAAAUUUCCAUUUUGUACGAACAUUAGCUAUUCAAUAGAAGCUAGUCCAAUUUCAAUGAAUUUCAGACUUUUCUAAAUAAAUUUGUGUACAUUAGGGUUUACGUUUAAGGAGAUAUCAGGAGAGUGGAUGCUCAUGGGUUUGUGAAACUUGAGCAUUUCAAAACUUCAUAAUGUUAGAGUCCAAUUCCGGAAUAAAAAUAUUUUCUGCCAAAAUAUUUCAGGACUAUAAAUAGAUUUCUGAACUAAAUUCAUUCAUUAUUCACACUUCCAACUAGAGAAAAGCCAUUUUCUCUCUCACAGAUCUUCGGGUUUUCAUCCCAAAUCGUGAGUACACUUCUUUAGUUGUUUUAUAAUGCUUGUUAUAUGCUUAAUAACAUAGAUUACAUGUCAAAUAUGUGAGAUCCGGGAGUUUACCGCCCAAGAACGUUCUUGGGGAGUAAACUCGAAAAUAAAGCUUUAAGGCUAUCUAGUCCCAUUUCCUUGUUAGGUAACUAGCUUAGGAUAAUAUGUAGGAUCAUUUGAGACAAGAAAACAAUCCAGAACACAUAGCUUUAGGAGUUUUCGGCCCAAGAGUUUCUUGGACCGUAAACACCAAAUACAAGGGCUUAAAUGUGCCCUAAUCACUCCCAAAGGCUUUAGACUUUAACCCUAAAUUACUUCUAGCUAAUAUGGGGACAUUAACACAUCAAAAAAACCCCUAAAAGGGAGUUUACGGCCAAGAAAUGCUCUUGGGCCGUAAACACCAAUUAAGGGCACCAAAGUGUGCCUAGGGCCCCCCUUAGCAUAAAUCAAAUGCCUCGAAAGUAUUCUACUUGUGUUUGAGACUUGAAAGAAUUAAAACAUCCAUCCCAUGAGAGUUUACGGCCGUAAACUCUAAGGGAUAUGGCCUUUUGGCCGUAAACUCCUCAAAGGAGUGUUAUCUAUGCCCUAAACUACCCAAAGGAUUAAACCACCAAACUAGGCUUAUUCUAGAAAUCAUUUAGCACUUUAAAACACCCAUUACCACCAAGAUUGGAGUUCACGGCCGUAAACUCAAGGUUUUACGACCGUAAACUCCUUGUGUGGGGUUUAUUGGGUAGUAAACUCUUAUACAAAGUCCUUGGAAGCUUUAAACCCCUUUAGCUUGUCCCAUAACAACUUAGAUGCAACCAUUAGGACCUAUAACACUUAUACAAGGUGUUUACAUGUUCCUAAGUGUCCCAACUUAUUUCAUUAAGUUAUUAUUUGGCUAAUUAGUUAUAUAUAUGCUCAUUAUAUGAUAACUAGGCUCGUGCGUGUGAACAAGUCUCCGUUUGCCACCUAGCACGGUAUCCGACACUACAAUCCAAACCACUCACCACAAGUGAGUUCAUACCCCUUUAAUUAACCUUUGAAAUACUUUUAAAUGUUUUAAAUACUUUAUGGGGGGGAUACAAGUUAAAUGCUUAUAGUUAUUGCAUCAAUCACAUGUGAUUACAUUAAUCAUAUGUGAUUAAUAACUAGAAAACCAAUGAUCUUAUCACUGUUUAAACUGUUUAUCAAACUGUUUUACUUCAAACUGUUUUACAAACUCUUUUACUCAUCAAAUACUUUUAUUUAAACUUUGUUAUACUUCUUAUAAACCGCAUGCCCAUAUAUGUAUAGAUAUAUAAGCAAUGUUUAAAGGGUUUAGGAAGGUCAUCCGCCCUAUUUCCUUUUUCUCGAUUUGGAUGUGGUCUGGUGGGAUUUCGGGUAACCAUCCGAAGGUCGUUUCAAUAUUAAUUAUAUAUCAAAUGUACAUAUAUAGACAUAAAAGUACUCCUUNUAUACUAGGAGAAGAACAUAUACAACUAUACUAGAGGAAGAACAUAUACAACUAUACUAGAGGAAGAACAUAUACAACUAUACUAGAGGAAGAACAUAUACAACUAUACUAGAAAGAGAACAUAUACAACUAUACUAGAGGAAGAACAUAUACAACUAUACUAGAACAGUUCAUUACAUUACACAUACUAGAAUACGUUCAUUAUUGUGAUAUGAAUCGGGGCAUGACUUAAAUGCCAUGGCCCGAGUUGUAGCCAGAGUCUCUUGAAGGGAGAGCGUGAGUUUGCGUAUAGAUCUAUACUGGAUUGACUAUCCUACACCUUGCUGCUAGCUACAGCCGGACCUGCAGGUCUGCGGGUGCCAAACGUCAUUCCGUUAUUACGACCAUUCGUAUGUCGUUGUUACCAGUCGAUAGUAUGGUGCAAUUAGUCACAUGAUACCUUAAUAUAAAUCCGGUUUAAGGUAGUUAGUACAACAAUAGUUCCUAUAAUACAACACUACAGUACUACAAUAAUUUACCCAUUACAUAUAUUUAGUGAUUAUUUCACUUAAACAUUAAUGUACAAACUAUAUUUUGUUAAAUGAUAGUUACACUUGGGAAAUUACACACUUUUACAACAAACGAGCAUACAAAACAGUUAAGCCUUGGUAGAAGGCUACUUUAAUAGAAAAUAUAGGUUUUUCUGAGAGAUUCAAACUUUUACAAACACUUACAUACAUUUUACAAACUUACACUUGAGACACGUUCAAACGUUUUGAUAACAAACAUCGACACUAAAAUACUUAUGAACUCACCAGCUUAAUGCUGAUAAACUCUUUCAAAAUAACUUGUAUUCUCAGGUCAUCAAUAGACAGGUACUUAGGCCAGCUUUUGAGAAGAUGGAGCGCAUUCAAGACUCAUCUUAUUAUUUUGAUUUACAUUAUAUUUUGGUGUCUAAAACUGUACAGAACACGCUUGUAUUAAAAUUAUAUAUUUAAUGCAAUGGAUGAUGCUGUUUGCUUAUUUACAUUUACUGUGUUGUGAUACUUUACAUGACGUCCUCCGCCCCACAACGUUUCCGCCGUUCUUGGUUUUGGGGUGCGACACGUUUUAGUAUGGAGAAUUCAAAGAAGGCAGAGUUACCAAUCCAAAGUAAUGCGAAGUUGAGUACGACUCAAAGUCCGAGUACUGAAGUCGAGAUAGCAGAAAUGAGCUAAGUACCUUACGCUUCCGCAGUUGGCUCGAUCAUGUACGCUAUGACUUGUACUCGCCCUGAUGUGGCCUUCGCUUUGAGCAUGGUCAUUAGAUAUCUAGGGAACCCUAGAAAAGCACAUUGGACCGCAAUCAAGAAUAUUCUUAAGUACCAUCGAAGGACCAAGGAAUGGUUUCUAGUCCUCGGUGGGAGUGAUGACUUAAAGGUGCGAGGGUAUAGUGACGCCAGUUUUCAGACCGACAGGGACAACUACCGUUCGCAGUCGGGCUGGGUCUUUACCCUAAAUGGUGGAGCAGUGACUUGGAAAAGUUCCAAGCAAGAGACCGUAGCUGACUCAACAUGUGAAUCAUAGUACAUUGAAGCAAGCGAAGCGUCAAAUGAGGCAAUAUGGUUGAAGAACUUCAUUGGAGACCUUGGAGUUGUGCCGACCAUACAGGAGCCUAUUGAGAUUUUCUGUGAUAAUGAAGGAGCGGUUGCCUUGACCAAGGAACUGAGGGAUCACGGCAGAUCUCAACAUAUUGACAGAAAAUAUCACUUUAUUCGAUAUCAGAUGGAAAAAGGACUCCUCGUAGUGAAGUGCGUAUCGUCAGAAGAUAACCCAUCAGAUCUGCUUACGAAGGGACUGAGCAGGGUUAAGCACUUGCAGCAUGCUAGGAGCAUCGGGCUGAAGGACGAUAUUAGUUUAGAUUAGAUAGUUUGGAAACGUGUAAUAGAUAAAUUAUAAUUAACAUCUGAUGAUUAAAUAAAAGAGUAUUAUUUAUUAGUAAUGUUACUAUCUUAUGUUAAUUGUUUACCUAUUGUUUCAUUUUGCAUGUUUUGACUUCCUGAAUAAUAAGAAUUAUUUAAAUGGUCUACAGUUGUUCAUAUGUUGGAACUAGGUAUGAAUGAAGACUGUCAUGAAUUGGUGUGUAGAUUGUCUAAAGUGUAUUAGACAUAGCAAAAGUUUGCUACAACAUUCAUGAGUGCUUAUGAAAAGUUUUGAGCAUUGGAAUAAACCCAUGCUUGCUGGAAUCACUUCAUGGAAUUCAUCAUGAGUGAUCGCAAGACGAUAAUAUAUCAUAUGGUCUUAAAACAUAGAUAUAUGGUUUAUUGUUUUCUAAUUGGUUGUGCAUUGAUAAUGCGUAAACACAUCAGUAACUUGAUGUUAUAAAACGCAUUGUUGUGUAUGAUUUGAUUAGUGGAUAGUAAAUGCAUAUAAGUCUAAGUUCAUCUGUUCCUUUUAUCCUAAUAGGUUAAAAGUGAUAUCAGGACCCCUUGAUGAUUUGAUUUGACUUAUGUGUCGGGCCCGGUCAGGACUGAAUUGAUGUGUUCAAUUACGUUCUAUGUCAAAUGAAUCAGAGAUUAAGAAACAAACUGUUGGAUAAUAAGUAUGACUAUGUUCCAUGUAAUUGUCCGCAUGAUAUCUAGAACAAAGGAUUAUACGAUCCCUUAUCUUAAGGACAAGUUACUGAUAAGAUCAAGAGUUUUGAGAACUGUGAUUGCUAAUCGAAUCCAGAAGUUGCAUUUGCAUUUAUAGUUAUUAUCAAGGUUGUAAAAAAUUCUCGACGUUAGCUAGUCGGUGGACUGGGGUUAAGAGAUUAAUCGGGUAGGCGGAGAUUAAUCGGGGGAUUAAUGGAGACCAUUAAUUGAUAAUUUGUUGAAUUUUAAAAAAUUGAAUAUGACUAAUAUCAUAUCAAAGUCCGUAAGUACCACUAAUAUCAUAACAAAAUAGGUUGAUAUGUUUAAUACAACAUUAAUCAUGCUUGAAAUAGUUUCUAUUGAGAUAAAACUUCUUAAAAAUGUUUAAAUUUCAUCGUUUUAUACAGUUUUACUCAUUAUUUAUGCAUGGAUUAAUCGCUAGGUGCCAUCUAGUUGGUUGAGUAAUGCCUAGGGAUUAAUCGGAGAUUAAUCGGGACCUAGUCAUGAUUUUUACAAUAAUGGUUAUUAGACUUAUCCAAGUAGGGGAAUGUUGGAUUAGUGUCCAAGUCCAUAACUAUAUUUGGUAUGUAUUUGACCCAGUUAUGCAUGGUCCUUUUAGGUUGCCUUCACCAAAGCAACUUGAUUGGAGGAAUAAUAUAGAAAGAGGUGAUUAUGGUUUAUUAAUAUAUUAUAAGAUUUAUAUAUUAAAGGAGAAAUCAUGUUUGUUUAAUUAACGUUGGUCAAUAAUUAAUUAAACAUUAGUUUUGUGAUCAAAAGAAGUUAAUUGAACUUAAGGGGCUGAACUGUAAUUAUGUGAUAGUUACAAAGUUAGGCAAGGAAACCUUAAUGGAUAGGGUGGACAAAUUCUGGGGAUAAUGCCUUAAGAAUUCGUCCAUGAUAGGGAUUCUAGAAUUAUCUUAUAGGCUGCUUGGUGGCUAAGUAACCAGAUAAGGAUAAUGACUGAAACCCUAAUUCAUACACCUAUAUAAAGGACCAUUGGGCAUGGGAAUUUCGGCCACUUGAACCCUAGAAGUCCUAGAGCUGAAAUUCUCCUCUCCCCUCUCUCUCUUGCUUCCUCCAAUUGCUAUUGGUGUUUGUGAUUCAUUAGAGGCACAACACUUAAGGUGCUAAAGUUUUCAAGGCUUCAAGAUCUUCAAUCAACAACAAGGUAAACAUCUAGAUCUACUUUGCUAUGUUAAUUUCGAUUAUAUACACUAGAUCUAGGGUUUGAAAGUCUUGGAUGAAUGCAUGUACAAUUAGAGAAACCUAGAUCCAAGCAUUAGGGUUUGCAGGAGCACAUAGGGUGUUCUUUUGGCUCAAACCCAUCACGCCCAAUGUACGUAGGGACCUCCUUUACAAAUAAGUUUCAUUCCAAGGGUUAAAAGGGUAAAUACCUACAUUCCGAAUGUUACAUAUAGAUAGUAAAAUACUUGAUUCUACCCUAAGCCCUUCAUCAAACAAGAAAAUGAAAUAAAGCUAAACAAAAAUUCUCAAGCUAUACAAUCUUAGUUAUGUACAACUACGAUGCAUACACUAAGCAACUACAAUAAUGACGCUAAUUAUAUAUAAGAAGUAAUCCUAGGGUAUCAAGCAUCCUAUAUCAGGAAAUCCUUUCAUGUAAUUCCUGAAGAUCCCUAUCCUACCACUAGCAUGAUGUUAUAUCAUGAAAAACAUAUCAAGUAACCGUGUGGGUAACUUUGGGUAAAUUUUCUUGCUCUGGCUGAUCAUACACAUCGCAUCAUUCCUUGGUUACUUUUGAAAACAAUUUUUGAAAACCAUUAAAAGAAAACUUUACAGCUUCCUAGUUUGAGUUUGGAUUCACACGAAUGUUCAUCCAGUUCUCUCAAACCGAGGCUCUGUUACAAACUUGUAACACUCCAAAUAUCAUAGAAAAUUAAAAAUUUUAAAUUUCAACCAUUAACCAACAUUUUUUACAAAAAGAGUCAUUGCUUCAAAAGUAUUAUUCAAAAUCAUAGUUUUUCCUAAGACCUAAUAACACAAAAUAGGAAGAUGUGCACGAUCACGCCUUCUCCUUCCUACGAUCAUCCGAAGUACCUAAAACAAUAAACUGAAAUUGUAAGCCAAAGCUUAGUGAGUUCCUCCAAAGUACCAUCAUGGAACAUAUAAAAUACAUAGAUUAACAUGUUGGGUCCAUAACCUCCCAGUUGGAUUACCUUGGCUCACAACCUCCCUGUUGGAUUGCCCUGCAUACCACAUACUGGGUCCACUACCUACCGACUGGGUUGACUUAGAUGGUUUGUGGAGUUUGGCCUAUUUUGACCCAAGGAUAUUUUGGAUAAGUUGGUAGUUAUUUAAGUCGACCAAUAUUUUGGGAUAAUAGGUGUCGAGUAGAGCCGGUUGUCAGGGAAGAGAUUUAUUCAGCUUAUGUUCAGACUGAGAGGUGAGUUUUCCUCACUGUACUUACGGGUCGAAGGCACCAAGGCCGACCCAACGAAUUGAUAUCCUGUCUAUACUGAUUGAAGAUAUGUUGAGUAUGCGAUAGAUCUGAAUGAUUAUAUGAUAGUUAUGAUAUACGUUAGACUGGUAGAUCUAUAGGGCUACCUAUGAUUAUUGGUUGUAUAAUCAUCUGUAUGUUGUAUAUAUAUUAUAUGUUAUAUGCCGACAUGUUACAUUGGGGUUGAGACUACUGCUUUGUGUCGUCAGUCAACAGACCAUGUCAAUCCAAUUGGGAUGUUGUGGGCUAGGGUAAUUCAACCAGGAGGUUGUGGACACAAUAUGCUAAUCUGUGUAUUUUAUAUGUUGCAUGAUGGUACUUUGGUGGAACUCACUAAACUUUGUGUUAUAGUUUCAGUUUAUUUUCAGGUACUUCUGAUGAUCGCGGUACGAUGAAGGUGUGGUCAUGCACAUCUUCCUGUUUUGUGUUAUUGGGUCUUGGUGAAAACUCUGAAAGUCAUGACACACUUCAAAUUGAAGUAUUUCGAUGGUACAAUCAAAAUCUCUAUUGGAUAAAAUUUAGUGACAACAACAGAGAAUUAAAAGGUUACGAUUCUUGUGUGUACCAUAUUCAAAUACCCAAAAAGGGAUAUAACUCCUUGUUCGAAAUAAAGCUAAACCAAAAAUUCUCAAGCUAUAGAAUCUUAGUUAUGUACAACUAUGAUGCAUACACUAAGCAACUACAAUAAUGAUGCCAAUUCUAUAUAAGAAGUAAUCUUAGGGUAUCAAGCAUCAUAUAUCAAGAAAUUCUAUCAUGUAAUUCCUGAAGAUCCCUAGCCUACCACUAGCAUAUUGUUCUAUCGUGAAAAACAUAUCAAAUAAUAGUGUGGUUAACUUGGGGUAUACUUUCUUACUCCGGCUGAUCGUACACAUAUCAUCAUUCUUUGGUUACUUUUGAAAACCAUUAAAAAAACUUUUACAGCUCCCUAGUUUGAGUUUGGAUUCACACGAAUGUUCAUCCAAUUCGCUCAAACCAAGGCUCUAAUACCAACUUGUAACACUCCAAAUAUCAUAGAAAAUUAAAAAUUAAAAAUUUCAACCAUUAACCAACAUUGUUUACAAAAAGAGUCAUUGCUUCAAAAGUAUUAUUCAAAAUAAUAGUUUUUCCCAAGACCCAAUAAUACAAAGCAGGAAGAUGUGCACGAUCAUGCCUUCGCCUUCCCGCGAUCAUCAGAAGUACCUGAAACAAUAAACAGAAACUGUAAGCCGAAGCUUAGUGAGUUCCCCCAAAGUACCAUAAUGCAACAUUUAAAAUACAUAGAUUAACAAAAUGGGUCCACAACCUCCCAUUUGGAUUACCUUGGCCCACAACCUCCCCGUUGGAUUGCCUUGCAUACUACAUACUGGGUCCAUAACCUUCCGACUAGGUUGACUUGGCUAGUUUGUGGAGUUUGACCUAUUUUGACCAAAGGAUAUUUUGGAUAAUUUGGUAGUAAUUUAAGUCGGGCAAUAUUUUUGGAUAAUAGUUGUUGAGUAGAGUCGGUUUUCGGGGAAGAGAUUUAUUCAGCUUGUCUUCUUACUCAGAGGUGAGUUUUCCUCACUGUACUUAUAGGCCAAAGGCACCAAGGCCGACCCAAUGGAUUGAUAUCCUGUUAGGUACUGAUUGAUGAUUUGUUGAGUAUGCGAUAGAUCUGUAUGAUUAUAUGAUAGUUAUUGAUAUACGUUAGACAUGUAGAUCUAUAGGGCUACCUGUGAUUAUUGGUUGUAUAAUCAUAUGUCUAUUGUAUGUAUAUUAUAUGUUAUAUGUCAACAUGUUACGUUAGGGUUGAGACUACUACUUUGUGUCGUCAGUCAACAGACCAUGAGAAUCUAACCGGGAGGUUGUGAGCCAGAGUAACCCAGCCGGGAGGUUGUGGGCCCAACAUGCCAAUCUAGGUGUUUUAUAUGUUGCAUGAUGGUACUUUGGAGGAACUCACUAAGCUUUGGCUUACAAUUUCAGUUUAUCGUUUCAGGUACUUGUGAUGAUCGCAGGACGGUGAAGGUGUGAUCAUGCACAUCUUCCUGUUUUGUGUUAUUGAGACUUAGGAAAAACUCUGAUUGUGAAUAAUACUUUUGAAGCAAUGAAUCUUUUUGUAAACAAUGUUGGUUAAUGGUUGGAAUUUUUUUUUUUUUUUAAAUUUUUAUGAUUUUUGGAGUGUUACAUUGGUUUUGUCUUAUAACUGAUCCAAACCCCCACACACCCUUGUUAAUCAUCAAAGAAGAAUCCAAUUAGAACUAAUUCUAUUCAACAAUAACAACCAUAGGGUGUUAGAAAUCCAUUACCUCAAAUGUAGGGAUCUUUUGAUGUCUAAGAACAUUAAUCAAGAUAAAUUAAUAAGGAUAUUCAAUUAAACCAAAGGUCUUUUGGCCUAGCACUAUCAUAUGUUGGAAAAAUGACCCUUCCUAAUGUUAGAAAAACGGGUUAUUUCGAUUGCUUGGAUUCCACUGAAAGUCAUGAUACACUUUCAAAUUGAAGUAUUUCGGUGGUACAAUCAAAAUCUCAAUUGGAUAAAAUUUAGUGACAACAAUAGAGAAUGAAAAGGUUAUGAUUCUUGUGUGUACCAGAUUCAAAUGACCAAAAAGGGAUAUGACUCCUUGUCCGAAAACUGUCAUAUUAACAGUUACAAACUGCCACAAAGCUGUCACUAAACUUGUAACACCCCAAGUUCAGAAGUGCAAGUUCAGGGUUCUUGGUGUAAUUAAGGAAGAUCGACUCGGCGAGUCGAGUCGUGAUUUGGCCAUGUGCUAAGUGACUGACUCGGCGAGUAGGCAGCUAGACUCGACGAGUCAGUGCUGGAGUGAGAAACCCUAAUUCAUGGGGUUUGCACCCUAUAUAAGGAACCUUAAGUCCCACCCCAGCCUCUUUAGGACUCCCUCUGAUGUCCAGAAACUUUCCACAUCGAUUUCAAACCCUAAAUUGAGAGUGAGAGGGAUUUAAGUGUGUUUUGGAGCUUGAAGAAGAAGGAUACUUGAAGCAAGAGUUGGUGGGAUCAUAGAGGAGCGAAGUGGAUCUGAUUUCCUUGCUUCUUGGCAUCAGCAUCAAGGUAAAAAGUUGUUGCCUUGACUUUGUUGUGUUUAGAUGGUUCAUGAAUGAAGUUUUAGGGCCAAUUUAUCAUAUAUGAGCCUCUUUUCGAGUAUUGGGUUUAGAUCUGUGGUUGCUACUACAGAUCUAGACUGGUCCUGACUCAUGAAUCUGGAAAGUGAUAGCUUUGGGGCUUGAUUGAGAGUGUCCUUGCCUUAAAACUUCACUUUAGCUUGAGUAGAGCUUGUUGAGCCUUGCAUGCACGUAAAGUUGGAAACUUUACAUGUAGAUCUUGCCCUAGGAGUCCAGAUCUAUGUAUUGAAAGCAAUAGUUUGGCCUGUGAUCAUCUGAAUGAAGGUAUUACGUAUGGACUCGGCGAGUCUGGGAGAUGACUUGACGAGUCGGACAAAAGAUUUGGAAUGAAUCGCGUAGUAACUCGGCGAGUCACAUGGGUGUACUCGACGAGUUGGAUGAAGAUAGGCAAGAACUCGACGAGUUGGAAGAACAACUCGACGAGUCUAUUGAAGAUUGCCUUGGGCUCAACGAGUCUGUUCUUGGACUCGGCGAGUCUGGUCGAGGAGUCCUAACCUUUUCUGGUUAAGUCGUGAAUCGGUGAGUCGAAGGAUGACUCGGUGAGUUGAGCAUGAAGGGACUCAGAGUUUGUUGGACUCGGCGAGUCUUGGGGCAACUCGACGAGUUGAGUCGUAAUAUGAGAGUUUUGAGUAUGGGAACUCGAAGAGUCAACGAGUUGACUCGGCGAGUAGGGUCAACCAGGAAGGUUGACCUUGACUGAGGACUUGGACUUUAACCAAGGGUUGACCAGUUGACUUCCGGGGGUAUUUUGGUAAUUAUUGGUAUUUAUUGAUUUGGUUUUUGGUAAUGAUCAGUGGCGGAGUUCGUGCUGGUGGUUGGAGCAGCGUGAUCUUAUUCUUCAGUCGGCAGUGACAGUUGAGUUAUCCUCACUAUACUGACAGGGUCUACGGCACCAAGGCCGACCCUCCAUCGGAUGGAAAUCCGGGUAUUGUUGUUAUGUUAUUGCUAUAUGGAGAUCCUUGUUGAUGGAAAGGCGGCCGACGAACGCUCGGUGGACUCUAUAUCCUCAAGGAAUCAAUUUGGAACCCGGAAAAUCAUAUUUAUUUAGGAAUGUAGCAUAUGGUUUUAGAGGUUGUCCUAAAUGGGAGGAUGUGGAUACGGUUAGUUAAGUUUAAUAAUUAUUAUUUUAUAUAUAUAAUAUUACUGAAAUUACUAGUAUUUAAUUUAUAUUUUUUUUGCAGGUUAUAUCUGUAAUAAAUGUUGUGCAUACCCAUUGGUUUUUGGUGGUUCUACAUUUAGAUACCUGGAAAGUAGAAAUUUUUGAUUCAGCACAAGUUGCGGGUUACUUCUCAACAUACAACACUAAUGGAGAAUUCAAAAGUUUUGGAGAUAGUAUUAUCUCAGAGUUGGAUGCCAUUGAUUACUGGAGCCAUUUCCCCCAUUGGACACAGAGACAAGCAAAGGUCGAGUUUUUUGAUGUUUNGACACAGAGACAAAGCAAAGGUCGAGUUUGUUGAUGUUGUAGACGCCCCACAACAAGAAUAUAGUCUUGAAAGAGGGGAUUGUGGAGUAUUUGUAUGCAUGUUUAUGGAAAUGAUUGUUUCUGGGGGUACCAGUGGCGAUUUCAAGGACAUGUAGAGAAGCUGCAUUUCUCUAUAGAAAUAAGAUGGCAAAUGUUAUUUGGGAUACUAUAUAAGUUGAUAUUAGGAACUUUGUAUAUAUAUUAAUAUUAAAUACUUGUUUCUAGUAUGUAAUCGUGUCACUUCUGGUAGUAUGUAAUCUUGUAAUUAUCUUUUAUAUUUUUUAAACAUAAUUCACCAAAAAAUGUUACGAAACCAUACAUUCAAACAAAAUAAACAUUACAAAUAACAUGAAUACAUUACAAUAGAGUCGUCUACAUAAAAAUAAGGUUUCUUACGACUAACAAACAUUAGAUAAAACAUUGGAAAUAAAAUACUCAUCUACUUGAAAAAAACUUUAUCUUUUACCAGAUUCCAAACGUCCGUAUACUCGAAAUCAUGUCCAUCAAACUUGCAUAGGUAAUAUCCAUUCACAUCUUCAAGAAGUUCUUCAUUAUCUGCUUGAGAGCGUCGCAUUUUCUCAGGAUUGUAGCAUCGAUUGAACCAUGUGACCUUAAACUUUAAAUCCAUCCAUUUACUAACAAUAGCAGGUUUUAGUCGUUCGUGUCCUUGCCCGACUUGAUAGUUGAACAAAGCUAUGAGGCGGGACCAUUCAUCACCUACAAGGCAAUUCAGGGGAGCCAUCACUGGUAGACCCUCGUAAAUGGUAAUCCAACUUUGUAUUAGGACCAACAACUCUGUUGGCGUCCAUGGAGAUGUACAAUUUGUUGGAGAGGCUGCAUUAGAUGGAUUUGUUGCAUUCGAAGAACUUGGUACAUUGGACGCCAUUUCUUAAUUGAUCUACUAUCAACUAAAGAAUUGAAUUUCGUAUAGACACUACGUUUAAUAUAUGUACAAACAUAUGUUAUACAAAGAUAUGUCAGUAACGCGGACUGACGAGCCAGUAACGCGGACUUACGAGCCAGUAACGUGGACUGACAACGAUUAAUAUAUAUAAAUAGUUUCUUAAUGCGGACUGACGAGUCAGUAACGCGGACUUACGAGUCAGUAACGCGGACUGACAACGAUUAACAUAUAUAAAAAGUUUCUUAACGCGGACUAACGAGUCAGUAACGCGGUCUUACGAGUCAGUAACACGGACUGAAAACGAUUAAUAUAUAUCAAAAGUUUCUUAACGCGGACUGAUGAGUCAGUAACACGGACUAACAAUUACUAGACAAAACAGUUUUGCGGACUGACAAGACAGAAACACGGAUUGACAAGUCAGUAACGCGGAGUGAUCAUUGGCUUUGCGGACUCACAAGUCAGUAACGCGGACUGACAACGAAGUAACACGGACUAACAACCCCGUAACGCGGAUUGAGAACGCAGUAACGCGGACUAACAAGUCUAUAUAAAACGACAAACAACAAUGUAUCACUUCAUCUAAGGUAUUUUAGUUCAUGUGCUUUGUAUGUUUUACAANUUCAUGUGCUUGUAUGUUUUACAAUGGGUUCAAACCAAUGGACCGCUAACGAGUAUUUCCUUCUAGCUCGUGCAUAUAUUAAUGUCAAAGAGAACACCAGUUUGGAGGAUAUAAUGUUUUUCUCCCAACUAACGAAUACCUUCAACACUGACGCUGAAACCACCAUACAAAACCAUCGCAACACGCUUGAUAUAGCUACAAAAUGGUAUGAAUUGAAAACGGAAGUUGUGUUAUUAAACGAUCUUUAUAAUAAGAUUGAAGAUGAUCAUGUCAAUGAUACUGAGGAAGAGAUCUUGGAGGUGUCUAAAGAAGAAUACAAAUCCAUUAGCAACGGACAGAGUUUCGAGUUUGAAGCCCCUUGGAAUCUUUUGAAAAAUGUACCGUUUUUUUAAGUAGAACUGCAUUUUGUAUUGUUCUUGUAUUUCUUUAUUUAAAUGUAAUAUGGUAUUUAUCCUUUAUUUUAAAAAAAAAUAUUUGACCAACAAAUGUUACAAAACCAUACAUUCAAAAAACAUUAUCUGACAAACAGCUUACGCGGACUGACAAAUAAGCUACGCGUAAUGACAACACAUUUACGCGGACUGACAAGUAAGUUCUGCGGAAUAAUGUAUACUAAUUCCUUAUAAAUUUUGACAACCAUGACGAAAAUUUACAAGGUGUCGAAAGUUGUGAAAAUGAGUUCAGUCAAUCAGGUAUUAAGGAAAAGUUUCUCCAGCCUACCGACUUUUUUCCAUAAGCUGCAAAGAAGCAAUCCUACCACCUUCACGUACAUUACGAAGGAUCGGUACAAUCGUUUCCAAAUUUGUUUCGUGGCAUUGGGAUGCGUGGUAUGUAAUCCCUUAUAGUAAAUAAAUAUUUAGUUAUUUCAAGUUGGUAUAUGCCUAAUAUUCUUAUGUUGACUUACAGAUUCGUACAUUUCUCACGUCUAUGAUAUCAAUCAUAUUCGUUGGUCAAGUACCUCUAAUUGGGGCAUAUGUAACAUCCAUGUACAUUGCUUUUGCUUUAGAUGGAAAUCAUGAACCCCUUCUCAUAGUGUUUGCCUUGGGAACCAUAAAUUGUGACAAUUCAUGGUUAUGGUUCAUAAGGAGGCUUAAAGACUGUUUAGGUGACAAUACAUAAUUUGGUUUCAUAAGCCAUAUGUCUGAUUCUAUGGACUUUGCAGUCCACAGAGUCUACCCUGAUUCAUAUCAUGGCUAUUGUUGUAAAAAUAUAGCCAAGAAAAUACGCGCUUCCAUCGGAACCAAUACAGUCGUAGAACAGUGGUUCUGUAAGACGUGUAAAGCAUAUAAUUUAUCUCAAUUUUAUGCAUGUUUGAACAAUUUAAAAAAUGAGGUAAAUGGGAAUGAUCUUCAUUGGCUUGACAAUAUUCCCAUUGCAAAAUGGGUACGGGCUUGUUUUCCAAGAGUAAGUUUCAAUGUUAAAUUCAUUGACAUUCCCGAUGUUUUCAAUUGGUUUAAAACAAACACGCAUGAGUUUCCAAUAACAACAAUCAUUGAAAUGGUUCAUGACUCGAUGUAAGAAGUUUAUCUUCGACGUGCUGUUUUUGGAGGUAAUUAUAAGUUAUGACAUCAUUAAAACGGUGAAUUGAUAUGUUUAUUAUACGUUAUGACCUUAUAAUUUUUUUUAUUGAUUCAGUUGAUUUCACAGGGGAUAUCCAUAAUCUUCUAACCCCUUAUGCACUUAAGGUGAUUCAUAAAAGAUUUAUCCACUCGGAUGGUUGUAGGAUUACGCAUAUUGUUGGCGAUAGAUAUGAAGUGACUAAGUAUUCAACAACCGAAUAUGUACAACUAGACCGUGGUAUUUGUAGUUGCGGUAAAUGGCAAAAAUGCGGUAUACCUUGUGAGCAUGCUAUAGCUUCACUACACAGACUCGAAAUUGCAGAAAUCCAUCAAAUGGUAAAUUUAAAGUUAAGUACAGCGGUGUAUCGAAAUGCUUAUCAAACUGAGACGGUCUAUCCUAUUCCAACCCUUAGGCAUUGGGAAAAACCAGUCGAAAGUGUUGUGGUCUUACCUCCACGCCAAUUCAAUUGAACUUUAUUGUAUGGAUCACAACGAAUAUUAGUUUUUAUUCAGUUCUAUGUUAACCGUACUUGUAAUGGUUUGUUGGCAUUCUUUACUUUUUAAUAAAAAAAAUGUUUACCUUUAAAUAAAUAAUUGUAUUUUCAUAAUUGUAAUAUGUAUGCAUGACAACGACUAGACAAAAAAACUAUGCGAACUGACAAACGCAGUAACGCGGACUGACAAAAACCUCUACGGACUAACAACAGCUCUCUGCAGAGUGGAAGGGACUAUAUAUAGUCAUGGAUGGUCGUCGGAUUUUUCGUAUAGAGUUAUAAUUUUUUAAAUUUAAAAUGACUUCAUCUUCAUCUUUGUAUAUUUGCUCGUGCAACGAAGUUGAUUGUUUCUAUUGUGAUCCGAUCGACCCUUUUCUUGCACCAUCACCAAAUUUAAGAGAGUCAUAUAUGUCGGAGGAUACUUUGCAACAACUACAAUGGGCUGAAGAACAACAAAAAAAAAGAUAAAGACUCGUCUCGGGCUCUCACUGAACGACGUGACCUCAUUGCGGCGGAGUGCAAAGAUGUUGAGGAAAGGAUGACGAUUACAAAAAAAAAUCAAAAAUCAUGGGGAAUGGAAAAAAAAACNCUAAGAAGAAUCUCAAACUGUCUGAAAAAUGGCUUGCUGACAAGGAUGCAGAAAUGAUAGAACUUGGUAGGCAAAAGGACCGUAUGGAAGAUAAAAUAAGAAUAAGGGACGACUACAUAACAAUGGAGAAAGAAAAGUAUCCUUUGCAAUUCCCUUAAGUUAAUUACCGUUGUUGUACGUUUACUAUAUGUUUCUAGUUUGUUGAAUGUAUUAACUUCGAGUAUUAGUUAUUAUUCUACUAGUAAUUAUGCAGUAAUAUAAUCAUAAUAUUACCCAUCAUCUUUAAAAUAAACACACCAGCUCAAAGUAGACAAAUUAAUGUCCUCUAAAACAAAACAUAAUUAAUUAUAAAUACAACAUCAAUCAUUCAAAUCAAACGUUGAACAAUAGUCUUCUCUCUACGUCCCACUCGUCCAACGCGUGUCUUGUGUCCCGUGCGUCUCUAGCGUCUCCUGAGUCCCUUCUGUCCCUUUCCCUUUUCCUUUUGUGUUACUACUUGAUGUCGUAUUAGUUUUUCUAGCCUUUUUUUGUUUCUUUGGGACCAAUGUCGGACAAGUCGCUGCAUUAUGUGUUGUACUAUCACAUCUACUACACCUUCUUAUUAUAGGUUCCUCACCUUGUGACGGAAUACGAUUUCUGUUUCUCGGUCUACCAGCUUGACGUGUAUCCAUUAUCGGGGGUUUCACAACCAUCAUGUUAGCAGGAAUCUCCCAAUCACACGGUUCUGGAAGGGGGUAAACCGGCUCCUCAUACGUACUUCGGUAUGUUUCCAUUUUGUAAGCAUCUAUAGCCAGAUGUCCGAAGUUAGUUUUUUUCAAGUGCUUCAAGACCAUUAUCACAUGACCACAAGGCAACCCAGUUCCUUCCCAAUAUUUGCAUGUACAAGUCUCUUGCCUCAGAUCAACUAUGCCACCAUGUUUGAAAUCAUGAACUUCAUAAAGUGCAUCUGAAACACCAGAAAUGGACCAUCCUGUCGUACGCUCUUCAUUUUUACUAACUACUUUUUCAGCCCACUCGGUUAGCACUGUUGAACGUUUCCCUAUAAAGAAGAUAUAUAUAAUUAACUAAUUAUUCGACCUAAUUAAAGACAAAAUAAAAUUCAUACCUCCUUCGAUGCGACGCUUGUAACACCAUUCCUGUGAAAGACGUCGGAAGAACUCAAGAAGGGGUAUUAUAGGCAUCUUCCUUGCAUCUACAGAUAAAGCAUUCAUGAACUCUGCACUGUUCGAGGUCAUGUAAUCGUAACGUUUCGAUGGCGAAUAUGCUCUAGUCCAUUUAACACAGGGAAUUUCACUUAGAUACGCUGCUACUUGCGGCCUAGUAGAACUAAAUAUAUACCACAAUUCUUCAAAAACAUUUCUUUUGUAAGCUUUCACAAGCCUCCAAAACAACCCUUUUGUUUUAUCAUUUUUCCCAAACUUGUGUACUAUGUUUCCUAGUGUGACAUCCCCAAAAUCUUGGCCAGAAAAGACCGAUUUCAUUGAUGCUUUUUAAAAUAAUUUCAGAGUAAAUCCUUUUGAUUUUAAAAGAGAUGCGGAAUUUGUUCCCAAAAACAAAACAUGAUAAAAUAGAUCUUUUAUCAAAACAUUUCAUAAAGAAAUAUAAUUUCAUUUCAUAAUCAAAACCGGGAUGUCAUGUUCCGAUACAGACCAUAAAGCAUAAACGAUAACAUUACAAGUCAUUCAACAAAUAUUAUACAUAUGCAGACUUGUAAACAAAACAACUUGAUGAUUCAUCCAUCUUAUGCCCUUACGCCACUUCCUGUAAUACAAGUAAACUGAGUGGGUCAGGCUUGGGAGCCUGGUGAGCAUAUAGGGUUUUCAACCCACAAUAAAUAAUUAUAUUUAAUUCAACAAUCAACAAUAACCCGAUUACCCAUUCCCGUUUUCCUUACUUUACGUCCCUAAAACAACAUCUAUUAUAAGGGACCUAAUCUAGGAGUUUCAUCGGGACAAACAUUACUGCAAAGGGGCUUCCUUAGCAAUAAAUAUCCUAAAGGCAACCAUGAGGGGGAUAUAGUUCACCGGUGAACACGUCGUUCACAAGACCUACAGGUUAUGAGCCUACUAGUGUUCCACAGGACUGUCUAGAAUAGUCCGUGGUCGUCAUCCAUACUCUGCUGAAUGACUAGAAUAACACCAACAACAUCGAGGCCUCUCAUCUGUUUAUUACACACCAACUAUCUACCCAUGUUCUACCCAACAUAUUAGUAGAUAAAAAUAUACAUUUGUAUACAUAGUUUAAAACCUGUAUAGCAUGCUCAAUCAAUACAUUUUUCCACAUAACAGAUGAGGUACACACACAUAACACGUAUUUCAUAGAGAAUAAAUCAGAUCUAUGAGAUAGAAGAAAGUGAAUAUACAUCCACACAUAUAGUCAACAAAGUAUACACGUAACACGUAUUUCGUAUAAAAUACUUCAUAAUAAUGUGUUAGAAGAAAAUGACUACACACUCACUUGAUCAGAAGAUGAUCGGGCAACACUACGACUUGUAGAAGUAGUGUUUCUCCGUAGAUCUGGAAGAUCUUCACAUAAACCGGGCUCCUCGCGGGCAGGUCUUCGGCUCUGAAAUCUCACUUCUCGGGAUUCUCGGGACUUCGGAUCUUGCUUCGGGGCUCGCGAAUAAUAUUGGGGCUUCGGGGUAUGAUUGGCAAGCAAAUCGAGGCAAAAACUAGAGAGAAGAAAGAGUUUGAACUAGAGAAAAUGGUUGAUCUCGCAUUCUAUUUAUAGGCUGCUGGGUCUAGGAUUAUGCCGGGCGUAAUUUCCAGGUACGCUGGGCGUACUAAGUACACUGGGCGUAAUUAGGUUACGUUGGGCGUACUUUGACGUCACUGCAUGCGUCAAUUGGUGGCACUCGAGUAUUGGUCAGACAAGUUGCACCCCUCUGAGUACGCUGGGCGUACUCAAAUUACGCUGGGCGUAAUUUGACUCGUCAAACUUCUAAAUUGCGUAACUUUGGCAUACGAGCUCCGUUUUCGACGUUCUUUAUAUCAACGCGUAGGUUAGACCAUACUCUACAACUUUCAUUUAGACUCAAUUUUUACUUUUAUUUUUAUUAUUUAUUUUUAGUAGGCCGGGACAGGAAAACUUCGUUAUAAAUUCAUAACUUCUUCGUUCGACGUCCGUUCUCGCCUAACUUUUCAUCGUUUCACUACUAACAACGAGAUAUUCGAUUCUCGUUUAGAUUGUUCUGGCUAAAAACCGCUCGAUCUCAAAUCGAGUAUUCGGGCUGCAUACUGCCAAGUCGAAACUUCAGANGAAAAUCAUAUUCCUCAUACGAAGUCAGAUUUGGGCGUUCUAUAUAUAUUUAGAAACCUAGUUUCAACUACUACAACAUUAUCCAAAGAUAUCGAGUUUAUUUUACACUUCAUUUUGACGCUAAUUUUUAUUCUUAAUUCAAUUAAAUUAUAAUAAUUAAGAAAACACACACAUAAUUCACAUAAUUCACAAAUAAUACAUUUUUAUUAUUUCAGAUUGGGUUACAAAGGUUAACCUAGACUAUUACAUUGCUAAAAAUGGCAAGCCCAUAAUCACGGGCGUUACAAUUUUCUCCACCUUAGAAUGAUUCCGUCCCUGGAAUCACACAUCAACAAAUAAAUGCGGAUAGCGACCCAUCAUGUCACUCUCCGUCUCCCAGGUGAGAUACGACCCAUUCGUGUGUUUCCAACGGACAAGCACUAACUCAACCAUCUUACGUCGCAAUUUCUUAGUCUUCCGGUCAACGAUUGCUUCUGGUUCUUCAAUCAAUCUUUUGUUUUCAUCAAUUAUUAACUCUGAAAGUGGAAUCAUGUCGGGAACUUCUCCCGUGAACUUCCUCAAGUAACACAUAUGAAAAGUGUUAUGAAUUCCAUUCAGUUCUUCGAGUAGUUCGAGCUUGUAAGCUUGGUUCCUAAUUCUCUGAAGAACUUUAAACGGUCCAAUAAACCUUGGACUUAACUUUCCCCUUUUACCACAUCUUAUAAGUCCCUUCCACGGCGAGACUUUAAGCAAAACCGAAUCUCCAACUUCAAAAGUCAUCGGUCUUCGCUUUUUGUCAGCAUAGCUCUUUUGACGGUCGUGAGCUGCUAACAUUCUUUCCCUAAUUAUUUUCAACUUUUCAGCCGUUUGAUGGACUAUCUCUGGUCCCAUAAACUGCUUUUCCCCAGCCUCAAGCCAACAAGACUGCGUACGACACUUCUGUCCGUACAAAGCUUGAUAAGGUGCCAUCUUAAUGCUCGAGUGGAAACUAUUAUUAUAGGAAAAUUCUACCAAUGGUAAAUGUUCAUCCCAAUUACCUAGGAAUUCCAAGGUACAUGCUCUCAGCAUAUCUUCAAGUGUUUGUAUCGUUCUUUCACUCUGACCAUCAGUCUGCGGAUGGUAAGCUGUGCUUAAACACAACUUGGUACCCAAUUCCUCUUGUAGACUUUUCCAAAACCGUGAGGUGAAACGACUAUCACGAUCCGACACAAUUGUUAACGGAACACCGUGAAGCCUCACAAUUUCCUUCACGUAAGAAUUCGCAAGCUUUUCCAUAGACCAUUUCUCAUUGGCUGCUAUGAAAUGCGCACUCUUAGUGAAUCGAUCAACGACCACCCAAAUCAUGUCGUGACCAUUCUUUGUUCUGGGCAGUUUAGUGACAAAAUCCAUAGCAAUGUCUUCCCACUUACCCAUAGGCACAGGCAAUGGUUCUAAACUCCCGUACGGUUUCUGAUGUUGUGUCUUGACUCUCGCACAAGUCACACACUCGGCCACAUACUUUGCAACAUCAAGCUUCAUCGUCGGCCACCAGUAGUAGGGUUUCAGGUCCCUAUACAUUUUAGUGCUACCCGGAUGAAUCGAGUACAUGGUCUUGUGAGCUUCUUCCAUCAGAAGAUCUCUGACUCCUCCUGUCUUAGGUAUCCAAAUCCGAUCUUGGAACACCUUCAGUCCAUGACUGUUUACACCGAACACCAACGUUUUGCCCAAACGUUCCUCCUUUCUGUCAUUCUUCUCAGAAGCUUCGCUCUGAGCUUUCUUUAUACUUUCCAAAAUAGUUGAGACAACUUCAAUUCUCAACGCUCUUGGCCUUUUCCUUUCGGGAUUGACUUUCCGACUGAGAGCAUCAGCAACAACAUUAGCUUUACCGGGGUGGUAAAGUAUCUCGCAGUCAUAGUCUUUAAGUAAUUCUAGCCAGCGUCGUUGCCUCAUAUUCAAUUCUUUCUGAUUAAAGAGGUAUUGGAGACUCUUAUGAUCAGUGAAAAGUUUGCACUUCGUGCCAUAGAGGUAAUGCCUCCAUAUUUUCAGAGCGAAAACUACCGCUGCCAACUCCAAAUCAUGAGUCGGGUAAUUCUUUUCAUGCUCUUUCAGCUGUCGAGACGCAUAUGCUAUCACCUUUUCUCUUUGGGUCAAAACACAACCCAAUCCAACACCAGACGCAUCGCUAUAAACAGCGAAGUCUUCAACUCCAUCGGGUAGAGAAAGUAUCGGUGCCUCGCAUAGCUUCUUCUUUAACUUCUCGAAUGCUUCUUUAUGCUUCUCACUCCAAGCAUAAGUAGCUCCUUUGUGGGUCAAAGCUGUCAAUGGAGUAGCAAUCGAAGAAAAGCCUUGGAUAAACCUUCAAUAAUAUCCGGCUAAUCCCAAAAAGCUUCGAAUCUCCGUGGGACUUUUCGGUUGUUCCCACUUCAUCACAGCUUCGAUCUUCGCUGGAUCAACCAUUAUCCCUUCUUGGUUGACCACGUGACCCAAGAAUUGUACUUCUCGAAUCCAAAAAUCACAUCUGGAGAACUUUGCAUACAACUUAUCCUUCUUUAAAACUUCUAACACUUCUCGCAAGUGUCUGCCAUGCUCCUCCUGGCUUUUCGAGUAAAUCAGAAUGUCGUCUAUGAACACUAUNGAACGGAUUACAAACCCUGUUCAUUAAAUCCAUGAAUGCUGCUGGAGCAUUGGUUAGUCCAAACGACAUAACCAAAAACUCGUAGUGCCCAUAUCAUGUUCUGAAUGCAGUCUUCUCUAUAUCCUGCUCUCUUACUUUUAGCUGAUGAUAUCCUGACCUCAGGUCGAUUUUUGAAAAAUAACUUGAACCUUGUAGUUGAUCGAACAGGUCAUCAAUCCUCGGCAACGAAUAUCUAUUCUUUAUUGUUGCCUUGUUCAGUUCUCUGUAAUCGAUGCACAUCCUCAUACUUCCAUAUUUCUUUUGACGAAUAACAUCGGAGCUCCCCAGGCCGAUGAACUAGGUCUUAUGAAACCUUUGUCCAAUAACUCCUGAAGUUGCAUCAUCCGCUCCUUCAUCUCCAUCGGUGCUAGUCGGUAAGGUGCUUUUGCUAUAGGCGUCGUUCCCGGCAACAAGUCGAUACGAAAUUCUACUUGUCGAUCAGAAGGUAAUCCAGGAAGAUCUUCGGGAAAUACUUCCGGAUAAUCACAUACGACAGGAAUAUUCUGCAUCACCUUUUUUUCCUUCUUAGCAUCGAUCACGAAUGCUAAAUAUGAUGUACACCCCUUGGUCAAACAUUUUCUGGCUUUCAUUAGAGAAAUGAUUCCAGAAUUUACUCUGCGUUUAUCUCCAUACACCAUAAACGAUUCCUUCCCAGGCGGGUUCACUUUCACUAUUUUCUUCUUGCAUAAAAUUUCGGCAUCAUUGGCGCUAAGCCAAUCCAUUCCCAAAAUGAUGUCGAAACUGUUAAGUUCGAUAUAAAGGAGUAGUUUUCUACCAAAUUCAUGCGAUAUAAAGGAGUAGUUGGCUCCAGAAUCAAAUAAAAUUUGGGCAGACGAUUUGUUUACGAGAAAGGUACCUGAACGACAUCAGCUUCAUCUUUAGCAGCUUCCAGUGUCAUCUGGAAUGCUCUCGCCUUCGGCUUUGGCGAAAUGUUGGGUUUUGUUGCCUCCUUCUUCUUCGGACAAUCUCUUGAUAUGUGCCCUUCCUCACCACAACCAUAACAAACAUUCUUGGUGAGGGUGCAGUCGUUGGCAUAAUGCCCUGGCUUUCCACAUUUCAAGCAUGUGGCUUCCCCGCCGCACUUCCCAUGAUGCUUCUUCUUGCAUUUGUCGCACCAUUUCGCUUCGCCUCCUCCACCCCCUCUCGAACUAGACUUCGAGAAUUUACCCUUUUUGCUGGACCCUGAAGAUCCCUCGAACUUCCUCUUUUCACCAACCUCUGACCUUUCCAGACCUUUUUCCCUGAUCUGGGUCUCAACAUUUCUAGCAGCCCAGAUGGCGGCUUUCAAUGUGGUUGCUUGCUUAACCAUUAGACCAUAGUCCGCUGGUAGUCCAAGGGCAAACUUGUUGACCUUAGAGAGUUCUGUAGGCACCAAAUAUGGGAUAAACUUCAUCUUUUCUGUGAAACUUGCAGCGUAUUCAGUAACGCUCAAUUUCCCUUUCUUCAAAUUCUGAAACUCAUUACUGAUUUCCAGAAGGUCCUGCUCGGAGCAGUAUUGCAGUUUUAGUUGUUCCACAAAGUCUUCCCAAGACAUUUUGCUUGCUUCUCCCUUGGGCAUAGAGUCAGCUAACAGCUUCCACCAACUCAACACGCCAGAUUUUAGCAGAGGGAUCGCAAGAGCGGUCUUCUGCCUGUUGCUGCAUUCGCAACUUUCAAACAUAGUCUCCAUUUCGGAGAUCCAGUCCAUAACUUGCACCGGCGUCGGGCUUCCGGAUAGACAUGGUGGUUUGGAUGCCAUGAAAUCCUUAUACUUGCACCCACGACCAUCAUUUCCUCCAUACUGGUUAUUGCGUCUAACCACUGGUUGUUCGUCUUGACCAAUGAUCCCACUAAAGUUUUCUCCUUCAGACUGCCCUCCAUUCUCCUCGGGCUCUUCCGCUUGAAUUGACGGUUCUUCACGAUUCUGCCUAAGCAGGCGUCUUGUUUCUUCCAUCUGACGAUCCAACAUCAUUUGAAUCAUCAUUUGUACACCAGCCAUUGUUAUCGGCUCAGGUGCAUCAGCUACGACAGGUACUUGUUGAAUUACAGGCGGUUGAUUCCUGUUUUCAUCAGCAUUUCCAACUCCGCUUCUUGUUCUCACCAUUUUUGAUCUACACACCGAAUAAUUUCACCUUAUUACUCCAAACGAUUACAUGCUAGUUCUAAUAUCGUAUACAUACGCUUAGAAUCCUAAACACAUAAACCUUCAGAUCCGGUUGGCAACAAACCGUAGAUCCGAACAAAUAAUAUCAUAUAUGGCAACAUAUAACAUUUAGCACAUAAAAGCAUUUUAGGCAACUUUCCUAAAAUAAACUAGUGCUCGUGUCUAAAAUUUAUCAGACACACAUCUCACAAUCUCCACUUAGCAUACUAAGUUUAAGUCUAGAAAUCCUACAAAUUCCUAGUUCGCUUAAACUAAUGCUCUGAUACCAACUGUGACAUCCCCAAAAUCUCGGCCAGAAAAGACCGAUUUCAUUUAUGCUUUUUAAAACAAUUUCAGAGUAAAUCCUUUUGAUUUUAAAAGAGAUGCGGAAUUUGUUCCCAAAAACAAAACAUGAUAAAAUAGAUCUUUUAUCAAAACAUUUCAUAAAGAAAUAUAAUUUCAUUUCAUAAUCAAAAAUCGGGAUGUCAUGUUCCGAUACAGACCAUAAAGCAUAAACGAUAACAUUACAAGUCAUUCAACAAAUAUAUACAUAUACAGACUUGUAAACAAAACAACUUGAUGAUUCAUCCAUCUUAUGCCCUUGCGCCACUUCCUGUAAUACAAAUAAACUGAGUGGGUCAGGCUUGGGAGCCUGGUGAGCAUAUAGGGUUUUCAACCCACAAUAAAUAAUUAUAUUUAAUUCAACAAUCAACAAUAACCCGAUUACCCAUUCCCGUUUUCCUCACUUUACGUCCCUAAAACAACAUCUAUUAUAAGGGACCUAAUCUAGGAUUUUCAUCAGGACGGACAUUACUGCAAAGGGGCUUCCUUAGCAAUAAAUAUCCUAAAGGCAACCAUGAGGGGGAUAGAGUACACCGGUGAACACGUCGUUCACAACACCUACAGGUUAUGAGCCUGCUAGUGUUCCAUAGGACUGUCUAAAAUAGUCCGUGGUCGUCAUCCAUACUCUGUUGAAUGACUAGAAUAACACCAACAUCAAGGCCUCUCAUCUGUUUAUUACACACCAAUUAUCUACCCAUGUUCUACCCAACAUAUUAGUAGAUAAAAAUAUACAUUUUUAUACAAAGUUUAAAACCUGUAUAGCAUGCUCGAUCAAUACAUUUUUCCACAUAACAGAUGAGGUACACACACAUAACACGUAUUUCAUAGAGAAUAAAUCAGAUCUAUGAGAUAGAAGAAAGUGAAUAUACAUCCACACAUAUAGUCAACAAAGUAUACACGUAACACGUAUUUCGUAUAAAAUACUUCAUAAUAAUGUGUUAGAAGAAAAUGACUACACACUCACUUGAUCAGAAGAUGAUCGGGCAACACUACGACUUGUAGAAGUAGUGUUUCUCCGUAGAUCUGGAAGAUCUUCACAUAAACCGGGCUCCUCGCGGGCAGGUCUUCGGCUCUGAAAUCUCACUUCUCGGGAUUCUCGGGACUUCGGAUCUUGCUUCGGGGCUCGGGAAUAAUACCGGGACUUCGGGGUAUGAUUGGCACGCAAAUCGAGGCAAAAACUAGAGAGAAGAAAGAGUUUGAACAAGAGAAAAUGGUUGAUCUCGCAUUCUAUUUAUUGGCUGUUGGGUCUGGGAUUACGUUGGGCGUAAUUUCCAGGUACGCUGGGCGUACUCAAUACACUGGGCGUAAUUAGGUUACGUUGGGCGUACUUUGACGUCACUGCGUGCGUCAAUUGGUGGCACUCGAGUAUUGGUCAGACAAGUUGCACCCCUCUGAGUAUGCUGGACGUAAUUUGACUCAUCAAACUUCUAAAUUGCGUAACUUUCGCAUACGAGCUCUGUUUUCGACGUUCUUUAUAUCCACGCGUAGGUCAGACCAUACUCUACAACUUUCAUUUAGACUCCAUCGGCUAAUUUUGACUUUUAUUUUUAUUAUUUAUUUUUAGUAGGCCGGGACAGGAAAACUUCGUUAUAAAUUCAUAACUUCUUUGUCCGACGUCCGUUCUCGCCUAACUUUUUAUCGUUUCGCUACUAACAACGAGAUCUUCAAUUCUCAUUUAGAUUGUUUCGGCUAAAAACCGCUCGAUCUCAAAUCGAGUAUUUGGGCUGCAUACUGCCAAGUCGAAACUUCAGAAAAUCAUAACUUCCUCAUACGAAGUCAAAUUUGGGCGUUCUAUAUAUAUUCUGAAACCUCGUUUCAACUACUACAACAUUAUCCAAAGAUAUCGAGUUUAUUUUACACUUCAUUUUGAUGCUUAUUUUUAUUCUUAAUUCAAUUAAAUUAUAAUUAAGAAAACACACACAUAAUUCACAUAAUUCACAAAUAAUACAUUUUUAUUAUUUCAGAUUGCAUUACAAAGGUUAACCUAGACUAUUACAUUGCUAAAAAUGGCAAGCCCAGAAACACAGACGUUACACCUAGUAUAUGAAAAGCACACAAGCCAUGAUGAGCAUGUGGAAAAACAUUUUCAAUACUAACGCGAAUUGUAUCGGCCCUAUCAGUUACAAAAGUCAAUUCUUGACAAUCACUAACACAUUCAUACAACUUUUCAAGAAACCAUGUCCACGUAAGACCACUUUUUUUUUUCAUAUUCCGUGCGUAAGGGGCAGUAUCUGGUUGUUCCCAUCCAUAGCUACUCCAUGCAAUAUGGUUCCCUUAAAAGCACCCUUCAAAUGGGCACCAUCCAUAAUUAUAACUUUACGACAAAAACUUUUGAACGCUCGUAUCUGCAAUAUAUAAAAAUGGAACACAUAAACACUCUAUAAUUUGUUUACAAAAAUUAUAUAUUAAAUAACAACAAGUUUUUUGUAUUUACCGUGCUCCCAAUGGCAUAAAAACAACACUCGAAACAAUCUUCAGAAUCUGUUUGAAUAUACGCAACUGUACCGGGAUUAUGCCUCUUCAAAUUGUGAAAAUAAAUAGGAAGUUUGGCAAAACAUUCUUCAGAGGAUCCCAACAACAGUUUCAUAGCAUAUUGUUUUGCACGCCAAGCUUGUUUGUAAUCUACGUUGAUUUCCAGCAAAGCAUUCAAAUCCCUUGAUAUUUCAUUAGGCCUCCAAACCUUGGAACGAGUUUUUCCCAUAAUCUCAUGCAAUAUAGUACCCAUGACUUUUUUAUUAGCAUGCUUAUGAUUAGGGUGUAUCUGUAAUGACGAACAUGUGUACACGUUGUUGAAAGUCCUGAUUUCAAAUUCAUCAGUGAGAUCAAGGCGUUUUGCAUACAAACGCCAACUACAGUUCUCAAUUUCACAAUAUACCUCAUAACGAUUUUUGUUAGAAUGUUUGGUCUUAAACUGAAACUUUUCUCUUGUUGCUUUAAGAAUCAAUGCAAAAAUUAGUUGUUGUUUGUUGUCAUAUGUUUGACGAACAAACAUAUCAUCAUUUGGACCUAAACUGUGAAAUGGUCCGGGUUCAACAAUAGGAUCAGGACAAUCAGGUAUGGGAGACAUACCGUAAAAAAUGUCUGAAGCUUUUUUCCCGUAUGUGAACUCAUCUUCUGACCAUCCUUCAUUUGACUCUUCACUGUCUGAGAAAGUUUUGUUAGUCAAUCUUCUAAACCCAUAUAAAUUUUUUUCUUCAACCGUAUUCAGUGCCACCGUUUCUUCUUCUGGACAAUCUUCAACAUUAUCAGAUACAAUGUUAUCAACAUUGUAUGGUACAACUUUCUCAGCUGCUUCUGUCUGUUCGACCAAUCCCUGAAACACCUCUAAAUACAAAUGCACAAUCUCCUUCGUUUCAGAAAUUACAUUUCUGAGUUGAUUAACAUCUGCUUCAUCUAAAAUAUUCAUCACAUACCCAUGAACCGGGUGUUGAAAUGACAAUGAUAUAUUACUAUUGAACACCUUAGCCUUACUUUUGACCAAAUCAAACAAUAUUCGAAAAUCAAAAUUAGGCGGAGGCAGUAAACCCAAGUUGUUUAACUUUGGUCUAACGUAGGUGUUAAUCGCAUUACUUAUCUGCAAAAAACCUCCAGUACAUAAAAUAACAAAACUCAUAUUUGGUUUUGAAAAUCAAAUGAAAACGAACUGAUCUAUCGACCAAAAUAAAACAAACAUAUGAAAAAGAAACUUUUGUAUCAAAAAACUCUUCAAAAUCCGCUCCAACCACCCAUUCCACGGAGGCAUUACUCUCUCCGCAGAGACCCAUUCCGCGGAGCAUGAUUAAAAAGGCUAACAACCUAUUGUUCGACCACUUCGCAGAGAUGACUUCAUUCCGCGGAGGUCCGCGGAGGGUCCUCCGCGGAAUGCAUGUCUAUAGCUGGAAUUUUUUUUUUGUGUCUAAAUUUUUAAAUUUCCCCCUUUUUUCGUCUAUAGCCUAUAUUUUCUCUAAAUGAUUUACAUAUUGAAAGUUCAGAAACAAGUUAAAACUUAAACCCUAAAAGAGCGUACAAAUUUCAAUCGUCAACAUACCCCACCACAAAGGCACAAAUAAUCAAAGAAACAAAUGUAGAUGUAGAGGCCUUUUUCACCACAAUCACCCUUCAUCGGCCAUUUCGAAGGCCACGUGAAAUGUCACUAACGUGGCCCUAUAAAUAUCCACUACUUUGUCUUUAACCUUUCCCCCCUCUCAUAUAAAACCCUCCAUCCUCCUCCUUUACCACCAUCACCAACUACCUUCUCUCCUCCAUCAAAAGUAUCCCCAUCUUUUCCGACAUGGCUGCUUCUUCAAUCUUCAUGGCAACUCCCAUCACACUCCUCAAGAAAACUCCCACCUUCUCCGUCAAAUGUAUGUCACAAACACCUCAAAGCGGUGAACCGGGGGUUUCAAAACCAGCAACCACCCCAACACCACCACAGAUCAACAUUCCUCCUCCUCCGCCACCUGCUCCAAAGGUCAGCACGAAGUUCUCUGACGUGUUGGCGUUUAGUGGACCUGCACCGGAGAGGAUCAACGGAAGGUUAGCCAUGAUAGGGUUUGUGUCGGCGAUGGCUGUGGAACUGAGCAGCGGUCAAGACGUGUUCACCCAGAUCGGCAACGGCGGUGUUGCGGUGUUUGUCGGGACAAGUGUGGUGUUGACGUUGGCGUCGUUGGUGCCGUUGUUUAAAGGAGUGAGCGUGCAGUCGAAGUCGAGUGGACUGAUGACAUCAGAUGCAGAGCUUUGGAAUGGGCGGGUUGCGAUGUUGGGUCUGGUGGCUUUGGCUUUUACUGAAUAUGUUAAAGGCAGUGCCCUUGUCUAGAUAAUGUAUCAUAAACUUUUCUAUUACAGAAUUACAUCUAAGAUAGACAAAUGUAUAUUGUUUUGAAUAUUUAUGUUUAUCGAUUUACCAUACAUAGUUCAAAUCAUAAAAAGCAUGUUUUUUGAUAAUAUAGUAUAAAACAAAUAUAAUAUCAAUCAAAUUGAACGAUGUUGUGGUAUCUUUCAAUAUAAAAUUCUCUUUAUAAAAAUAAACAAACAACGUACUAAGAUAAAUUUUAGAGGAAUGAACUUAGAUUAGCAAUAUAAGAGUCAAAGUCUACAAAUUAAGGUAUUGAAAUCCUAGUUUCACAACUUCCUCUUUGAAUGUUGAACUGAGGUGAUCUUCAUUAAUUCAGACUGAAUAAGUGACUUAGUCCAGCCUAGUCAAUUAGCUAAUUUAAGAUGACAAGUAUCCAAAAUUCAAAAACAUUAUAGAGCUCAAUUUCAAACAAAAGUGACAAAUGACUAAUGCUCACAAAACGAUCACCGAAUCAUUCAAAGCAUUUACUAAAAGCCAGUCUAAUUCUUAUUGGUUUGAAAUCUAAUUUUAUCAUCAACUGUAUACAAGAUUGAGAUUGAUAUCAGAGUAAUAAUCUCUAAAAGCAAAAUAAUGUAUUCAAAAGAAUAUAUAUACAAAAUGAAUUAUGUCCCAAGCAGUACUGUGCAUGAGUAUAAGAUUACUAUUAUGUUGGGAUCCAUUAAUUGAUAACUAAGCACACUUCCAAAUUUACUAUAUGGAAUUUAGUUAAGGAUUAAUGUCAAGUGGGGUGCAUCCACCCCACUCAAAGGCCUUGUAUAUGUUACGGUCCCAAGUGAUAUUUUAUAAGGGUCUUUUUGUAGUUUUUCUUUUCCUAAUAUAUUAACAUUUUUUUUUGAUAUUUUUGGAACUUUUUAUUUUCUGAGAAAAGUAUACAAAAUAAUGUAUAUACAAGCUUACUUGAAGAUAUGAUCGUUUAUGAGGUUAUUCAAGACUUAUUCUCUUGAAGUAUCUAUUCCUAGCUAGAUAUGAACAAAUGUGUUUGCAUUUAUCCUUUUUUGCCCUUUGUCAAUUCUUGACUAAUAAGGUAAUGGUAGUUCUUGGUGAGGGAUUCACCUCUGUAUUGAUUCUUCAUUCUAUUUAAAUGUUUGGAUUCACCUCUGUAUUGAUUCUUCAUUCUAUUUAAAUGUUUGGAUUCACCUCUGUAUUGAUUCUUCAUUCUAUUUAAAUGUUUGGAUUCACCUCUGUAUUGAUUCUUCAUUCUAUUUAAAUGUUUGGAUUCAACAAUGUCUAGUUGAGUAGUUCUUUAAAAGCACAUUCUACCAUAUGCAUCUUUAUGUCAAUAUUAAUUGGGGAUUCCAUAAACUGAAACUCUUGGAGCUCAAUAGUGUAGUUGAAAAACUUUUGUUGAGCCCACCACUUACAUGAAAUAGGAGACUUUUUUCAAUAAACUAAGUGGUUCCUUCUUUAUGGAUCAUCUUUUCGUUUCUCCUUUUGAAAGGUCCCCUGGUGAUACUUUUAUGUGUUAAUGAAACUCAGUCCUUAUGGCAUGCUUUUUGGAUAUGAUAGUACGUGACUAUCAAGAGCUUAUUUCUACUCAGUAUAGUCAUACUCUCAUAAGUCUCUCAAGAUUUUACACUCAGAAGCAUCGUUAGAUUGUAUGGCUACCUACCUUGUACUAUAAGCAUGUUUAUUAACAUUUAGGGAUUUAUUUAGAAGGAUAUCAUUUUUCAUAUUUUUUGUCUAACACCAGAUCUUUUUUCUCAGCUCAAUUGUUUCAAGUAAAACUAAGUGUCUUCUUGAUUCGACAACAAACCAUUGGUCAUCUUUCCGAUUUCAAGUAUUUUGCAUAUCCUCUCAAAACUUCUUUAUUUUUUAACACAAAUUCAAAAACUAUUAGGUAUCGGGAUUUUAAGGCUUCUUUAUUUUCACCCUCAAUUAGAUUCAUAUUUUUCAUUGCCUUGCAGAUUUCCUUUUUAGUUUGAGUCUAUUUAUCACGAGCCUGAAGUCAUUUUCUUCCCCUACCCUUGUUAGUUUUGGCUAUUGCUAGUGCACGUACUUCAUUGGCUAAAUGAGAAGACACCUCGAUAAUGGUGGAUGACUUGGUGAAAUUUAUAGGUUGUUCCUUAGGCUAUCCAAAGUGGAGGUAGAAGAAGACGCAUGAUGCUGAAUGGACAUCCAAGUCAUGCGUGAACACUGCCCGAUGGCUUGGCUAUGGAGUCUCCAUGAAGACGAUGCAUUCGAUUGGUUUAGAAUCUGGUCCCUCAUAUUUUCUCUCCUCCUUUUUGUCCCUUCACUACCAACCCACCGGUAAACACCAUUUCCACAACCUAAUGGGUUGAUUGUGGAAUGGUAAACUACCUAUGUGGCGCUGAGUUAGAAGGUGUUUUGGAUAUAACCACUCCCCACAACCUUAGCAUUAGAACAUCCUGAUGCUCCACAUGAACUAAGAACAUCACUUAAUCUUCAUUAAAUACUUUGGGGUUGUACUCAUAAAGUAAAAUAUCUCCCCCCUUAGACAUAUCAUCAUUUUCCUCAUCUGAUGACCAAGGAAUUUGUGGAGAUAUAUGUGACUUUGGAUUAAAGGGGGUUAUAUUGGUCAUCCUUUUUAGACAACUUUUUAAAUUAAUCAAUCCAAGCUCCUAUACCGACGACAUUUUCUGGAAUCUCUUUAGAUGGGGAUGAUGGUUCAUUAAGCGACGACAUUUUCUAACCGUGUACCGACGACAAGUCGUCACAGACAAGUCAGGAUAGGUCAAAAAAGUCGUCGGCAUAGGUGUCGUCGGGAUAGGUACCCCAUAUACCGACGACAUGACGUUGGUACAAGUACCGUCUGGAAUGAUUUUCGAGAAAAAAAAUAAAGUUUUAUUAAUUACUUGUGGCGACGACAUGUCGUCGGGACAGGUGCCACCUAUAGCGACGCCAUUUUGUCGCCACAUGUUUUCCACAAAUAUCAAUCAAAUACCUAUAGUGGCGACUAGUCGUUAGGAUAGCCACUGGGUGUUUUUUUUUUUUUUUUUUUUUUUUUUUUUUUUUUUUUUAGUUUUUACAGAUUUUGUACAUUUACCAUUCGUGCAUUUUUAACAAAUCCAAACAUUUUGCAGCAUAUAUCAAAUAAGAUACAAUAACUGGGUACCAUUGUUUAAAUUCAAAACAUCAAAUUCAAGUUUAAUAUUACAUACCGAAUUAGAUAAAAUAAGUAGUUAACAUUGUUCAAAAUAACACAAAACAUAAACAUCAUUAUAUUCUUUUUUUUUUCUUCUUCUUCUUCUUCCAUCCUCUCGGGUUCACAUUUUGUUGAGAGGUAUUUCCUUGUGAUGUACUUCCUUCUGUGUUGGAAUUGAAUAGAAAACUAGCAAACGGUGGUGGUUGUGUAACAUCCCAAAAAUUUUAACAAAUAUGAACUUUUCAAAACAACCCAUUUAUUAACAAAAGUGUUUACAAAAACAUGAUUUAAAAUUAGAGUCUCCCAAGAUCCACUUUGUUCUAAAACCGAGGAUGCGUACGGUCACGCCUUUGCCUUGCCAUGAAUCAUUUGAAGAAACUGAAACCAUAAACAAAUCGUAAGCAAGAAUCUUAGUGAGUUCCUCCAAAAUACCACCGCACAAACAGAUAGCACAUAAAUAACGACAACAUGUACUAGGUCCACAACUAAAAGACUGGAUUACCCCUGAGCCUAUAAUAUGAAUCUGGCUUGCCUAUUGGGCCCACAACUCAUAUCUGGUUUGCUCUUGAGCCCACAACAUAAGUCAGACUUGCCCCUGGGGCUCACAACUUAUGUCAGGCUUGCUCCCAACUCAAUCAGUCAUCGGACUAGAAUACCAAUGUUCAGCCCUGUGACAACCUGAAAUUUCCAUUCUGAACAAACCAUAUCAAUCCAAUAGAAGUUAGAACAGUUACAAUGAAAUUCCAGACUUUGGGCAUAAGUUUGACAGUUUUUCAGGAUUUACACUUAAGGAGAUAUCAGGAGAGUGGAUGCACUAGGGUUUUGUGCAACACUGUUAUUCCAAAACUCUAGGAUAUUAGGGUUCAAUUCCGGAAUAAAAAUAUUUUCUGCCAAAAAUCUCAGGACUAUAUAUAGAAAUCUGAGCCAUAUUCAUUCAUUAGUUACAUUUCCAACUAGAGAAAAGCCAAAUUCUCUCUCACGGAUCUUCAGGUUUUUAUCCCAAAUCGUGAGUACUUCUAUCUAGUUGUAUUAUAUAGCUUAGAUUGUUUUUUAUAACAUCAAAAUCGGAUCAAAACCCCAAGAUUUGGGAGUUUACCGCCCAAGAACACUUGGAGAGUAAACUCCUUUUUAAGGGCCAAAAGUGUGCCCAAUGUCCCUCAAAGCCUUGGGAAUGAACCUAGAAGCUACCAUUACAUGUUUAAGACCACAAAACAAUUAAGAAUCAUGGCUAGAAGUGAGUUCACGGCCAAGGAAGUUCUUCGUCCGUGAACUCCAUUUUUAUGUGCCAAAAUGCCCUAAAAGCCUUCCUUAAGCCAAGAGACUAAUUUAGACAUGUACCUAGAUGAGUUUAGGACUAGCAAACACCUUUAGAACACCAAGAGUAAGGUGUUCACGGCCCAAGAAGUUCUAGGGUCGUGAACUCCAAACAAUGGUGCCAAAUGGUGCUAUAAACUCUCCUAAAGCCUUGGACAAUUUCCUUGCUUCAUUCUUAGAUAAAUUAGGGACUUGAAAACACCACAAACACCCUCCUAAGGGAGAUUACGGCCGUAAUCUCCAUGGGAUAUGGUCCAUGGCGCGUGAACUCCUCAAAGGAGUUAAAAGGAAGCCCAAACACUUGUUUAAGCCUAGAAGCACUUCACCACUUAAGUUGUAAUAAUGUUAGGCUUCAUUUAGUGACCCUAUAGAGAGUUUACGGCCAAGAGUUUACUCCCCUAGGCCGUAAACUCCAACACAUAUGGUCUUUUGACCAUAAACUCCCAUAAGAGGUCUUGCACUCCUUUGUUGCAACCCAUUAGCCUCCUAGCACUUGACCAAAGUGUUUUCCUCACAUUAGGAUGUUUAUACAUGUUUAAUUAGUGUUAUAAUCACUAAUUGUUUAUAUACAUAUGUCUUCAUAUGUAAUUAGGACCAUUGUGUGUGUCUAAAGUCUUCACUUGACACCUAGCAGUCCUACCUCUUCAGUUCAUCCGUAUCACCCACAACAGGUGAGUUUAUACCUNGGGGAUACAAGUAGAAUUAUGCUAAUUAUUAUAUCAAUCACAGGUGAUUAAUAAGCAGCAUUCAAAUGAUUAGCUACUCAUUAGCCGUUUUACCAAACCGUUUCCUUCAAAUGUUUUUCAUAAACACCUUAUGUGUUUAAAACUCCUUAUUACACUGUACCUUUUAUUCUGUAUGUUUCAAUUCAAACUUAUUUACAAUUGUGUUUCAAACAAAUGUUUCUUUAUACUAAACUAUUUUGUCAAACCCAUGCCUUCAAAACCGUUUUAUAGAUUGACAUCAAGUCGAUCUUUUCUUAGAUAAUAAUUAUGUUCAAAGGUUUUACAAAACUUAUUUUAUGUUUUUAUAUUAUAAAUUGGAUGCCUAUAUAUGCAUAGUUAUAUAAUAAAUGUUGAAAGGACUUAGGAAGGCUAUCCACCCUAUUUCCUUUUCCUCGAUUUGGAUGUGGUCUGGUGGGAUAUCAGGUACCCGUCCGAAGGUUGUUUAAAUAUUAAUUAUAUAUCAUGUGUACGUAUAUAGUCAUAAAAGUCCUUCCAGCUCAGCCAAUGCCCUUGGGUAGCAAGGGUAUAUUUAACAUCCCCCUCUUGCACGUAUCACAAUAUUAUCCGCUUUGGGCCACUCGGCACGAGGACUUCCCAGGGGGUCACCCGUCCUGGUACUACUCCCGCCCGAGCACGCUUAACUACAGAGUUCUUAUGGGAUUUGCUGCCCUCACGGCUUUAAAACGCGUUGUGCUAGGGAAUGUAUCCACACCCCUUAUAAGGAAUGCUUAGAUCUCCUUCCCAGCCGAUGUGGGAUCAGAUCUAACCCACUUUCACCCCCCAUUAUAGGGUUCGACGUCCCCGUCGAACACAUCGACCCAUGCCCUGGCUCUGAUACCAAUUGUGACAUCCCCUAAUUUCUCGGCCAGAAAAUACCGAUUUAAUUUAUGCUUUUUAAAAUAAAAUCAGAGAAAUCUUUUUAAAAGAUGUUGCGGAAUUGGUCCCCAAACAACAUAUGAUAAAAGUUUAUCAAAAUCCUUCAUUAAGAAGGUAUAUAUUUUCCAUAUAUAUCAAAACCUCGGGAUUUCAUGUUCCGAUACAGAUCAAAAGCAUAAACAAGACAUUAUAAGCCUUUCAACAGUUAUUUACAACUACUGGCCUAUAAUCCAAAAAUUCUCUCGUCGUCCUCCGACUAUGCUCAGGGUCCACUACCUGUAAUCAUAAAAACUGAGUGGGUCAGGCUUGGGAGUCUGGUGAGCAUAUAGGGGUUUCAACCCACAAUAAUAAUAUACUUAUUAAGUUCACCAAUCAACAAUAACCCUGAUUACCCAUUCCCGUUGUCCUCACUUUACGUCCCUAAACACCUAUCACAAGGGACCUAGCCUAAGGAUUAUCAUCGGGAUGGACACUACUGCUAAGGGGUUUCCUCAGCCAUACAUGUCCUUAAGGCAACCAUGAGGGGGAUGAAGUACGCCAAUGAACAUUUAAUUCAUCAACACCUACAAGUUGCGAACCUGCUAGUGUUCGACUGGACUAUCUAGAAAGUCUGUGGUCGUCAUCUAUACUCCGCUAGAUGACUACAACAACAACAACAACAACAUCGAGGCCUCUCACCUUUUUAACACACAUCAACUAUUUCAUCUACCCAUGUUCUACCCAACAUAUUUUGUAGAUAAAAAGAAUAUACAGUUUGAAACUUGUAUAAAACAUCAAAUCAAUAGUCACCUUAGUUAAACAAUUACUAUAUUUACACAUAACACGUAUUUCAAGGUAAAUACUUCAUAUCUAUGUGUAAAUUGAAAGUAACUACACACUCACAUAUUUUGAUGAACAUCGGGCAACAAUUCAUUUCCUAAAACGAUCGUUUCUAAUAAAACCGGGAGUUUUAUUGAGAAACUGGGCUCUGCAAAAGUCGGGGUUUGAAACCGAAAAGAUAAAUUUUCCGGGCUUCACGGGCACUUCGUGGAGUAUUCCGGGCUUUACAAUCGAUACCGGGGCUUUGCGGGAUGUUAAGAUGAAGAAAAUAUGGGUUUAGGGGUUAAAUAUGGCAAAAUUUCAAAGUUACCUGGGAGGUCUCGCACCCUUCUAUUUAUAGGGGCGAGGCUUCUGAUCCAACGGAUAGAAAGAGGACACGCGUCGCAGAUCCGAAGGCUCGCAGGGAAGCCUCGCACGUGGCUGCGCAUGGCUCGCACCUGUGAGGGGCUCGCUGGCAGCUUGUGAUUGGACCGAGGUCUAGGGUCCGAAGUAGAGGGUUCGUGGCAUGUUGCGAGGGCUCGGUCUCGUGCAUGAGGGUACGUGUCACCUUCUCAGUGGACCACUUCGGAUAAGGCCAUGUGCUCGGAUGACUCAGCAGCUCGGGUGACUCAACAGCUCGGAUGACUCAGCAGGACACAUGGCACUUUUUCAGCGAGGGUGACGUGGCAACUCGUGACUAUGCGAAUUUUCUCGAUUUUCGCGCCAAAACUUCUAAAAUCCAUAACUUUCGCAUACGAGCUCCGUUUUUGACGUUCUUUAUAUGCACGCGUAGCUAAAAUUACGCUCUACAACUUCCGUUUAGACUUCGUCGGCUAAUUUUGAAUUUAAAUUUUAUAUUAUUAUUUUUAACAGACCGGGACAGGAAAUCCGUUAAAAAUUCAUAACUUCUUCAUCCGACGUCCGUUUUCAUCAGAAUUUUUACCGUUGUGCUCCUAAUGACGAGACCUUCAAUUCUCGUUUAGGUUGUGUCGGCUAAAAAUCGCUCGAUCUAAAAUUCGAGUUUUUUAGCUGUCUACUGCUAAGCUGAAACUUCGAAAAAUCAUAACUUCCUCAUACGAAGUCAGAUUUGGGCGUUCCUUUUAUCGAACUUCUCAGUUUAACGACUACUACGACUUUCAUUUAGAUUACUAAGGCUAAAAAGUAGUUUAUCGAAAACUCACUUUUUACAACAUUCAGCACCGUGCCGGUUUUGUCGCGAAACUUCGACAUGUCAUAACUUCUUCGUUAUAACUCGGAUUUUGGUAUUCUUUAUAUCCCCGAAAUCCUUGUUUCGACCACUACAAAUUUAUGUAAAGAUAUCGGGCUUAUCUCCCACUUUAAUUUUGACGCUUAUUUUUAUUCUUAACUAAUUAAGCCCUAAUAAUUAAGCAUAAAACACAUAAUUCAUAUAAUAUUCACAUAAUUCCUUUUCAUUUCUUCAAAAUGAGUUACAAAGGUUAACCUAGACUAUCAACUCAAUAUAAAUGCCUAGGAUAGAAACAUGAGUGUUACAAAUUGUAUCAAGACAUGUUAUAUGGACGUGUUGAACUUCCGUGUCCAUUUCUCCUUCUGCUGUUUGUUCUUCUAAAGAAUGAGGAAAGAUAUCCAAGUCUAGCAUAUGCAGAGAACUAGCAACAAGUAGAUCUAAGUCGUCCAAGUUGUUGGCAAUUUCGACUGGACUCGUCGGGUCUAGGAAAGUGACUCGGUGAGUCAGAUCAUAUUUCACCAUUUCCACUGUGUUUUCCGAGUCGGCUCCUUCCAGUAGCUUUUCUAUCUCCUCCAAGUCCUUGUUAACAUCUCCAUCCUCUCCAGAAGGUAGCAAAAGCUUGCUUGGAUCUUCUUCUUGCAAAAGUGCAAGUUCUUUUUGUAGUAUCUCAUCAUCCAAAUCGAUAAAUGAGAUAUCUUCUUUUCCUUCCUCUUCUUGCUUGGCUUCUGGUAAAGCUCUAAAUAUUGCUGACUCGUCUCCUACCCUUAAUGUUAGUGUAGACUCGCAUACAUCAAUUAAAGCACAUGCGGUGUUUAAAAAUGACCUCCCCAAAAUAAUCGGAAUUUCGGGGUCUUCUUCCAUAUCAAGCACCACAAAGUCUACUGGAAAUAUGAACUUGUCGAUUUUAAUAAGAAGAUCCUCACAAACGCCUCUUGGAUGAAUUGUUGUCUUGUCUGCCAAAUGGAUCUUCAUGUUUACCGGCCUUGGCUCCGAUAAAUUCAGUUUCUUGAAGAAAGAGAAAGACAUUAGGUUAAUGCUUGCACCUGAGUCGGUCAACGCUUGAGUGACAAAUGCAUUUCCAAAUUGGCACGGAAUUAUGAUACUCCCCGGAUCGCCCUUCUUUUCGAGUAACUCACUCAAUAUUAUUUCCGUGACUUCAGCCAAAUAUUUCCUAGCAGCAAAGAGACCCUUUAGUAAGUUGAAGUACUUGGGUGUUUUAAGCAUCGUUUCUACAAAUGGCACAUUGACUUGUAGGGAUUUAACAUGCUCCAUAAAAGCUCAAUAAGCUUCAACUUUUUCAACUGGCAUGGCUUUGAUUGGGAAUGGCAAAGGGGGAUUAUAUGGCUUUAAGGGAAUGACGGUUUUGUCAUUAACGCAUGGACUCGUCGAGUCCAUUAGAGGGACUCGGCGAGUCUUGUCGGGCUUAGCUGGAGCCGACUCUUCUGCCUUUUCUGUCUUCCUAUUGGAGAUCCUCUGUGCAUGUGUGAAAAUUUCUUCAUUGCUGGAAGUUACUGCACUCACAUUCUCCAUUCUCGGAUUGUUUUCGGUGUUACUUGGAAGUUGACCCGGUCUUCUUUCGUUCACUUGAUGUGAAAGUUGUCCCAGCUGUUUCUCAAUGUUGAGAAUGGAUGCCUGCUCAUUCCUUAGCAUAUUUCUGGUCUCGUGUAUUGCAGCAUCGUGAUCAUUGUGUCUCUUUUCGGACACGGCUAUGAAUCUAGUGAACAAUUCUUCUAAAUCGGCUUUCUUUUCCAUUACCGGUUCUUCCUUUUGAUAAAAUACCCUCUCCUUCUGCUUGUAUUUCUCCUCCUUAUCCUUCUUGUAUUCUUCGUAUGGGAGCCAUUCCUUCUUCGGUUUCCCCCAAUUCUCGUCGUAUCUAUCGCCACUUGAGUAGAACACUUGAGCCUUCUUGUUUCCAUUUUCAUCCAAAUCACAAUCCUUUGUGAGAUGGGGCCCUCUACAAUUCUCACAUCCAACAUGAAUAGCAUGGAUUGUUUGAUCCAUUUUUGUCAUCCUUCUAUCUAGACUAUCGAGCUUAGCUAUCAUCGCCGCCAUGCUAUCAUUUGCCGAGUUCACUACCCCCCGACUUACUUCAUUUAUUGGAUUGUGGUAUUCUCUAGAAUGCUUAGAGAAUUCUUCAAUUAACUCCUUGAUUACCGGGGGCGCCUUCUUCGUGAGCGGGCCUUGUGAAUCGAGCAAUUGCCUUGUGGUGACAUUGACUCCAUCAUAGAAAAUGGAGACCUCUUGUUGGAUAUUGAGGUCAUGGUGUGGGCAAUUUCUAAGCAAGCUCUUGUACCUUUCCCAAGCUUCAUAAAGAGAUUCUCCGGGUUGUUGCUCGAAGUUGGCAAUGGCUUUCUUUAGUUUAGCUAUUUUGGAGGGCGGGCAAAAGUGGUCUAUGAACUCUUCUUUCAUCUUGGCCCAUGUGGUGACCGAUCCGGGAGGAAGUGACUUGAGCCAAUCCUUUGCAUCACCCUUGAACGUGACUGGAAGCAUGCGAAGUAGUUGGGUCUCGCGAGGCAUAUUUGGUACAUUGAAGUAGUCAGCCACAUCAUUUACUUCAUCCAAGUGCUUGUAGGCGUCUUCGUGGUCCUUCCCAUAAAAAGGAAUCUCCUUGAGUUGAGCGAGAAUAUGGCCUUUUAGUUCGAACGUAGUGGUUGCGGGAAUUGCGGGUUGCACAAGUCCCGAGCCGGUGUCAUCGCGCAUCCUUUUCUUCCAUUACCCCAUGGGGACUUCAUCGAUAUUAGCCAUAGCGAUAGCUAAAUCGUCUUCAAACUCGGAUUCUUGCUCGUAUGUGGGUUCUUCUUCUUCCUCGGUCUCGUACUCGAUGUCUUCUUGAAUUGGGUCUCUGAUUGUCAAAGAGGCACUGGAUGCUCCUGAUUUGCUGCUCCUUGUCUUGCUGAAAACGGACUUGAGGUUUUUGAGUGGUAAGUUCUUUGAAGAAGCGGAUUCUCCAACGGUUUUGCCUUUGCUCCUCCUUAGUGCGGAUUCCGGGUCUUCAAGAGGAGGGACCAGAGGUGUAUCAGAUCCUCAGGUCAUGAAACAACUGUAAACAAAACAAAAAACGCGUAAAAAGAACAAAAAAUAAAUAAAAAUUAAAACUGUGAAUCAGCGAUGUACUCGCCGAGUCGGCACGAGUGCACUAGGCGAGUCUGGUCAAAACAUAGAAAAAUUUUUCUAGUUACUUUAAAAACGGAUUUUUAUUAAAACUUAUACUACUUACUAAAUUACCUUUUAAAUAACUUUGUGUAAGAUAAAUCCCACACAAAUGAUCGAUUAAAUUAGAAUUUAACGUUAAUUUUAGAACCGUUCCCCAGCAACGGCGCCAAAAACUUGAUGUGUGCAAACUCACUUAGUUUUAAACCUACUUUUAAUUUUAAAAUAAACACACAAAGGCAGUGGACCUAUCAAUUGUGGUAUAGUUAAAUAAGUAGGGUAUCGAACACAGGGAACGGCAAAUUAAAACUAAAAACUAAUUCUAUCUAAAUUAAUUAAUAAGUAGGAGGUUUUCUCUAGUUUUUCAAGACUAGAAACUUACUAACUAUUACUUAUUCUAAAACUUAGAAAAACAAAGAAUUAACUAGAUUCAAUAAUGGGAAGGAACUUCUGUUUAGUUCAACUCAAUUGAUCCUAUGGUUGAUAUCAAGGUAAUGGUGCAAUGGAUUAACUCUUUUGUUGGUUACCGAUUCAAGUGAUUAGAUUUGCGUUCACUACACUAAUCCUUAGCAAAUAAACUAACUUAAACAGUGGCCAGUUGUCUAAUUUAAUUAAAUUCACUAGAUUAAUUAUUCGGGUUAAUUUAGACUUGCAAUAGUUAACUAAUUUGGUCCUUUAAUUAACUUNUUUGUUGAUGGUCAUCACAAGCUCACACAUGAAUUUACUCAAUUUUCUUAUUAAUUCUAGUUUCAUGUUCAUUAAUCCUAGACAUAUGACAAAGUGGUCACAUAGCAUAUGAGGUUGAUAAUCAAUAGAUGUUCAUGCUAUUCAAUUACCUUCCUAUUAAUAGAAAAUUAAUUAUCAUUCACACACAAGGUUCUUUAGCAAGCUAAAAUAACAAAAAUCACUAACUUUAAAUUAAUCCUACCAAUAAUCAAACCAUAGUAUCAAUUUUGUAUCCCCAAACAGAAGUUUAAGAGUUUUAGCUCAUGAUUGAAGUAAAUUACAGCAAACAAACAGAUUUUAAUUGUUUAACCAUUAUGAAAAAUAAAAAAUUAAGUAGAAUGAUGAAAUUUGCCUCAAAUCUCCUUCGGAAUUGGAUUCUAGCUUGUAUCUUCGUCCUCUAGGUUUUUUCUGACUCUUCAAUCGCAGCUAACCUCUCCAGAAUCGUUCCAGAAUUCCUCCCCAUCGUUCUCAGAAGUUAUCUUUAUAUAUGCAAAACGACUCGUCGAGUCAGAUGCCGACUCGUCGAGCCCAUCUCUAAGUCCCCGUAUGCGAUAAGUCUCUAGGUCUCCGAGUCUUUAUCUUCUCGAAUAUUCGCUUGGGCUCGCCGAGUAGUUGACCCUACUCACCGAGUAUGUGUUGUUUUUAGUGUUUUUCUUCUUUGUUCGAUUCCCGAGCUCUCAACCGCUUCUCCUGCUUCCUUUUGCUUCCGAGCUUCACUUUUGGACUGAAAACAUAAUUCAAACACUUUUAAGUACCUUUUGUCCAUGAAAUGCAAUAAUUUAGCUAAUAAAUGAAUAAAAAUCUACACUUAAUAUGAACUAAAUAUGCACAUAUCACUUUCCUUAGAUUCAUAGUCUCUCCAACCAAAAUUCCUAGAUAAUUGAAUGGGAUGGAUGAAGGUUCACAUCCAAGAGGAGCUGCCCAAUUUAUUACUUCCAUGUGGGUAGCUCCUAUCCCAUACACCUUCGAUUUCCUAAAGUUCACCUUUAGCCCCGAUGAUACACAGAAGCACCUUAAUAUCCGGGCCAAGUUUGCAAUAUUUCGCCUUGACCAUUAGCCUAUAAACAGUGUGUCAUCUGCAUAGAAUAAAUGAGACAAACAUUGAUUAGAUUGUGAAAAUUUGAUGCCUUCGAAGAUUCCUUUUUCCACAACUGUCUUCAUCGCCUGAUUUAAUCCUUCAAUCACAAUGAUAAAAAGAAAUGGGGAGAGUGGAUCUCCCUGUCUGACACCUUUUGACAUAGAGAACUCCUUGGUCGGACUGUCGUUGAUCGACUGGGAAGGAGAACUAAGCAUUCCUUAUAAGGGGUGUGGAUACCUUCCCUAUCACAACGCGUUUGAAAACCGUGAGGGAAGCAGAUCCCAUAGGAACUCUGCAGUUAAGCGUGCUUGGGCGCGAGUAGUACCAGGAUGGGUGACCCCCUGGGAAGUCCUCGUGCCGAGUGGCCCAAGACGAACAAUAUUGUGAUACGUGCCAGAGGGGAAUGUUACAAAUGGUAUCAGAGCCAGCGCACAGUUCGAUGUGUUCGACGAGGACGUCGAACCCUAUAAUGGGGGGUGAAAGUGGGUUAGAUUUGAUCCCACAUCGGCUGGGAAGGAGAACUAAGCAUUCCUUAUAAGGGGUGUGGAUACCUUCCCUAUCACAACGCGUUUUAAAGCCGUGAGGGCAGCAGAUCCCAUAAGAACUCUGCAGUUAAGCGUGCUCGGGCGGGAGUAGUACCAGGAUGGGUGACCCCCUGGGAAGUCCUCGUGCCGAGUGGCCCAAGGCGGAAAAUAUUGUGAUAUGUGCCAGAGGGGGAUGUUACAGUAUAUAGCCAUGUUCAUACGUACCAGUUAAAUUACUAGUAAGCUAUUGACUAUCCUACACCUUGCUGCUUGCUACAGCCGGACGUCAUUUCUUUCUACAUAUAGAUCAGUUAAGUCUUGGUAGAAGACUCCCUGUUAUAGUAGUAGGAAUCAUAGGGAUUUCUAGAGUUUUUCAAACGUUUACAGUUGUUUUACAUACAUUUUCAAUACUUACGAUUUACAUACAUUUUCAAUACUUACAAAUUCUUACAUACAAAUUCUUACAUACAAAUUAAGACACUAAAAUACUUAUGAUCUCACCAGCUUCAAAGUUGAUACUCGCUUUCAAAAUUACUUGUAUCCUCAGGUCAAACAUAGACAGGUACCGAUGCAAGGUUUAGAGAAGAUGGAGCUCGUUCAAGACUCAUCUUUCAUUUUGAUUUAUGCCUUAGUGUUUAUCAAAAUUUGACAGAACACAGUUGUAUAAUAAUUAUAUUAUUAAUGCAAUGGAUGAUGUUGCUGCUUGUUUACUACUUUUCAUUGUUGUGAUAUUGUACAUGACGUCCUCCGCCCCAGAACGUUUCCGCGGUUCUUGGUUUUGGGGUGUGACAAGCCCUCAGUAAGAGUCUAGCAUACCAACUGGUCCUCAGAUCAUAUCUGGAAUGCUACUAAUCCCCCAGUAUGAGUCUGGCAUGCCCCAUCCGAGACUCAACUCAUAUCUGGAUUUCUCCGAUACCCUCAACCCCUUAGUACGAGUCUGGCAUACCAAUCGGGUCCUCAGCUCGUAUCUUGAAUGCACCUGAGCCCUUAGUAUGCGUAUGGCAUGCCCUAAUCAGCUCUUAGCUCAUAUAUGGAAUGCUCCAGGGUUUGUUGGCUACAGAACGAAGCAGUACAACCUCAACCCAACACAAUAUGUCGACAAAUAACCAACAUAUACAGAUAAUCAUGCACACAUAAUCAUAGGUACUCCUAUAGAUCUACCAUACUAACAUAUCGGCAACUAGCAUACUCAUGCAGAUCUAUUCCAUACUCAGAAUAUUAGUGAAUUGUAGGAUAACAAACCAAUACACCGGCAUUGGUGCCUUCGACUCGUAAAUAUAGUGAGGAAAAAUCACAUCGCACUGCUGAACAUAAAGACGAUCCAUGGUUGAUGGCUGCCAGAUCCCCGAACCGCCAAUAUCAAGACAACACCCCAUCACAGCUGAUCCCAUGAAUAAUUUCUGACUACAGAACCACUAUGAUCCACGUGCUAUCAAAUACUACAAUGACAACCCAUCAAUAGACCUGGCAAUGGAGCGGGUUUGGAGCGAAUCAGCCUUGAUCCAAACCCUUUUAACAAAUUUCAAAAUCCGAUCCAAACCCGCUCCGUAACCCACAGGGUUUUAAAUAAUCAGACCCAUACCUUUAUCCGCCGAAUCAACGAAUAUUCAAGCCCGCCCCAUAACCCAAAGUUUUUUUAAAUAAUCAAACACAUUUUAAUAAACUCCUAAAAUAAAAUUUCUUAAAUAAGAAACUGUAUACUAUAUCUUAAUACUUAAAAUAACAUUUUUUUAAAUAAAAAAAAUUGAUUUAGAAAAGGACAUUACAUACUCGAAGAAUUUCAAUCGGAAUUAAAAAUCACUAUUGCAACAACUUUGAAUUGAUUUAUGACUGUUGGUUGUAGUGAUAGCGAAUUGCAAUUGCCAUCUUUUUUCAUGUUAAAAAUUGAUUUAUUGAAUUAGAAAUGGAUAUGAUGAUUUCUUGAUGCAAAUAAAUUAAAUGACAUUAUGAUUCUUGAUAGAAAUCUAUAAGUUUAGAAUCUGAAUUAUCGAUUCCUAUGUAAAAGCAUUUUUUUUCUUUGGCCUUUGCAUUUUGGACUUUUGAUUGGUAUUAAAAUUAAACGUUAAGAAGUAUAAAAUAUAAAUAUAUAAUUCUAAAUUUAUAUGGGGCGAGUUAUAAAUGGAGCGGAUCGGUGAUGAUCCAUACCUGACCCAUUUAAUAAAAGGGCUAGUGGGAAUGGAUCGUUAACGGGUAAACGAAUCAAAAACUACACUCCAAACCCAUAUAAUUCUUACGAGUUUGGAUCGGAUUAGGGUCAAAACCCACUUCAUUGCCAGGUCUACCCAUCAACCUUUAGCCCCUGACUCACGUUAUGAGUGAAAAUUAGGGUAAAAGACCUUUUUAUCCUUCUUAAGCUUGGCCCGAAGCCAAGGCCCAACUAAAUGGUUAAUGGCCCAAAAUCCAAAAUAGACUUCUAAGGCCCAAAUAUGGCCCAAUUUUCCAAAUUGGGCCCAAUUCCUUUCUUGGGCCUUCAGCUAAGAAAGUCCAUCAAAACAAAAGCCCAAACCAUAAAAUCUAGAUGGCCUAACAUGGCCCAAGACAAUCCGAGCCCAAAACCGGAGCCAAAAAUGAAGGCCCAAUAGUACCGCAUACGCGGGGAGUACUCCAAAGGCACACUUAGCGUACAUGAGGCUGCGUAGAAUCCACCAUUGGGGUGGCAGAUUGGGUAUGCGGGGCGUACACCUCCCUACGCGGGGCGUACCCUCUUAAAACUCAAUUUCUUCAUAACUGCUUAAUGGCUUAGCAUUUGAGCUCAUACUUCAGAUCCAAGGUCCAGAGCCAUACUAUGGCCAUAAAAUUCCCAACUUUAUGAAUUUCCACGUCCAAAAAGUCCUUAAUGAAAGGUCUUAAUGGAUUAAUACUUUCUACAAGAAGUAUGGAGAAAAACUAGCUAAGGUGAUCUCACUUUUAUGGCUUAGAACCCCUCUUAGGGUCUGAAAGGACAGCCCAAAAUGACCAAAACCAAACAUGCAUAACAAUGGGACUUUUGGGACAAAAAGAACAUCAUAAUGCUACCAAAAUGAGAUCCAAGCAAACAAAGCAUAAAGGUAGAAACUUUUUACCUUCUGGAGCUUCCCAAGAAGAUGAUGAUCCAAGAUCCACAAGCUUGCUUCAACUACUAAUCUCCUUGAUGCAACUCCUUCUUCCUUAAGAACACAAAGAACACACUUUUAGCUCAAAACACUCUCUUAUUGGGUUAGGGUUGCCAAAAAUGACUCAAGGGUGUGGAGGCUGAAAAGAUGAGGCUAAAUGAUCUAUAAAGGUGAUUAAAUACCCCACAAACCCUAAAACUUAGGGUUUUUUCUAACAAGAGUACACCCAUCGUACAUAUGAGUACGCCCAACAUACUAGGGUACACCCUAGUAUGCUUAGCGUAUGCACAUGUACGCUUAGCGUACCACUCCUUCUCCCAAAAUUACGAUUUUUCCAAUAGGGCUUCUUGCGACCACUUCCUUCCAAAACAAGGACCAAAAUGGUAUACUCUAAAGCCAAGAGAUGAAUUUGAAAAUGCCUGAAAACUGGGGCAUUACAGGUUGGGAGUUCGGAAUACAUGUCGCCAAUGAUGCAUUAUAUUGUUGCAAGUAUUCUUGCAUUUGUUGUGCAUUAGAUUGGGAUUGAGAUUGGAAAGAUGUGGAAGUUGAAGCACAUUUAUUUGGAAUUAGACCGAAGUUGGUGACUGGUCUCCUACCCACUACGCGAGCCUGCCCUUGUCUCGUCCUGAGGGCACGUGCAAGCCAUUCUUCCUCAUCUACUUCUUCACCUUACCCGACCCCGCUUUGCAUUUUCUCGUAUUUAUCUUGAAUCUUCUUCUAAAAUAAACAAGAUAAUAAACAUACGAUAAUUAAAACAAACAACUAAACUUAAACAUUAAAAUAAUAAUAAUAUACCUUAGACAUAAACUAUAAUUAAUAAUAAUAACAUAUUUAACUAACGUAUUAAUUUCGCUUAUGACUUACCUAAUCUUGUUGUGCUCGACUUGUACACCAACCCUAGCCUUCUUUGUAGCGCAUUUGUCUCCAACCCUCAAUAUGUUGCGGCUUCAGUCCUAGUUUUUCCUGUAAUAUGUAAAAAACAAUAAAUAUAUUUAUACGAGUGAUAGUAACAUUUUUAAAUAAUACUAAUAUACUUUAUUACUUUUAAAUGACGUCGUUGAGCAUACGACCUACAUCCAUGAGAACUUGUGUCCGGAAGUUUAAUUCGACCUAGUAACUUUAUUUUUGGCCGAUGUGUGUAUAUAUUCAUCAGUAAAAAACAACAUGCCAAUCGUCUUAUUCUAAGCUUUGGCAGACCAAUCAAUCUGUGGAUGUUUUUUUGUCCUUUCCACAUCCGCAUAUCCACCAGCUUUUUCAAAAUGAUUUUCCAUGUCAUGCUUGCAAUCUCGAUAAGCUUUUUGCAUACUAUCUUGGGUACCCGCUCGAACGGGUUCCCACAACUCUGUGCCCUAGUGCAUAUCGGGAUCAAAAUAAGUCUGCAAAAAAUACAUAUUUGAUUAGUAAUAAGAAAUAUUUAAUAAGUGUAAAAUUCAAUACAUAUAAAAUAUUUUGUAUAUACUUACUUCUAGCUCGAGAUAUAAAUUAUCUUCGUACUUGGUAGAAACAUGGCGCCAAGAAUGAUAAUGCAACAGUACCUCUGAUCCCACCAGAUUUGAGAUCAAUCUAACAAAUAAGUGUCUGUUGUCCCGCACGAAUCGAUACGUCCUCCUGGAGGUAUCAAGGCUCACAACCAAAGGAUUACUACCUUUAUCUUCAUACUCAUCGUACAAUUUUAAGUUUCUCCAUCUGCCAUGUACAUUCACAUUCUUCACUUUUGUUACAUUUACACAUAGAAUUGGAAAUUUAGAAAUUUAAAUCCAAUACUUAAUAUUUUCAUGUAACUUACAUGAUUGGCAACCCGAUGGUAAACCAUGUGUGACCAUGUGUGGGGCUCUAUCACCACUGUCUCCUCCAUGUUACCUCAUGACUUCUGCCAUUUAUUUAACAAAUAUUAUAAACAUUCAAAAUCUAUAAUAAAGCUACUUAUAAAUAGGCAAAAUUUAAAAACUUAACACAUAUUAUAAACAAUCAGGAUAUAUAAUAACCGUAACAUACCAUCAAUGAGAAUCAUCACUAGAACAAUAUAACAUCAUCAUCGUUAUCAUAGUCUUUGUUAUUUAUUUCUUCUUCUGAAGAGUACGUAUCCCCACCAUCAUCGUCAUCGUUAAUUGUCACACCCCUGAACCAGACGACGGAAACGUCUGGGGGCUCGUGUGACUAACAAUUGAAUUAUCAUCACAAUGAAUAUACAUGAAACAUUACACAUUCAUCACCAACAUUACAUAUUACAACCAGCAUUGUUCACAGCAAGUACAUUGUUAAAGAUUACAUAAAUUCAAAGUAUUAAUAGUAAGAUAGGUGAUGUUACACAAAAUAAAUCGAUACACUUGAAAAUCUUCCUGCUUAACGAUUACCUGAGAAUACCAGUUAUUUUGAAAAACGGUCAACAUAUAUAAUGUUGGUGAGUUCAUAAGUAUGUGUGAAUAAAAGUCUUUGCAUCUUUUGUAAAAACCUAGAAAAUCUGAUAUUUUCUGUAAAAUGUCUUAAAAUGAUGUGAAAAUCAAGUAUAAAUGCAUGUGUGAAUUUCAUAGCAAUAACAUAUAUGAUUUCAGUUUAAAUUUCUUUGUAUUUUAAGUAAGUGAUAAAUGAAUAAUAGUAUUUCCCUAGAAAAUCUGAGUAUUUCCUGAUUUAUAAUAAUGUCGAGGUUCUUGUAUCAUUAAUUAAGUUGUUUCGUAUUGACACAAUCGAAGGGUUAAUCUUCGAAAUGUCAAAUUGGUAUUGGAUCUCUAUAUGAGCAGUUAUAACCAUGUAUGAUAAUGACUAGGUUGUCUUUCUUGGCAUUUUCCAAACGUCGGUAUUUGCUCAAGGUUUUGUCGCCCAAGACUGGCCUAGUCUAGUUGUAGCGAACAACUAAGGCGUGGGGGGUCACCCCAUAUAGAUCUAUACACAAACUCCCGCUCUCCCUCCAGGAAACUCUGGUUAUAACUACAGACUACGAUUGUACACUCAGAGGUGUCAACCGACAUGUCUCACUAGAUUCUCAACUUUUCAUACCAUGUUUAAUGUUUACGUGAAUGUUGUAUGUUUUCAAAUCCAAAGGUAUAUAUAUAAGUAUACGAACUUUAGGGCUGGCAAUUGUUGACACGAUACGCGACACGACAUGAAAUAAAUGGGUUUGGGUUGAGUUUUUCAACCCGCCAACCCGCUAACCCGUCAACCCACCAACCCGUUUAUUAAACGGGUCAUAUAUGGGUUUCUCAAAAAAUAAACGGGUUGACCCGCCAACCCGUUUAUAUUCUUAAUAAAAAAAUUAUUAUAUUUUUAAAUGUAUUUAUGUAUCAAGUAUUAAUAUUUAAUAUGUAUUAUAUAAUAUAUACCAUUUAUUCAUAGACCAUUUGAUUGUUUUGACAUUAUUACUCGUGGUGGAUGGUCUAAGGUCAUAAGUCGUAACCUAUAAGACUAAGUCUGUAACAUGUUUCUAUGAAUGUUUUUAAUUUUCAUUUGGAUGUUUAAGACUUAAAUAUCUAAAAUUUAGACCCACGAACCCAAAUCUGACCCACGAACCCGCCAACUUGUCAACCCGUAUAAAUAAAUGGGUUGGUGGGUCAUAUAUAGGUUUAAGUUCCAAACCCGCCAACCCGUGACCUGUAUAUUUAAAUGGGUCGUCAUUGGGUUGGCAUAUUUUGACCCGCCAACCCGCCAACCCGCGACACGCCAACUCGAACACAACACGAUUGCCACGCCUAACGAACUUCAAGAAUUAUGUAAAGGUAUAGUUACAAUCUACUAAGCAUGUGAAUUUCAGUCCAAGCCCAACUAGCAUGUAAAUGGACCACAAAGGUCCAAUGACAUGUAAGAAGGUAAUUUAGACCCAAUAGGCAUGUAAGUGGACCACCAAGGCCCAACAAACAUGUAACCUAUAGCUCAGGCCCAAAUUAACAUGUAAAUGGGUCGCAAGGCCCAAUAAACAGGUCAUUGAAAAUAUUGGGCUCAAUAUAUACUUGAAUGGGCCCUUAAGGCCCAUUGGCCAUGUAAUGUGAAUAUUAGGUCCAAUAAAAUUAUUAUCGAUGUAUUUCGUCAAUUCGUUAUUAUUUCAUGGUUUGCUUUAGCUCGAUGUUUACCGAAUUAAAUAUAAAAGUCCCCUUUUUGUAUAAACGACGUUCUUGGCCAAUAAGACUAAAAUUUUGAAUUAAGGCCCAAAGUUUUGUAAAAAUUAACACUUUAGUCCAUAAUGUAUAAAAAUUUGUAAUUUUGCCCCAAAUGUUUAGAAAUUUACGGAUCUAGUCCAAAAAAUUAUAUUUUGACAUUUAUGGCCCAGUUUCGCAGAAUAUUACAUUUUCAGACCCUUGUUUGUAAAAAUGACACUUUUGACCCAGUUUUUAUAAAAGUUACAUUUUUGGUCCAAUUUAGAAAUAUAUGUUAUUUUUACCCCUAAAUUUGGUUUAUUUACAUUUAUGACUAAAACUUUGGUCAAAUAACAUUUUUAAUCCCAAAACUUCCAUUUUUUCGCAAAUUUGGCCCCAAAACCGUGAGGCCCAAAUAUUCAGCCCAUUAGGCUAAAAUUUACGUUUUUGGCCCUUUGGAAAGCAUGUUUAUCAUAAAAAUCCCUUUUUAUACAAACAGGACCUGUUUGGUCCUUUAAAAACCGUAAAUGUCACUUUUUUCCCUUAUCUUUUGUUUUCUUGACAGUUUUGACCCUUAACAAGGUUUUUGCUUUAAAUUUUUGUAUCUUAAACAUAUAAACACUUUUAACUUGAUAAUAUGAUGUAUAAGGUGUUUUAGUGUUGGAUUAAUGUCUAAGUUUAUAACUAUAAUUGGUAAGACUUGACCCGAUCCGGCAUGGUCCAUUUGGGUUGCAUGGCAUCAUGCACUUGGAUAGACUAUAAUGAGAGAAAUAAGACACUUAUGGUUAUUAAUAUAUUAUAAGUUCUAGUAUAUUAAUAAUAAGAAUAAUAAGAUUAUUUAAUUAGUAUUGAUCAAGAAUUAAUCUAGGAUUAAUUAAGUGAUCAAAAGAAGACUAAUUAAAUAUAUGGGUUGAUUGUGUAAAUCAUCCAUACUUAUAUAGUGGGCUAAUGCUCCAUGGAUAAUCAAGUUGGGCUAAAACCCAUAGGAUGGUCCAUGGAUGCUCCAUGGUGUAUUUGAACCCAUGGAUCCAAGGAAAUGGAAAGUCAUGACAAUUAGGGUUUACCCUAAUUGUAACACUAUAUAAAGAUCUUAUUAUUGACCAAAAUCGGCCACUAGAAUCAUUCUAGAGAAGGGCUAGCCGAUUUCAUGUAGUGUAGAUUUCUCUCAAGUUAUUCCAAGUGUAUUUGGUGUUGUGUGAACCAUUUGAGGUGUCACACUUGGGGCACUAGACACUCAAGCUUCAUGAAGACUUUCUACAUCAAAGAAGUAUGUAUUCUAUCUUGUUACAUUCAUUGUUUUGUAUGCUAGAUUAGGAUAAUACCUUGGAAGUUCUUAUUUGCAUGUAUAAUAGAGAAAACAUAGAUCCAAGGUAUUUAGGGUUGCAUGUACACUUAGGAGUGUUAGAAUGCUCAAAACCCAACAGUGGUAUCAGAGCCUAGGCUUGUUUUCUUGUUAUACUUGCAAAAGAAGCUGAAAAAUCGAGUUUUGAUGCUGUCUGCCCAGCAGACUCGCCGAGUCCAUGAAUGGACUCGCCGAGUCCAAGGCAAAAUGCAUCCAACUCGCCGAGUUGGUUCGUGCACUCGACGAGUUGGACCCCCAGACAGCAUAAAUUCGACUUUUUUGGCUGGAAUUGGACUAGGAACAUUACCCUAAGAUGUUUUUGGACUUAUAAACUUGUUUUUGAUGUGGUAAUGUUCAUGCUAAUCCAAUUUCAAAGAUAAUUGUCAAUAGAUUCAUGUUUUGUAUUAGUUUAAGGUUUAGACUAAUUACAUGAAAAAGUUUGAUUUGAAUUAUCUUGUUCUUAUGAGUUGCUUAGAUUAAUAGAAAAGUUGAGUGAAAUAGUUGUUUUCAAUCCAAAUUAAUCUAAGAGUUGAUUCUAAAAUGUGUUUUUGUAACUUGUCCUCAAGUUAUAUGAAAAGUCACAUUUAAGUUUCAUAAAACUCAUAAAAGUUGGCAAAGGUUACAAAAUGAAGAGUCUAGUUCUAAUUAAAUGGUUUUAUGACUCCAUAACUUGUCCUCAAGUUAUGGAGGACCAAGAGUCUCUUCAUUAAAUAAUAAAUAAAAAAAAAAAGUAACCUUAAUUAAUUCCAUAAGUUAUAAAAUAAAGAAAAGUUAAUUCUUUUAUUAGUUUAAAGUCUUCCAUAACUUGUCCUCAAGUUAUGGAACUUGAAGAGUUUUUGGAUUAAAACUACUUUAAACACAUAAGUUAUGGAAUUAAUUAGUUUUGAAUAGUUUCAAAACUUGCCCUCAAGUUUUGGAAUUUGAAAAGUUUUCACUUAUGAAUACUUUAAUUCCAAGUUAGCCCUUAGAAUUUUAAAAGUUAAAAUUCAACCCUUAUACUUUAUAAUAUUAUAAGUUAAUAAUAUAUAUAUGUAUAAGAGUAAAGUCAGUCUUACCGCUAGUACGCCUCAUUCACGAAGCCGGUCUAUAAGGUGGGUAUAAGGUUGUUGCCUAUAAAAUGGCAACUUAAUGGGUGUCCACUCUCACCCACCGCUUGCUUGACUGGUGGAGGGUCGUUAGCCGAACGGGUUUGACAGGACUAGAAUUCUCCCUUCAUUAAAAGUAUUAAUGAUAAUACUAAGUAACUAAACUCUUAAUAAUACCCAAUCUUAGUUACUUAGGAAAAAUGUGAAUAAGGUGCUAAUCCAUGAAAUUACACUUUGCACUUUGUUUAAGUCGGUUAGUGGAGCGUGUGUGGUUAACCGGCACACUAACUCGUAUUUAACAAGGUAGGCAAAGGGUAACUUAAUGUUUAUCAUAGUAUCGAUGGAGCGUGUGUGGUUAACCGGCACAUCGAUUGAGGGGUAAACACUUAAGGGUACCAAGUAAUUUGCAUGGUUACUUCACACCUUGUUUUGUGAUCCUCGGCAUCCCAGUCACAAAACCUGAAGGGCACACUCGAGAUUGAAACAUGCCAUUGAACAGUUCAAUGAAUCUCAAAGAUCUAGGAGUUUCAAAACCAAUUAAAACCUAAUAAUACAUUUCGUUUAUCUUGGUGGAAAUUGGUGAAUCGUCAUUCACCUACCUUCAAAUAUUUUAUAGCUUGGAUUACGGCAUACCUCUUCUAAGUUAUAAAAUAGUUUGUUGGGUCCUAGCCUUAAUAUUUCAUAUUGGGUGUCAUAUUAAGGACUUUAAAUCAACUAUCUUGAAUAUCUCCCAAAAGAUGUCUGGUUUAGACACCUAUGAUCUUCCCAAAUCUCUUGAAACAAGGUUUCCUAAUGAAGAUGAUGUCCCAUGGAUAUCAUACUUCUUCACCUCUUCAAAUUAUUCUCCCUAACCCACAAGUUCUUGAAAAGUUUAAGGUCACUCAGGCCCUAUUGGCAAGGCAAGGUCUAGGUGUGAUCACAUCUUGGAGAUGUAGUCACAUAUUGACAAGCCGGGAGAGUUGGGUGUCAAAGUCUUGAGAAAGUUGGUGGUUCAAUCACUUUCUAAGUCACAUAGUGAGUUCCUUUGGGACACCUAUGAAACAGACUAUGACAAGACCCUUAAUGAUCUUAUCUAUUUGAUAAGAUCAACUUCCUAAAACUUUAUGGACAUUGACAAUGAUAACAUUGGAUAUCUAGUAAAGCUCUCUCUUCCCAGUGGAAAGGGAUCAGCCAUAGUCAACUGGGUUGACCAAAAUGGUAAAGAGAAAAGCUAAGUCUGUGAUAGUCCCGUGUACCAUUAUCAAAGGGUCCAUAUGUUUAUAUUGCCAAAGGAAGGGGGAUUGGUUGCGAAGCUGCCAAAUUUACCUAAAGAUGUUAAAGUCAAUAAGUUUGACUCUACUUCAUGUAAAGUCCACUAUCUAACUCUGUUAAGUUUCUAUUCUGAGAUUCCUGAUACAUGAUGUGACUGGGUCACAUGGUGAUGUUUUAAGAAUCGGAGCAUAUCCUCGAGUGUCUGGAUGGUGCACUCACUCUGACCAUCCGUCUGUGGGUGGUAGGCAGUGCUCAUAUCUAGCUGUGUUCCCAUUGCCUUCUGAAGAUAUUGCCAGAAACUUGAAGUGAAUCUGCUAUAUCGAUUUGAGAUAAUAGAUAUUGGCACUCCAUGGAGUCUCACAACCUCCUUGAUGUAGAUUCGGGUCAGCUUUUCCAUCUUGUAAGAUUCUUUUAUUGGUAGGAAAUGAGCGGAUUUUGUUAAUCUAUCCACGAUUACCCAAAUAGCAUCCAAUCCGUCUGCUAUCUUUGGCAAUUUUGUCACAAAGUCCAUGGUAAUCCUCUCCGAUUUCCACUUGGGUAUCACUGGUUGUUGCAGUAGUCCCGAGGGCUUUUGGUAUUCCACUUUCACUUUGGCACAAGUAAAACACUUGCCCACGAAAGUGGCUAUCUCUGCCUUCAUAUUAGGCCACCAAUAUUGUUGCUUGAUAUCCAAAUACACCUUAUCUGACGCCGGAUGAAUAGAAUAUCGCGUCUUGUGGGCUUCAUGCAUGACUACUUCUUUGAAUCCCUUAAAUUUGGGAACCCAGAUUCUAUUCAUGAAGUAGUGAGUUCCAUCGUCUUUAACUUCGAGCACCUUCUCCAUUCCACGUAGUGAGUCACUAGCGACAUUCUCUGGCUUCAAUGGUUCCAAUUGGUCUUCCUUGAUCUGUGAGGCUAGAUGAGAUUGGAUGGUGAUUGAUAGAGUUUUCACACGACGACUUGAAUACUCCUUUUGGAUCAAGGCAUCGGCUACCACGUUAGCCUUGCCUGGAUGAUAUUUGAUCUCACACUCAUAAUCAUUUAACAGCUCAACCCAUCUCCACUGCCUCAUGUUUAGUUCCUUUUGAUUUAGAAUGUGCUGGAGGCUCUUGUGGUCUGUAAAGAUGGUGCACUUGGUACCAUAUAGGUAGUGCCUCCAAAUUUUCAAGGAGAAGACCACCUCCCCCAAUUCGAGAUGUUGAGUAGUAUAAUUUACUUCAUGUGUUUUCAAUUUUCUAGAUGCAUAUGCAAUUACCUUCCCGCGUUGCAUAAGGACACAACCUAAACCAUGAUUCGAAGCAUCAUAGUAAAUUAUGAAGUCUUUAAUUCCCUUCGGUAAGGAUAACAAUGGAGCACUACAGAGGGCUUGCUUCAAGGUUUGGAAGGCGAUCUCUUGCUUCUCAGUCCAGUUGAAAGGUACGCCUUUCUGUGUCAAUGUGGUGAGGGGUUUGGCUAUCUUAGAAAAGUUCUGAAUGAAUCUUCGGUAGUAGCCCACAAGACCCAAAAAUUGGCGAAUUUAUGUUGGCGUUGUUGGAAUUUCCCAGUUUUUGAUUGCUUUGAUCUUUGAAAGAUCCAUGUGUAUUCCUUCCUAACUAACUACAUGGCUUGGAAAGUUUACACUGCGGAGCCAGAACUCACACUUGGAGAGUUUCGUAUACAACUUUUCAGCUCGAAGGGUCUUCAAGAUCUGUUGGAGAUGUUGACUAUGCUCUUCUUUGCUUCGAGAGUAUAUGAGGAUAUCAUCGAUGAAAACGAUCAGGAAUUUGUCAAGGAAUGGGCGGAAGACUCGAUUCAUGAGGUCCAUAAAUGCAGUGGGGGCAUUUGUUAGACCGAAGGGCAUCACGACGAAUUCGUAAUAACCGUAACGGGUUUGGAAAGCAGACUUAGGAAUGUCCUCAUCUCGGACCUUGAGUUGAUGAUAACUGGAUCUUAGAUCUAUCUUUGAAAAGUAACUAGCCCCUUGAAGCUGGUCAAAUAGAUCAUCGAUUCGUGGAAGUGGAUACCGGUUUUUGAUGGUGAGCUUAUUUAGUUCCCUAUAAUCAAUGCACAUCCUGAAGGAUUCGUCUUUCUUUUUAACGAAAAGAAUCGGAGCUCCCCAUGGAGAGAAGCUUGGUCUUAUGAAUCCUUUAUUCAAGAGUUCACUUAGUUGGCUUGACAAUUCAUGCAUUUCAGCGGGAGCCAACCUAUAGGGUGAUUUGGCUAUUGAAGUGGCUCUAGGCACUAGGUCGAUUCAGAAUUCGAUUUGUCGUUCUGGGGGUAUUCCUGGAAGCUCUUCUAGAAACACAUCCGGGAAGUCACAUGCCACUGGGAUGUUUUGAAUGUUCGCUUCCUCUUUGGUAUUAUCCACCACAUGAGCAAGGAAUGUGUAGUUCUUCUUUUGUAGACACUUUUGUGCCUUGAUACACGAGAUAAGGUAAAGGUUUGCACCGGGUUUAUCUCCGUAGAUUAUUAGGGUUUCGUGAUUAGAAAGAUGAAAGUGAAUGACCUUCUCGUGACACAUAAUAUCGGCAUGAUGGGGGCUUAACCAAUCCAUGCCGAUGAUGACAUCAAAACUCCUAAUAUUUACUGGCAUCAAAUUUAUUUGGAAAAAGUGGUUGUUUAGUGUUAACGUACAUCCUAUAUAGAUAUCUUUGGUUGUUUCAGUGUUCCCAUUAUCCAUUUCCACCGUGAAGGAUUCGUUGAGCUUCUGGGGUUGUUGAUUUAGAAAGUAUUUGAAUUUAUUACUAACGAAACUUCGCUCCGCCCCACUAUCAAAUAAGAUGCAUGCAUACGAGUUGUUAAGUAGGAACGUACCGAUGAUAACAGCUGGGUCCUACACUGCUUCAUCCUAACCCAUUGUCAACACUCUCCCUGCUGCUCCUGCCCCUUGAUUGUUUGCGUUGGGGAAAUUUCUCCUGAAAUUCCCGGUUUUCCCACAUACGUAACAGGUAUAAUUGGCCCCAACAUUGGUGUUGUUGUUAUUGUUGUUGUUGUUGGUGUUGUUGUUGUUGUUGUUUUUUGGCAUCUGGUUUUGUUGAAGCUGAGUCCUGCAAUACUUUGUUGUAUGGCGUUUCUGGUUGAACCUUGCGCAAAUCAUCUCUCUGUAUUCCCCAUGAUGGUGGAAGUUGCAUUUGUUACACUUGGCGAGAUUUCCUGAAUACUGCUUUGGAGCAUUUGGCGUGGAUGAGGCUGGAGCAUGGGGUGUGGUGGUAGCUUGAGUUACAGCAUGGACAGUCACAGUUUGUUGCUUCUUAGAUGAUUCUGAGUUAUGUUUUCCAUUUCUCUUGUUGUUUAUCCCUUUCUUUCUCUCUUCUUCCUUCUUAACCUCCGCUUCCACUGUUUUGGCACGCUUCUUAUUUCCAUGAUCAUACGAUUUCUUGUCCAGUCUCUUGGCGCUAUCAAACAUCUCAGGGUUUUGCUGCAAUAACAUUCCCUUAGAUAGGUGCAGUCAAUCCCUAGAUAAACCUAUCAAUCUUUUUCCCUUCUAAGGUGAUCAUUCCGGGACACAAAAGAGAUAGCUCACUAAACCUAGAUAUGUAUGCGGUUAUAUUGGAGUUUUGAACUGUGAGGUUCCACAACUCUUGUUCCAUCUUCUGAAUUUCACCUCCAAGACAGUAUUCUGCCAACAUCAUUUCCUUAAGCUCUUCCCAGAGCAUCGCGUUCGCUACCGGGAGUGUCAUGGCCUCUACAUGCCCAUUCCACCAGGAGAUGGCUUGAUCAAUGAAUUUGCAGGUUGCGAACAUGACCUUACACUCAUCUGGGCACCCACAGAUUUCAAAAAUGGAUUCUACUUUCUCGAUCCAUCGCUUCAGGGCUAUUACGCCUCCUGUCCCAUUAAAGGUUCGAGGUUUGGCAUUGGUGAAGUCCUUGUAGGUGCAUGUUCGUGUGGCUCCAUGGAUUGUUCCUUGAUUUGUGCUUCCGUUUCCCUGUCGGUUGCCUUCUCUAUUGUUUCCAUUGCGAAUCUGCACAAGUGUUGUAGUGACCGCAACAGACAAUGUUGCCUGGAAUGCAACCGAGAUUAUUUUCGGCGGGUUUGGUGUUGCGUUGUUUCCACGAUUGGGCCUUUGAGGCAUCUUUCUGUCAUGGAACGGAAAGAUGUAGAGUGACUAUUGUUUUGCGAGUUUGGAAUCCCCUAGGCUAGGUGUAUCGAGUGUGUAUUUAAGUAAUUUCAUACAUUAACAUAAAAUAGGGAAGUAAAACACAUAGCAGAUGACAACAUCAUGAUAAAACGUAAAGCAUUUUCAUUAAUACUAAUUGUUUUGAUACAUGAACAUUUGCCAGAAGGCAUACAGUACAUAGGGAAAUAUAAAAUAUGGCAGCAUUACAACCCUAUGAGCAGUGUGAUCACUUAAACAUAGAGUCGAUAGUACAUAGCAUAGUACACAUAAGGGAAACCUAAUAGUAUUAAGAGAUACUACUGGUCCUGAUCAUACUGAGAAGUGCCUAAUGGUGGUGGUGAAAUCAUAUCCCAAAAUGUUAUGCUAAUAACUGAUCCAUCUCGGUCAUCUCUCCGAUGACCUCAUCUUUUUCCUACUCAGUUUGCAUGGCUCGUGCCUCCAUAGCAAAUAGUUGUUGUCGAAGUGUGGCAACCUCCGCUUCCAGAGACCGAUCCUCAUCAACGGGGUUCCCUAGUGGACCAGGGUGGUCCUGGUGUGCCUCAUUGGUAGGUGGUUCGACGGGGGCUUCAUUUUUGUCCCCAUCCUCCUCCAUGUCUUCGUCAGUCCUAUCAAACUCAUAGUCUGUAUUAGUGUACUCGUCGGGCCCAAUGGUAGGGGCUCCUCCUUGUUCCUCCUCGGGAUUCUCCUCAAGCAUCCCAUGUGCCACUAGGGAUUGAUAAAAAUGGACUCCUUGCUGAGCGUCGUCCAUGGUGACUGCAUGAGGGCGUAUGAAUAAGUCAUGUUUUGAUUAUUCCUAUAGUAUAUUUUACUUAUUUAGGUUUGGUUUCCCUAGAGUUGUUGGAGAGUGAGGUAGGCUUUUGGAUUCAUUUCCCGCUAUGAUUACUCCCAAACACAAUUUGGUCAUAUUCUGAAUAAAUAUAGUUGAUCAGGCUAUAUUUAUCCCUAAUAGGACUACAUAACUGCCCAUGUUUAAUUAUAAUGUUCAAUAUCCUCCAAAAGCUUUUAUUAAAUAUUGUUAGGUUAUUAUCCUAAUAUGCGCAUAUAAGUAUGAAAUUUUUGUUUUGUUCACAGUUAUUUAGUCCCAUUGUGUUUAUAGUUGCAUAUCAUGUAUGGUUAGAUAUGCUAGUUCACUAUAAACAUUGCUUUGAUACCAACCUGUCACACCCCCGACCCAGACGGUGGAAACGUCUAGGGGCUCCUGUGACUAACAAUUGAAUUAUCAUCACAAUGGAUAUACAUGAAACAUAACACAUUCAUCACUAACAUUACAUAUUACAACCAGCAUUGUUCACAUCAAGUACAUUGUUAAAGAUUACAUAAAUUCAAAGUAUUAAUAGUAAGAUAGGUGAUGUGACACAAAAUAAAUCCAUACACACUUGAAAAUCUUCCUGCUUAACAAUUACCUGAGAAUACAAGUUAUUUUGAAAAAUGGUCAACAUAUAUAAUGUUGGUGAGUUCAUAAGUAUGUUUGAAUAAAAGUCUUUGCAUCUUUUGUAAAAACCCAGAAAAUCCGAUAUUUUCUGUAAAAUGUCUGAAAAUGAUGUGAAAAUCAAGUAUAAAUUCAUGUGUGAAUUUCAUAGCAGUAACAUAUAUGAUUUCAGUUUAAAUUUCUUUGUAUUGUAAGUAAGUGAUAAUUGAAUAAUAGUCUUUACCCAGAAAAUCCGAUAUUUCCUGAUUUAUAAUAAUGUCAAGGUUCUUGUAUCAUUAAUUAAGUUGUUUCGUAUUGACAAAAUCGAAGGGUUAAUCUUCGAAAUGUUAAAUUGGUAUUGGAUCUCUAUAUGAGUUGUUAUAACCAUGCAUGAUAAUGACUAGGUUGGCUGUCUUGGCAUUUUCCAAACGCCUGUAUUUGCUCAAGGUUUUGUCACCCUAGACUGGCCUAGUCUAGUUGUAGCCAACAACUAAGGCGUGGGGGGUCACCCCAUAUAGAUCUAUACACAAACUCCCGCUCUCCCUCCAGGAAACUCUGGUUAUAACUACAGACUACGAUUGUACACUCAGAGGUGUCAACCGACAUGUCUCACUAGAUUCUCAACUUUUCAUACCAUGUUUAAUGUUUACGUGAAUGUUGUAUGUUUUCAAAUCCAAAGGUAUAUAUAUAAGUAUACGAACUUUAGGGCUGGCAAUUGUUGACACGAUACGCGACACGACAUGAAAUAAAUGGGUUUGGGUUGAGUUUUUCAACCCGCCAACCCGCUAACCCGUCAACCCACCAACCCGUUUAUUAAACGGGUCAUAUAUGGGUUUCUCAAAAAAUAAACGGGUUGACCCGCCAANUGUAAGUGGACCACCAAGGCCCAACAAACAUGUAACCUAUAGCUCAGGCCCAAAUUAACAUGUAAAUGGGUCGCAAGGCCCAAUAAACAGGUCAUGGAAAAUAUUGGGCUCAAUAUAUACUUGAAUGGGCCCUUAAGGCCCAUUGGCCAUGUAAUGUGAAUAUUAGGUCCAAUAAAAUUGCUAUCAAUGUAUUUCGUCAAUUCGUUAUUAUUUUGUGGUUUGCUUUAGCUCGAUGUUUACCGAAUUAAAUAUAAAAGUCCUCUUUUUGUAUAAACGACGUUCUUGGCCAAGAAGCCUAAAAUUUUGAAUUAAGGCCCAAAGUUUUGUAAAAAUUAACACUUUAGUCCAUAAUUUAUAAAAAUUUGUAAUUUCGCCCCAAAUGUUUAGAAAUUUACGGAUCUAGUCCAAAAAAUUAUAUUUUGAUAUUUAUGGCCCAGUUUCGUAGAAUAUUACACUUUCAGACUCUUGUUUGUAAAAAUGACACUUUUGACCCAAUUUUUAUAAAAGUUACAUUUUUGGUCCAAUUUAGAAAUAUAUGUUAUUUUUUCCCCUAAAUAUGGUUUAUUUACAUUUAUGACUCAAACUUUGGUCAAAUAACAUUUUUAAUCCCAAAACUUCCAUUUUUUUGCAAAUUUGGGCCCAAAACCGUGAGGCCCAAAUAUUCAGCCCAUUAAGCUAAAACUUACGUUUUUGGCCCUUUGGAAAGCAUGUUUAUCAUAAAAAUCCCUUUAUAUACAAGUAGAACCUGUUUGGUCCUUUAAAAACCACUUUUUGCCCUUAUCUUUUGUUUUCUUGACAAUUUUGACUCUUAACAACGUUUUUGCUUUAAAUUUUUGUAUCUUAAACAUAUAAACACUUUUAACUUGAUAAUAUGAUGUAUAAGGUGUCUUAGUUCAUGGGUUUUUUACUUAAUGUUGCUUAAGAUGUCGAGACAUGCUAAGAUCUAACAUAUUUUUUACAAAAUAGACUAAGAAAUCACACACGACAUGCAUAUAACACAUAGAUCUACACAUUUUACUUGUAUUCUCCCCCAAAACUAAUAUGAAAACCAAAAACAAGGGGGUAAGAACUCACCUUUGCUUCGAUGUUUCGGUUUUGAAGAAGAAAUGGAAGAAGUUGAUGUGAUUUUUUGCUCUAGCAAGCUCCUUGAGUAGAUUUCGAGCUUAAGAAGUUUCCAAGAGUCUGACCAUGGAAUAAAGCUAUGUAACAAGGAAUUUUUUGAUGUUAAAAUAAAAGGAGAUGUUUGUGUUUGAUAACAACUUACCAAAGAUUGAAAAUGCUUGAUGAAGAUCCUUAAAACUCAAGCAAAAUUUUGAGAUCCUUGGAGAAAGGAGGAUGAUCUUUGAGAGUGUUUGGAGAGGAUUUGAAAGAGUGUGUGUGUGUGUGUGUGUGUGGUUUGCCUCUCGGCCGUGAGUAGAAGAAGAAGGGGGAAAGAGAAGAUGUGAUGGAUACUUAGGAGUAUAAGCUUUGUAUUUGCUUAAUGGGUAAUUAGCUUGGAGAACCACCAUGUAAUUAUCAUGUGUCAAUGCAUGGUAAUUCUCUUAUUUUCCUUUUUUUACAUGUAUAUGAAUGUACAUAUCUAAUGGGCCGAGAAAAAGAAAGAAUGGAGGGGCUUUGGCCUCUUUUUGAUUUGGUUCGAGUUUAUGAGGCCCAUAGAAAGAGGCUUUCGGCCCAUUGGGCCUUUAGGUGUGUUCACGGCCCAUUUCGAAAGAAGAAAGGGUGUUUAUGGCCCAUUACGGCUAAUUAAUUCAUUAAUGGCCUAAUAAGGCCCAUUAAGGAUAAACCAAUUUAUUUUGGACCCAAAAUGGCCCAAAAUGCUAAGUUUCACGGAAGUGGGUCCAAUUAGUGCCCAUUUAAGGGUCCUAAGCCCAAAAUAGUUAAAUUGGAACCUCAUUGGUCCAUUAGGCCCAAUAAGGAAAUCCUAGUCCAAUAUGGACUUAAAUCGGGAUUCUUAGGGUUUUCAAACUCUUUGUUGAACAUGAGAGGUGAAUUUAAAUGAGCAUUGCGUGAUAUUUACUUAAAGUAUAUGUUUUACACUAGUUGAAUGAUUACACGAGAAUAGAGUUUUCUAGCAAAAAUGCUAGUUGUGACAUUAAUGAAAUCGUGAUUAUUUAUAGUAGGAGCAACAUUCCUCAUAGCAACCACACUUGAUUUACCAACUUCACCUAAAGUCAUCUGCAUAGGCAAGGUGCUUAAGUUUACAAACAAGGUAAAAUCAGUUGAUCGAGUUUUGUUCACGACAUCUAUCUCAUUAACAACACUGAUACUUGGAUGAUCCUAAAGUUUUGAUGAUGAACCUCUUCCACAAAUAUCCGUUUAUUGUUUUGAGUAUGAUCUUUGAGAUAAAACACUUGUUUAGCUUGUGUGGAUAAGAUGUAUUAUUGAUCAUCAUACCUUCUUUUAUUGACAUACCAUCCAUGACUGGUAUCUAUAACGACCAUAUUAUUUAUAGUCUUUAAACAUCCAUUACGUAAUGACACAUUGAACCAUUUACCACGACAGAGUAAAAUUGAGUUACCAUAUAAAUAAUGCGAAUCUAGGAUCUCCUCUAAUUGUCCAUAGAAUGGUCUACCAUCUUCUUGUUGGAUUAGUGUCUAAUUCCAUAACUAUAUUUGGUAUGUACUUGACCCAAUUGGCAUGGUCCAUUUGGGUUGCAUGACAUCAUGCAUUUGGAUAGACUAAAAUGAGAGAAUAACACUUAAGGUUUAUUAAUAUAUUAUAAGUUCUAAUAUAUUAAUAAGAUUAUUUAAUUAGUAUUGAUCAAGAAUUAAUUUGGAACUAAUUAAGUGAUCAAAUGGAGACUAAUUAAAUAUAUGGGUUGAUUGUGUAAAUCAUCCAUACUUGUAUAGUGGGCUAAUGCCCCAUGGAUUAUCAAGUUGGGCUAAAACCCAUAGGAUGCUCCAUGGUGUGUUUGUACCCAUGGAUCAUGGAAAUGAAAAGCCAUGAAAAUUAGGGUUUACAUGGUGUAACCCUAAUUGUGACACACUAUAUAAGUAUCUUAUUCUUCCCAAAAAAAGAGCUAUAAAGGAAUGGUGAGGGCUAGCCGAUUUCAUGAAGUGUCUAAUUUCUCUCAAGUUAUUCUAAGUGUAUUUGGUGUUGUGUGAACCAUCUGAGGUGUCACACUUGGGGAACUAGGCUCUUAAGCUCCGUGGAAUCAAGCUACACCAAAAGGAAUGUCUUCUAACUUGUAUUAUUCCUCAUGAAUCAAUAUUUUGUAUGCUAGUUAGGAUAAUACCUUGGAAUAUUAAUAUUUGCAUGUAUAAUAGAGAAAACAUAGAUCCAAGAUAUUUAGGGUUGCAUGUACACAUAGGAGUGUUAGAAUGCUCAAAACCAUUCACUUCUCCAAAUUUAACAACACCACUAUUUUUAGUAGUGUGUCAGAGAUCACGAAUACUCACAACAAAACGAACACCGACAAUAUGUAUUAUGUUGGUCAUAGACAAUUCUUGAAUAUGAACCAUAGAUGGAGGGAGAGUCUAUUGUUUGAUGGUCCACCCGAUACAAGACCGUAUCCUAGACGAUUUAGUAAUUUAACUAUAUUAAAGUAAUGUAACGUCUGUGUUUCUGGGCUUGCCAUUUUUAGCAAUGUANNNNNNNNNNNNNNNNNNNNNNNNNNNNNNNNNNNNNNNNNNNNNNNNNNNNNNNNNNNNNNNNNNNNNNNNNNNNNNNNNNNNNNNNNNNNNNNNNNNNGACGAAGGUGGACCGGUAUGCGAAGGGACUCCCAUGGGAGUAUGACGUGCCAGUACGUCAGGCACAUACUUUAGAGGCAGCUAUCUGGGCUACCAAGUCUGUUGAGAACAUGAUAAAGGGGAGAACCACCAACAAGGUUGAGGUUGGUGAGAAGAGGAAGUUUGAGGGAACAUCUGGUUCCGGUAAGAAAAGCAAAUUUUCGAAAUCUGAUUCGAAAAGGUUUGGUGGGGGUAAAGGAGGGGAAGCGAAGUGGUGUGAAAAGUGUAAGAAAAAGCAUUUCGGGAAAUGUAGCGAGGAUGUAACUUGCUACAAGUGUGGAAAGGUUGGACAUUUUGCCAAUGAAUGUCCGAACAACAAAAGGAUGUGUUUUGGUUGUAAUGAAGAGGGGCAUAUUUUGAAAGACUGUCCGAAGAAGAAGGAGGCAGCUAAGCCCAACAUUCCACCAAAGCCGAAGGCGAGAGCCUUCCAGAUGACACUUGAGGCUGCGAAAGAUGAAGCUGAUGUCGCUUCAGGUACCUUUCUCGUAAACGAAUUACCUGCUCAUAUAUUGUUUGAUUCUGGAGCCAACUACUCCUUUAUUUCGCAUGAGUUUGGUAGAAAGCUAGCUUUGCCUAUUGAUAGACUAGAUGAUGCUUUAUUAGUCGAAGUAGCUAGUGGCAAGUUUGUACCUGUUAGUCAUCGUAUGAAAAGCAUCUUAAUUGAUCUGAAUGGGAAUAAGUUUCACGAGGAAUUAUUGCCUAUCGAACUAAAUGGUUUCGACAUCGUGUUGGGAAUGGAUUGGCUUAGCGCCAAUGAUGCCGAAAUUUUGUGCAAGAAGAAGAUAGUUAAAGUAAACCCGCCUGGGAAAGAUUCGUUUAUGGUGUAUGGGGACAAACGCAGAGUGAAUUCUGGAAUCAUUUCUCUAAUGAAAGCCAGAAAGUGUUUGACCAAGGGAUGUACAUCAUAUUUAGCAUUCGUGAUUGAUGCUAAGAAGGAAAAGAAGGUGAUGCAGAGUAUUCCAGUGGUGUGUGAUUAUCCGGAAGUAUUUCCCGAGGAUCUUCCUGGAUUACCACCUGAUAGACAAGUGGAGUUCAGAAUAGACUUGUUACCAGGAACCACGCCAAUAGCAAAAGCACCUUAUCGAUUAGCACCGACGGAGAUGAAGGAGCUGAUGAUGCAACUUCAGGAGUUAUUGGACAAAGGUUUCAUUAGACCUAGUUCAUCGCCCUGGGGAGCUCCGGUGUUAUUUGUAAAGAAGAAAGAUGGAAGUAUGAGAAUGUGCAUCGAUUACAGAGAGCUGAACAAGGCAACAAUAAAGAAUAGAUAUCCGUUGCCGAGGAUUGAUGACCUGUUUGAUCAAUUGCAAGGUUCGAGCUAUUUCUCGAAGAUCGAUCUUAGGUCAGGAUAUCAUCAGCUGAAAGUAAGAGAGCAAGAUAUCGAGAAGACUGCAUUCAGAACUAGAUAUGGACACUACGAGUUCUUGGUUAUGUCGUUUGGACUAACCAAUGCUCCAGCAGCGUUCAUGGAUUUGAUGAAUAGGGUUUGUAAUCCUUUCCUUGAUAAAUCCGUGAUAGUGUUCAUAGACGACAUUCUGAUCUACUCGAAAAGCCAGGAGGAGCAUGGCAGACACUUGCGAGAAGUGUUAGAAGUUUUGAAGAAGGAGAAGCUUUAUGCGAAGUUCUCCAAAUGUGAUUUUUGGAUUCGUGAGGUCCAAUUCUUGGGUCACGUGGUCAACCAAGAAGGGAUAAUGGUUGAUCCAGCGAAGAUCGAAGCUGUGACGAAGUGGGAACAACCGAAAAGUCCCACGGAGAUUCGAAGCUUUUUAGGAUUAGCCGGAUAUUACCGAAGGUUUAUCCAAGGCUUUUCUUCGAUUGCUACUCCAUUAACAGCUUUGACCCACAAAGGAGCUACUUAUGCUUGGAGUGAGAAGCAUAAAGAAGCAUUCGAGAAGUUAAAGAAGAAGCUAUGCGAGGCACCGAUACUUUCUCUACCCGAUGGAGUUGAAGACUUCGCUGUUUAUAGCGAUGCGUCUGGUGUUGGAUUGGGUUGUGUUUUGACCCAAAGAGAAAAGGUGAUAGCAUAUGCGUCUCGACAGCUGAAAGAGCAUGAAAAGAAUUACCCGACUCAUGAUUUGGAGUUGGCAGCGGUAGUUUUCGCUCUGAAAAUAUGGAGGCAUUACCUCUAUGGCACGAAGUGCAAACUUUUCACUGAUCAUAAGAGUCUCCAAUACCUCUUUAAUCAGAAAGAAUUGAAUAUGAGGCAACGACGCUGGCUAGAAUUACUUAAAGACUACGACUGCGAGAUACUUUACCACCCCGGUAAAGCUAAUGUUGUUGCUGAUGCUCUCAGUCGGAAAGUCAAUCUUGAAAGGAAGAGGCCAAGAGCGUUGAGAAUUGAAGUUGUCUCGACUAUUGUGGAAAGUAUAAAGAAAGCUCAAGAGGAAGCUUCUGAGAAAAAUGACCGAAAGGAGGAACGUUUGGGUAAAACGUUGGUGUUUGGUACUAACGGUCAUGGACUGAAGGUAUUCCAAGAUCGUAUUUGGGUACCUAAGUCAGGAGGAAUUAGGGAUCUUCUGAUGGAAGAAGCUCACAAAACCAUGUACUCAAUUCAUCCGGGUAGCACUAAAAUGUAUAGGGACCUGAAACCCUACUACUGGUGGCCGACGAUGAAGCUUGAUGUUGCAAAGUAUGUGGCCGAGUGUGUGACUUGUGCGAGAGUCAAGACACAACAUCAGAAACCUUACGGGAGUUUAGAACCAUUGCCUGUGCCUAUGGGUAAGUGGGAAGACAUUGCUAUGGAUUUUGUCACUAAACUGCCCAGAACAAAGAAUGGUCACGACAUGAUUUGGGUGGUCGUUGAUCGAUUCACUAAGAGUGCGCAUUUCAUAGCGGCCAGGGAGAAAUGGUCUAUGGAAAAGCUUGCGAAUUCUUACGUGAAGGAAAUUGUGAGGCUUCACGGUGUUCCGUUAACGAUUGUAUCGGAUCGUGAUAGCCGUUUCACCUCAAGGUUUUGGAAAAGUCUACAAGAGGAAAUGGGUACCAAGUUAUGUUUAAGCACAGCUUACCAUCCGCAGACUGAUGGUCAGAGUGAAAGAACAAUACAAACACUUGAAGAUAUGCUGAGAGCAUGUACCUUGGAAUUCCUAGGUAAUUGGGAUGAACAUUUACCGUUGGUAGAAUUUUCCUAUAAUAAUAGUUUUCACUCGAGCAUUAAGAUGGCACCUUAUCAAGCUUUGUAUGGACAGAAGUGUCGUACGCCGUCUUGUUGGCUUGAGGCUGGGGAAAAGCAGUUUAUGGGACCGGAGAUGGUUCAUCAAACUGCUGAAAAGUUGAAAAUAAUUAGGGAAAGAAUGUUAGCAGCUCAAGAUCGUCAAAAGAGCUAUGCUGACAAGAAGCGAAGACCGAUGACUUUUGAGGUUGGAGAUUCGGUUUUGCUUAAAGUCUCGCCGUGGAAGGGACUUAUAAGAUUUGGUAAAAGGGGAAAGUUGAGUCCAAGGUUUAUUGGACCGUUUAAAGUCCUUCAGAGGAUUGGGAAUCAAGCUUACAAGCUCGAAUUACCCGAAGAACUGAAUGGAAUUCACAACACCUUUCAUGUGUGUUAUUUGAGGAAGUUCACGGGAGAAGUUCCCGAUAUAAUUCCAAUUUCUGAAUUGAGAAUUGAUGAGAACAAAAGGUUGAUUGAAGAACCAGAGGCAAUUGUUGACCGAAAGACUAAGAAGUUGCGACGCAAAAUGGUUGGGUUAGUGCUUGUCCGAUGGAAACACACGAAUGGGCCGAAUCUCACCUGGGAGACGGAGAGUGACAUGUUGAGUCGCUAUCCGCAUUUGUUUGUUGAUGUGUGAUUCCGGGGACGGAAUCAUUCUAAGGUGGAGAGAAUUGUAACGCCUGUGUUUCCGGGCUUGCCAUUUUUAGCAAUGUAAUAGUCUAGGUUAACCUUUGUAACCCGUUUUGAAAUAAUAAGAUUGUAUUAUUUGAGUAUUAUGUGUUUUGUGCUUAAUUGCUUAAUUAUGUGGUUUGAUUAAUUAAGAAUAAAAAUAAGCGUCAAAAUUUAAGUGUAAAAUAAACUUAAUAUCUUUGGUUAAUGUUGUAGUAGUUGAAACGAGGUUUCCGAAUAUAUAUAGAACGCCCAAAUCUGACUUCGUAUGAGGAAGUUAUGAUUUAUCGAAGUUCCGGCUUAGCGAUAUACAGCCUGUUUUACUCGAUUUGAGAUCGAGCGGUUGUUAGCCGAAGCAAUCUAAAUGAGAAUCGAAGAUCUCAUUGUUGGUAUUGAAACGAUAAAAAGUUAGGCGAGAACGGACGUCAAACGAAGAAGUUAUGAAUUUAUAACGAAAGUUUCUGUCCCGGCCUAUUAAAAAUAAUUAAUAAAAAUAAAGUCAAAAUUAGCCGACGGAGUCUAAACGAAAGUCGUAGAGCGUGGUCUCACCUUCGCGUGGAUAUAAAGAACGUCGAAAACGGAGUUCGUAUGAAGAAGUUAUGAAUUUCCGAAGUUUAUUAAUCAUUUUGUAUUUAUUUUUAAUUCAAAAUUCGGAAGCAUUAUCCGAAGGAGUCACCGAUCUGAUCCGAGGUACGCCCCGCGUACUCGAGUACGCCCCGCGUACUCCGAGGGAUGUCGACACUCGCACUCGAGCACUUCGGAUACGUAAGCAAUGACGUUUUGGGCAGUACGCCCCGCGUAACGCAGUACGCCCCGCGUACUCCGAGGCUCCAGCCUCCUAUAAAUAGGAUGCGAGGGUUCCGGGUAUUUUUGCCAAUUCCCUCUCGUUUUCGUGUCGAAGCUCUGUGCAAAAACCCCCGAAGCUACCCCGAAGUCCCGGUAUCAUACUCUAGCCCCGAGGCAAGUCCCGAGAUCCUGAAGAUCCCGAAAAGUGCGGUUCCCGAGUCGAAGCUCUGCCCGCGAGAAGUUCGAUUUUCGAGAAGAUCUUCCAGAUCUGCUGUGGAUUACUACUUCUAUAAGCCGUAGUGCUGUCCGAUCAUCUUCUGAUCAAGUGAGUGUGUAGUUAUUUCUUCUAAUACAAUAAUACGAAGUAUUUUAUAUAAAAAUACGUGCUAUGUGUAUAUAUUUUGUUGUUAUAUAUGUGAAUGUAUACCCACUCUCUUCUAUCUUAUAGAUCUGAUUAUUUCUCAAUGAAAUACGUGUUAUGUGUGUGUGCCUCAUCUGUUAUGUGAAAAAUGUUUUGAUUGAGCAUGCUAUACAGGUUUUGAAACUACGUAUAAAAAUGUAUAUUUUAUCUACUAAUAUGUUGGGUAGAAUAUGGGUAGAUAGUUGGUGUGUAAUAAACAGAUGAGAGGCCUCGAUGUUGUUUUGAUCCAGUCAUCUAGCGGAAUUUAGAUGACGACCACGGACUUUUCUAGACAGUCCAGUGGAACGCUAGCAGGCUCAUAACCUGUAGGUGUUAAUGAACUUGGGUGUUCAUUCGCUGUAUUCCAUCCCCCCCAUGGUUGCCUUAUUUGACUUAUAUUGCUGAGGAACCCCCGAAGCAUGUGUAGUCGCCCCGAUGAAAUAUUCUUUGACUAGGUCCCUUGUGUUAGUUAUUUUAGGGACAUAAAGUGAGAAUAACGGGAAUGGGUAACUGGGUUAUUGUUGGAUGAUAAUAAUUAAUUAAAUUAUUUAUUGUGGGUUGAAAACCCUAUAUGCUCACCAGGCUCCCAAGCCUGACCCACUCAGUUGAUUUAUUUUACAGGAAGUGGCGCAAGAGCUUAAGAUGGGCGAACAUCAAGUUGUUUUGUUUACAAGUCUGUAUAUGUAUAUAUUUGUUGAAAGACUUGUAAUGCUAUCGUUUAUGCUUUAUGAUCUGUAUCGGAACAUGACAUCCCGACUUUUGAUUAUGAAAUGAAAUCAUAUUUCUUUAUGAAAUGUUUUGAUAAAUAUCUAUUUUAUCAUGUUUUGUUUUUGGGAACAAAUUCCGCAUCUCUUUUAAAAAUUAAAAGGAUUUACUCUGAAAAUUAUUUUAAAAAGCAUAAAUGAAAUCGGUCUUUUCUGGCCGAGAUUUUGGGGAUGUCACAAGUAAGUAGCUCGUCUCUCUGAUAAUAUGUAUUAUGUUGGUCAUAGAUGAUUCUUGAAUAUGAACCAUAGCUAGAGGGAUAGCCUAUUGUUUGAUAGUCCACCUAACACAAGACCGCGUCUUAGACAAUUCAGUAAUGUAACUAUAUUAAAGUAAGUAGCUCGUCUCUCUGAUAAUAUUCCAGGGGAAUAUCCUAAUCAUGGGGCUAAAAAAGAAAGCAUGAACAUGAAAGCAAAAAGGCAGAGUUGAAUCGGAUGAAACAAAGUAUCUUAUUUGAGCUUGAGUAUUGGUCUUCCCUCCACCUAAAACAUAAUUUUGAUGUUCUACAUGUUUUGAAAAAUAUGAAUGAGAGUGUGUAUAAUACUACACUGAUGAACGAUAAAAGAAAAUACAUAAAAGAAGUAAGAAUUGACUUGAAAAAUACGGUCAUUCGACCAGAUCAAUGGCCAAAAGAGAAAGUCAAGAAGAAGAAGACAGUACACCAUUCUAUGGUCCCUUGGUUGAUGCAUCUCUCAUUUGGACUCCUUCAACCCAUAACAUUUUCAACUCAGCCACCAAAGGCCUCAAGUAAACAUCAAUGUCCUUUGUAGGUGAUCUAGGGCCAGGAAUCAACAAAGUUAGCAUGAAAGAAGAGUCCUUCAUACAUAUCCAUGGUGGUGUAUUGUAGUUAGUAAAUAUAACCAUCCAAAUAAUAUAAGUAUUAUUAAAGUUGUUGAACGGAUUAAAGCCAUCAGCAGCUGAACCUAGACGAAUAUUUCUAUAUUCUUUAGCAAACUCUCGAUAUCUCUUAUCAAAUUAUUUCCAUGACUUCUCGUCAACCGGAUGACGCAUCUUACCAUCCAUUGAGCAUCCAGUAUUAUGACAACUAAUAUAUUUACCAGUGAAUCUGGAACUAUACAUUCGUCGAAGCCUUGAGUCAAAGGAAACUACCACAAUGCUUUUUGUGGUACUCUCUUCCCAUUUUGUUGUUGUGUCCACCCAUUUGCUUGCAUUACAAAUUCGGGCAAUUUUACAUGGAAUCAUUCUCCUUCCAAAACGAAGCACAAUCAUAUUUACAAGUAUGGAUGGAUUGAUAUCAAACCCUAUCUUUCUCAACUUAUUCUUAGCUUCAUAGUGUGAAGUUGCUCUUCGGGAAUGAAACUCUUAGUAACUCUACAAGUUGGUUAAAAAAAAUAUUUGUCCAUUUAUUUAUCACUUUAGUAUGCAACAACUUUGCCAGAAAGUUUAUGUAACGUCCCAAAAAUUAAGACUAAAAGUUUUUAAUUUUAAAUUAAUUAAAACCAUUAUCCAAACAACAUCUUAGAAAUCAUAGUGCAUCAAAGUGUAUCAAUAACAUCCAUGUACAUCAGCAAGAUAUAAAAAUGCAGAACGACGUGGUGGGUGCAUUGCAAUCAUCCCGUGUAACGCCCGUAAACUCGGGCUAGUCAAUUUAGAGACAAUGUGCGUCAAAAAUGACUUUUUGAUGGGAGAUUGUUUACAAGAAACAAUCUUAACCAAGUUAUAUUAUAUGUCACAAAGGUUCCUUAUAUAUAAAGAACGCCAAAAUCCGAGUUAUAACGAAGAAGUUACGACCUUUCGAAGUUCUACGACAAAACCAACACGGCACCGUGUAACGUAAAAAGUGAAAUCUUGAUAAAUUACUUUUUAGCCUUAGGGAUCUAAAUGAAAGUUGUUUUAUACAUUAAAUUGAGAGCAUGCAUAAAAAGAACGUCAAAAUCUGACUUUGUAUGAGGAAGUGAUGAUUUUUCUAAGAUUUCGCACAGAGUAUACAACCUGGAAUUCGAAUGUCAGAUCGAGUGAUUUUUAGCCAACACAACCUAAAUUAUAAUUGAAUAUCUCAUUAAUAGGAGUUCAACGAUAAAAAGACAGUUAAAAACGGAGUCUGUAUGCAGAAGUUAUGAAUUUUACACGGUCGUUAACAAAAUAAUAUUUUCAUACUGUUAUAUUUAAAAUUGGUUGAGAAUUAGCCGAUUCAAUCUAAAGGAAAGUUGUAGAUCUUGUCAAUACCUAUGUGUGGAUAUAAAGAACGUAAAAAACGGAGCUCGUAUGCGAAAGUUAUGAAUUUUUUAAAAUUUGUUGUUUUACCUGCGUCCAGCGCCACGUGUCAGCACCAGGCGAAGCCUUAGUGCCUACACAAGGCCACGACGUGGAUUAUAAGUCUAUGAUGUUGAUUUCCCCAGAUAACCUAUAAAUAGAGGUGGAAAUAAUCCAUUUCCUUCACACCUUCACCCUUCUUUCUGUCUCAACACUCCCAAUCUCUCCCUCCUAAUCCCUAGCAACUUCUAAGUGCUAGAGGCGAGUCCCGGAGCGCCAAAAGGGUCCGAGAAGAAGAGUUUUCGUCUCAAAAUUUCCGCCCCCUCAGAGCCCGGUUCCUAGCCAAACCCCCAGGAAGUGAGUUAUGCUUACACUACUUUAAGUAUACUUAUGUUUAAGUUUAUUAUCGUUAUUAUGAACUUAUAAACAAGAUUUAUCAGUGAUUCCAAGUCGUUAUACUAAUUGAUCUACUUACGGGGAUGAUAUAUAGGUUGUGAUUUAGUGAGGUGUUUAAAGUGGGAUUUCAAAACAGUAUACUUCGUAUACGAAACGGAACUUACCUCCGAUAUGAUCCUACAUGGUUGUUCCUUACUUGAUAGAUCAUGAAAGUAGACUUUGAGUUAAUGAUGAAUCUAGACUAAUAAUUAGUCGUGCGUAAAGAUUAGACUAAAACUUAGCGAUAAUAAUGCUAGGUUUCAUCGAAGGAAAAUAGAAUCAUGAGAAGCAAAGUGCUUCCCGAGUUUGGAAUUAUCACUUUGAUAAGUGAGUGCAUAGUUACUUUCAUCUUACACAUAGAUAUGAAGUAUAUUAUAUAAAUUACAUGCUAUGUGUUCAUAUUAUAUGUUUACUUUAUAUCUAUGCUAGAUGAAUGAUCCUAUACAUGUUUUGAAUGAUUUAAACUGUAUAUAUAUUUUUUGUAUCUAUAAAAUCUAUUGGGUAAAACAUGGGUAGAUGAAUGAUAAGGGAUGAAAGUUGAUAUAGAGGAACAUUGGCAGUUAUAGACAUAGUGUCCUAUAGGUGAACAUUGACAACAAUGGACUUAGUGCCCUAUAGAUGAGCAUUGGCAGCCGUGCCACCACCUGUAGAUGUUUUGAUCUACGAUGUACUCUAAACAUCAUAGCAGCUGCGCUCAAAGGGUAGUAUCGGCAGCUGCGUGUAACGCAUGUGUUUCUAGGCUUGUCAUUAAUAUUGAUGUAAUAGUGUAGGUUAACCAUUGUAACCUGUUUCGAAAUAAUAGAAGUGUAUUAUUUGAGUAUUAUGUGUUUUGUACUUAAUUGUGUGUCUUAAUUAAAUUAAGUAUGAAAAUAAGCAUCAAAAUUAAAUGUUACAUAAAGCUGAUAUCUAUGGAUAAUUUUGUAGUAGUUGAAACGAGGUUUCUGAAUAUAUAUAGAAUGCUGAAAUCCGAGUUAUAACGAAGAAGUUAUGAUCUGUCGAAGUUUCGCGACAUAAAUCGGCACGACGAUGAAUGACGUAAAAAGUGAAUUUAUGUUAGAUUUAUCUUUAGUCCUAGUGAUCUAAACGAAAGUUGUAGAGUUCGUUAAACCGAUAGCGUGCAUAAAAAGAUCGACCAAAUCUGACUUCGUAUGAGUAAGUUAUGAUUUUCCGAAGUUUCGACUUAGCAGUGUGCAGCCCGAAUACUCGAUUUGAGAUCGAGCGGUUUUUAGUCGAAACAAUCUAAACGAGAAUCGAAGAUCUCGUCAAUGGUAGAGCAACGGUAAAAAGAUAAAUGAAAACGGACGUCAGAUGAAGAAGUUAUGAAUUUAUAACAGAGUUUUCCUAUCCCGGCCUACUAAAAAUAAAUAAUAAUAAAAUAAAUUCAAAAUCAGCCGACAGAGUCUAAACGAAAGUUGUAGAGUGUAGUCUCACCUACGCAUGGAUAUAAAGAACGUCGAAAACGGAAUUCAUAUGAAGAAGAUAUGAAUUUCUGAAGGAUUUAUAUGAUUAAUAUUUAUUAAUUAAUCUUUAAUUCGAAUGUAUAUCCGAAGGAGUCACCGACCUGAUCCACACUAUGCCCAGCGUACACCGAAGCGUGACCCACCUCGCACUCGAGUGCUCCGAUGACACAUGCAGUGACGAAUCCGAAGCGUACGCCCCGCGUACUGAGCAUUACGCCUAGCGUAAUGCGAGGCUUCAGCCACUAUAAAAGGGCAUGCGAGGGCAGCCAAUCCUUUUGCUCAAUUUCUUUUCUCUCUCUCUUGUUUUCCAUCGUUUUGCGUUCAACUUAUACCCCGAAUCCCCAGUAUCAUUCCCGAGCCCCGAAGCAAGUCCCGAAGCCCCGAAGAUCCCGAGGAGUAGAGUUCCCGAGCCGAAGCUCUACCCGCGAGAAGCCAAUUUUUGUGAAGAUCUUCCAGAUCUAUCAAAGAAUACUACUUCUACAAGUCGUAGUGCUAUCUGUUCAUCUUCUAAUCAAGUGAGUGUGUUGUUACUUUCUUCUAACGCAUAAUUACGAAGUAUUUUAUAUGAAAUACGUGUUAUGUCUAUAUUUUGUGUUGGAUAAGGUGUCUAAGUCCAUAACUAUUUCUGGUAUGUACUUGACCCGACCCGGCAUGGUCCAUUUGGGUUGCAUGGCAUCAUCCAUUUGGAUAGACUAUAUGAGAGAAUUAACACUUGUGGUUUAUUAAUAUAUUAUAAGUUCAAAUAUAUUAAUAGUAUUAUUUAAUUAGUAUUGAUCAAGAAUUAAUCUAGAAUUAAUUAAGUGAUCAAAUGGUGACUAAUUAAAUAUAUGAGUUGAUUAUGUAAAUCCUCCAUAACUUAUAUAGUGGACUAAAGGGCUCCAUUGAUAAUCAAGUUGGGUUUGUUGGAUUAUUGUCUAAGUCCAUAAACUAUUUUGGUAUGUACUUGACCCGAUGGUGUAUGGUCAUUUUGGGUUGCCUUCACCAAAGCAACUUGAUAGGAUGAAUUAUAAAGAGAAAGGAUUAAAUAUGAUUUAUUAAUAUAUUAUGAUAAUACUAUAUUAAAGGAGAAAUCAUAUUGUUUAAUUAAUAUUAGUCAAGAAUUAAUUGAUAAUUAAUUUUGUGACUAAAAGAGAUUAAUUAAACUUAAGGGACUAGAACUGUCAAUUGUAUGAUAGUUGAAUAUUGAGCUAAUGGACUCCAUAUUAAAGGAGUGGAUGAAUUCUAUGGGGAAACCCAUUAGAAAUCGUCCUAGGCCUUUAAGGAAGGAGCCCAUGGGUUACUUAGGGCUUAAGCAUCCAAAUUAGGGUUUCCUUGUUAGAUAACCCUAAUAGCCUCACUAUUUAAGGACCCUUUGGGCACCAAAAACGUAGGCAACUGAAUCCUAGGGGUUUCUACACGUUUUUGGGUGUUUCUUCUCUUCUCCUAUUCAUCCUCUUGCUCUUGGUGUUUGUGAACCAUUAGAGGAGUGACAUUUGUGACUCUAAGCUUUCUAAAGUCAUUACAAAGGAGGAUUUGAGAUUGUUAUUGCUACAUAACAAUCAAGGUAUGAUCUAAACCCUAAUUCAUAUCUUAUACUGAUUAUCAUAUACUAGAUCCAAGCAUUAGGGUUUGUAUGAGCACAUAGGAUGUUCUUAUAGCUAAAACCCAUCAGUGGUAUCAGAGCCUUGAUUGGUUUCUAUUGUAUUGAUGCCUUGUUAAUUUGUUCAUGCUUGAAAAAUUCGAUUUUGUGAGUCUGCCUAAUGAACUCGGCGAGUCCCAUUGUGGACUCGGCGAGUAGGCCCCUACUCGGCGGGUCCAUAGGGGUACUCGGCGAGUUCGAGCGUCAGAAAGAGGGGACUUCGAGAUUUCUUGCUGAUUUACUCAUGGAUACUUGCCUUAUCUGUUUUAGAUCAUUAAAAUCCGAUUUUAAACAUAUUUAUGAGUAUAUCCUUGAUUAAACAAAAGAUAAUUACCAAUUGAUUAGAUAAUAACUUCCUUAUAUGAUAAAGUUUGAUUAUUUGUAUUAAUUGGGUAACUUAUUUUGCAAGAAAUUGAAAUUAGGUCAAAUAUAGAUAAUGAUGAGAUUAAUUGUUUAAUUUAUAUUAUUUGUUAUUUGAUCCUUGUGUUAUGAAAAGUUUCAAUUUUCCCCUUUAGGUUUUAUAGUUUAAAUUUGAACUCAAAAGUUUNUAGGGUUUCAUGUACACCACAGGAACGAUGUUUCAUAAACUUGACGAGUUCCAUAGACUCGAUGAGUUAAGUGUCCUGGUGCCGGGAUUUUCGAUUUUCUGGCCAAAUUUUAAUGAGGAUAACUGUGAAAACUCGUUUUUCUUUCCUAAAUUCAAAUCUUUAAGAUCGGUAUGGAUAUCCUUAUCAGAUUUGGUGGAUUUAGUUAAAUAUGGAUGAUAUAGGAUUAUUUUGAUUCAAAUAUUUAACCUAGUAAGUUUGAAAAGUUUCAAAUUACACCCUUUAGGUUUUAUAGUUUAAAUUUGAACUUAAAAGUUUUAGUUUUGAAAUUUAAAUAGUUAAACCCUAAUAUUUUGAAAAGUUUUAAAAUUUGUCCUUAAAUUUUGGAAUUUAAAAUUUAAUUAAAAGGUAUUACUUUUGCAAUAUUAAUUUCUAAAACCCUAGUGUUUUGAAAAGUUCAUAUUACACCCUUAUGGUUUUAUUAAAUUAAUUAAGUGCUUAAUUAAGAGAGAGAAUUAAUAAAUCCAUAACAAUAUGGUUUAAGAUUAAUCAAAUUAAAAGUGUAAUUUAUUAAUAGAUUAAACCACCUAAUAUUUUUAAAGUGUAAAAUACACCAUUAUACUAUAUAUAAAAUUAAAAGUCUAAUAUAUUAUAUAUGUAUAAGUAAAGAGUCUGUCUUAUCGUUAGUAAGCCUUAUUCACGAAGUUGGUCUUUAAGGGGUGUUUAAGGAAGCGGCAUGUAAAAUGACCGUCAUUGGAUAUCCACUCUUACCCACCGCACCAUUAACUAGUGGAGGGUCAUUAGCCGAAUGGGUAGGAUAGGACAUAACCUUCCAUUAUAAGUAUAAUGAAAUACGAAGUAACUAAACGUUUAUAUAAAUUCUCAAAUCUUAGUUACUGUAGGAAAAAUGUGAAUUUGGUGCUAAUCCAUGAAAUUGCACAUUGCACCUUGUUGGUCGUUAGUGGAGCGUGUGUGGUUAACAGAACACUAAUAUGGGACCAAUGAAGGAUGGCAAUGGGUUUCUCGUAAUAUUAUCAUUGAUCAAUGGAGCGUGUGUGGUUAACCGGCACAUUGAUUGGGUGGUGAUCGACAUCGAGAGUAUCAAGCUAAUUUGCAUGGUUAUUCACACCUUGUUUGUGAUCCUCGGCGUCCCAGUCACAAACUUGAAAGGCAUAAUCGAGAUUAAACAUGCCAUUGAAAAGUUUAAUGAAUCUCAAAAGAUCUAGGGCUUUCAAUUCAUUAAUAACCUAAUUUUCAUUUUUGUUUUUCAUGGUGGAAAUUGGUAAAUCGUCAUUUACCUACCUUCAAAUAUUUUGCGACUGGAUUACGGCAUCCCUCUUCCGAAUUGUAGAAUAUUGUGUUGGAUCCUAGCCUUAAUAUUCCCUUUGGGUGUUAUAUUAAGGAUUGAAUCAACUAACUUGAACUUCUCCCAUUUUGUAGAUGUCUAAAUCUAACAACUAUGGUAUUCCACAAUCCUUUGGAAAAAGUCUUCCACAUGAAGAUGAUGUUCCACGAUUCGAUCGAGGAACAAGAGAUCAUGCUUCACUUCAUCCUCCUCCUCCCGUUGUUCUCCCUAACCCACAAGAUCGAAGAAUUGAAAGGUUCAAUGUCACUAAAGCCCUAUUGGAAAUGAAACAUGAAGAUAAUGUUGGGUGCGUCAUUCCCCGAUAAGUUGGCUGUGAACUGGGUUCUGCAGUCGCUCCCUGAAUCAUAUAAUGAGUUCAAGAGAAUGUAUUAUAUGAUGGAUCAUGACGAUAACCUCAUUGACCUAACUUACAUGCUCAUUGCUGCUGAAUCAGAAAUAAUUUGGCAAAGCAAUGGAGCGGUUUUGUUGGGAAAGUCAACCAACCAUGCUUUCGAGGACGUUCUAGGAGAACCGACCUGCGUUUGCUGCCAAGAGAAAGGGCGUUGGAUACAAGUUUGCCCUAAGAGCCUGAAGAAUCCAAAAGAUGGGAGAGUCAAAGAGUAUGGUUGUGCUUCAGGUAAAAAUCCACUAUCUAACUCCAUUAAGUUCUUAUUCGUUGAUUCUUAAUACAUGAUGUGAUAAGAUUGCAUUUGAAUGUUUUGCAGGAUCAGUGAAAAGAGAGGAAGCUUGAUGGAAAAGCAAGAUAAGUCUAAUCACAAAGAAAUGGAUCUCGAUCGCAUGGACUUGAAGAUUAGAUUUUGAGCUUAGAAAGUUAUGAUAGAGUUGUUAGGAAUAUUAGACUACAUAGUUUUUCAGUUAAUUUUGCAUUGUAAGGAAAAAUGUUUUCCGCUGCUUUUAUGAAUAAAAUAAAUUUUGAUUUGACUCAUUUAUUUAUUUAUUUCCUUGCAAUGAAAUCGUUAUGAAAAAUUGAUGUUUGCAUAUUUCUACAACGAAUGGAUGUGAUUCUUAAUUAUGUUAAUUAUGGAAAGGUCAAGAAUUUACCAAAUAGGAAAAGUUUCUCAUCGCCCAAGUUUCAAUUGGAUAGAGACUUGGGUCAUGCAACUUGGUUGCACGAUGAAUGAGAAAUUUCAUAUGUGGAAAUAAGACUAAUUCGUUGACAAAGUGUCAAGUGAAGAACUAGGAGAUCGAGUACACAAAGUUGUGUGUUGAUCAAGUCCACCGCAAGAGUAACGAAGAUAUUCGUCAUGAUUUACUAGAGGUUUAGUAAAAAUGAUUAUACUUAUAAGAUUAAGUGUAAUUCUGAAUUGAUUGAAAAAGGUUUAAAUCAAUAGCAUAACGAAUAAGAAGAAUCAAGUAGACAGAAAGAUAAAAGUCUCUCUAUUCUAAGAAGAAGGGAGAGUAUCUUUAUGCUUUAUGAUAUGUCUUAAUGAUUAAGAACCAUAUCUCAAUUGAUCCUCUAAGUAAGUCUUAGUACAAUUGUAUGUCUGAGAAGAGGAAUCAAGAAUUAAAGAAAUGGUUAAAAUCAAGAAGUCAAUCGUAUUUCGUUCCAAACAAGUCUUAGAGUUAAGAUUGUGACAUAGAGUGACAAGUAUUAGGAAGGUUUAUGACAAUCAUCAAAUGUAGAAUUUGGAAAAGGGUUUUCUUAUUCUUGCACAUUUGAAAUUCGUAAGUUGUGAUGUCUUGGAUUAGACAAAGACCAACGAGGACCAAUUUGUGAAGUGUUUUGUCUUGAUAAAAGCUACACUAACUCUUGAAUAUUUGGUUGUCGAGAAAUGUUUAUUGACAAGAGAAUCUUAUAUGUCAAGGAGUCAGUGGGAGUCUUAAUGGUCUUGAAAAGGUUUCAAUAACAAAUCAAAAUAAACCUUAUCAAUCAUCACUAGCACACGAGUUGAGGUUUACAACCUAUCGUGUUGACAUUAUCUUGUUUCUGUGCCGUUCCAAUCGAGUUAAUUAUGCAUGUGAGUUCUAUGAGUUCUCAUUUGAAUGCAUAAAAGGCAAGGACCUUGAUCAAUGGAAAGUACAUUGAUAGGAAAGGGUGAGCUGCUUAACUACUUGGAAGACAUGGUGGGCAGCCGUGUUACCAUAAGGCAAGAAAUCAAGAUUAAGAGUUCGGUCCAUAUAAGUUUGAAUUUGUCAUAAACUUUGGUUUUAACAAAUUCACAUGGAUAGGAACACAUACACUAUUAAAAUCUAAGUGUCAUAAGAUUCCCUCCUUCAUGGAAAUGACUGUGAGGUAAUGCUUUCACUAAAAGAGAUUUUAAGAAGAUAGUAAUUGUGAAAAUUGGAUUCUCGAAUUCGAUUAUGGUUACAGUAUCCCUUUCCAUGAUUCGAAUUGUAAGAUUUGGCAAUUAGUCUGAAUUGUUUAGACACACAUAUGAGCUAUCUAAGGGAAAGGUGUAUAAGCUUAGAUAAAGGAUUAUCAAAGCAUUAGUUAUUAGAAACAUGAACUUAAGAAAUUCAAUAGGUAUUGUUCUUCUGAAAGUUAAGUUGUUUCUAAAUACAUGUCAAAGCUAGUGGGAGCAUAAGUGUUAUGUUUAUAAUAAUCAUCAUGAUAGUGGGAGCAUAAAUGUUAUGAUUAUGUGAUUAUUAAGGCAAGUAUUGCAAGUUAGCAAUAUUAAUUAUAGAAAACAAGAGUUAUACUUUGCAAAGUCACAAUGGUUAAAAGGUUGUUUUGCUAUAAUUAAGGGAGAGAAUAUUAUGCUUCAUUUCAAAACUAAAGGCUUAGGUUGUGGAAUGUUAAUUAUUUUAGUCAAGGAUACAUAGUAUUCUUAAAUUUCGAUUAUGAUUACGACAUUUCUCUUCAUAGUUCGAAUUGUGAGAACAUAGCACAUAAAAUAUUAUGGCAGAAGACUGAUAAAGUAUCAAAUCUUUAUGCAUCGUGUCCCAUGCGCUUCGGGUAUAGGAUCGAUUGCAAAUGCUAUAAUAUUUGACCAUUCCAAAAUUUUCCAAAUGUCUAGCGCAUUUAGAGGGAAAAGGACAAGAAUAGGUUUUGACUAAGAUAAUUAAACAACUAUCAAAGGACAAUCCAAAGUUCGCCAAGGAUUGGUCACUUAUGAGUAGUUGGAAGUAUAGUAUUGAAUAGACCAUAUCGACAUUAUUAUGAAUAGAAAAGAUUCUAUUAAGAAUGAGUUGUCAUAUGGAAAAUAUGGAAACGUUUCCAUAUUGGGAGUCGGAUAUUGAGAAUCUAUGUCUAGAUUAGAAAUUUUAUGCAAAAGGAUGUUCAAAGGAAUGUCCUUUGAGUGAGAGACAUCACAUCUAAGGAAUUGUCUUGUAACAAUCUCCAAUAGACAGCUUUGUAAUUCAUUGGCAAUAGUCAUUGUGACUUUGGUGCAGUGACAUUAUGAAAGGAUGAUUGCAUAAAAUAUUAGAAUCUAACAUAUUCCAUAAGUGGCAAGAAUUUGAUAUUCUUUCACUUGUGAAAAGGAUUGGGAGUUAUGAAAUGAUUAUGAUUGGAAAUGUGUUCAUUUGAUCUAUUUCACAAAGUAAGAACCAUAGAUAAACACUGUGUGCAUGCUAAGAGCAUGGGACAAGUGUUGUAAUAAUUUAAGUAAGAAGUUUAUUACCCGAAACAAGAAAUAAUGAGUAAUCGAUAUGGUGAUAAUAAAAGGUGUUUUAUUUAUACUCAAGGUUUGAGGCCAUAUGGGACUAGUAUUAUUCUUGUGUUUCACUUUGCAUGUUUUGACUUCCUAAAUAAUUUAAAUUGGUUUAGAACAGUUAAAUUAUUCGAACGGGCCCUAGUCGUUCAUAUGUUGGAAGUAGGUAUGAAUGAAGACUGUCAUGAAUUGGUGUGUGGAUUGUCUAAAGAGCAUUAGACAUAAGCAAAUGUUUGCUGCAACGUUCAUGAGUGCUUAUAAAUAUGAUUUGAGCAUUGCAUUAAACCCACGCUCACUUGGAUCACUUCAUGGAUUUUAUCACGAGUGAUUGGUGAGACGAUAAUAUCUUAUAUUCUUGAAACCGAGAUGUGUGAGUUGUAUCUUGCGAGUUGGUUGCACAUUGAUAAUACGUAAACGCACCAGUAACUUGGUGUUAUAAAACAUAUUGUUGUGUGUGAUUCGGUGAGUAAGUGCAAUCGAACAUUGAGUCAAAGUUUAUCCGUUCCUUUUAUCAAAAGUAGGAUAAAAACGAUUUCUGUGGGCCCCUCGAUUAUUUAGUGAUGGCACCUAAGCGCUUGGCCAAGCCGGGACUAAAUUGAUGUGUUCAAUUGUAGUCUAUUGUUAGUCGUCAUAAAUCUGAAUUCGGGAAACAACACAUAGACAGAGAGAAUGUUUUAGAUCCAUGUCUCAGUCUAUACGAUAUCUAGAAUGGAGGAAUAUAUGAUCCCUUAUCUAAAGGAUACGCGAAUAUGAUAAGAUCAGAGUUGACAGCGGCUUUAGAAAGCUACGAUUGCAGAUCAGGAUCUGAAGUCAUACGCAUAAUAGUUAUUAGACUUAUCCAAGUGGGAGACUGUUGGAUUAGUGUCUAAGUCCAUAAACUAUUUUGGUAUGUACUUGACCCGAUGGUGUAUGGUCCUUUUGGGUUGUCUUCACCAAAGCAACUUGAUAGGAUGAAUUAUAGAGAGAAAGGAUUAAAUAUGAUUUAUUAAUAUAAUAUGAGAAUAAUAUAUUAAAGGAGAAAUCAUAUUGUUUCAUUAAUAUUAGUCAAGAAUUAAUUGAUAAUUAAUUUUAUGACUAAAAGAGAUUAAUUAAACUUAAGGGACUAGAACUGUCAAUUGUAUGAUAGGUGAAUAUUGAGCUAAUGGACUCCAUAUUAAAGGAGUAGACAAAUUCUAUGGGGAAACCCAUUAGAAAUCGUCCUAGGCCUUUAAGGAAGGAGCCCAUGGGUUGCUUAGGGCUUAAGCAUCCAAAUUAGGUUUUCCUUGUUAGAUAACCCUAAUAGCCUCACUAUUUAAGGACCCCUUGGGCACCAAAAACGUGGGCAACUGACUCCUAGGGGUUUCUACACAUUUUUGGGUGUUUCUUCUCUUCUCCUAUUCAUCCUCUUGCUCUUGGUGUUUGUGAACCAUUAGAGGAGUGACAUUUGUGACUCUAAGCUUUCUAAAGUCAUUAUAAAGGAGGAUUUGAGAUUGUUAUUGCUACAUAACAAUCAAGGUAUGAUGUAAACCCUAAUUCAUAUGUUAUAUUGAUUAUCAUAUACUAGAUAUAGGGUUUAUAGUCUUGGAUGAGUUGCAUGUACAAUAGAGAAACCUAGAUCCAAGCAUUAGGGUUUUUAUGAGCACAUAGGAUGUUUUUAUAGCUAAAACCCAUCAGGGUUAAACCCAUUGGAUGCUCCAUGGAGGCUCCAUGGGAGUUACAAACCCAUGGGUAAUGGAAAUGAAGAGUCAUGUCACAUUAGGGUUUACAUGGCGUAACCCUAGAUGUGACACACUAUAUAAAGAACAUCAUACUCCCUAAAAUCGGCUACACAUAGUGACAAGAGGGCUUGCCUGAUUUUUUGAGUGUUACACGUUCUCUCAAAGUUGUUCCAAAGCAUUUGGUGUUGUAUGAAGCAUUUGAGGAAUCACACUUAGGGUGCUAGGCUCUCAAGGUUUCAAGGAAUCAUAACAACAACAAGGUAUGUGUUUCUAGCUAUCUUUUAUAUUAUAAAGUUCCCCAUGUAUGCUAGAUAGGUUUAUGAACCUUGGAAAAAAGUAAUUUGCAUGUAUCUUAUACAAACAUAGAUCCAAGGUUCUCUAGGGUUGCAUGUACACUUAGGAGUGUUAGAAUUGCUCAAAACCCUUCGAUGGUAUCAGAGACUAGGCUUGCUUGUUUGAUAUUUGAUGCAAAAUAGUGAAAAAAGUCGAUUUUUUGUUGUCUGCCUGCUGAAAUCGCCAAGUCCAUGGGGGGACUUGCCGAGUUCAUGUGUAAAAUCAUCCUACUCGUCGAGUAGGUUCAUGCACUCGACGAGUAGGAGCCUCAGAAUGCAGUUUUUUGACUUUUGCUGCUGGAAAUGGACUAGAAACGUUACCCUAAACUGUUUGGGUGUUAUUAAACAUGUUUUAGAUGGUGUAAUGGUUGUUCUAAUCCAUUUAUAAUGACUAAUAUCAAAAUUCCAUGAUUUUAUGUUUUCUUGAAAAUUUGAUAUUCAUAUUCAUGUUCUUAUGAGUUUAGAUGAUCAUAGGAAUUAUGUGUAACUUCUUGAUAGUUUUAAUUCUUAAUCAUUAUGUGUUUUAAUGGAAUCCAUAAUUUGUCCUCAAGUUAUGAAUUACCAAAAGUUUUAUCUUUGAAUGUCCAUUGAAGAAACACAUAGGUUACAUAAAAUGAAGAUUUACUCAUUUUAAUGAACCAAUUAAUCUCAUAAGUUAUGGAUUGAAGAGUUUUGUUAAGUUACAAAACUUUCCCUCAAAUUUUGGAACUUGUAAAGUCACCUAAUUAACUUUAGUUCCAACCCCUAGAAUUUAAAAUGUUAAAAUUCAACACUUAUACUUUAUAAUAUUAUAAGUUUAAUAUAUAUAUAUAUAUAUAUAUAUAUNNNNNNNNNNNNNNNNNNNNNNNNNNNNNNNNNNNNNNNNNNNNNNNNNNNNNNNNNNNNNNNNNNNNNNNNNNNNNNNNNNNNNNNNNNNNNNNNNNNNNNNNNNNNNNNNNNNNNNNNNNNNNNNNNNNNNNNNNNNNNNNNNNNNNNNNNNNNNNNNNNNNNNNNNNNNNNNNNNNNNNNNNNNNNNNNNNNNNNNNNNNNNNNNNNNNNNNNNNNNNNNNNNNNNNNNNNNNNNNNNNNNNNNNNNNNNNNNNNNNNNNNNNNNNNNNNNNNNNNNNNNNNNNNNNNNNNNNNNNNNNNNNNNNNNNNNNNNNNNNNNNNNNNNNNNNNNNNNNNNNNNNNNNNNNNNNNNNNNNNNNNNNNNNNNNNNNNNNNNNNNNNNNNNNNNNNNNNNNNNNNNNNNNNNNNNNNNNNNNNNNNNNNNNNNNNNNNNNNNNNNNNNNNNNNNNNNNNNNNNNNNNNNNNNNNNNNNNNNNNNNNNNNNNNNNNNNNNNNNNNNNNNNNNNNNNNNNNNNNNNNNNNNNNNNNNNNNNNNNNNNNNNNNNNNNNNNNNNNNNNNNNNNNNNNNNNNNNNNNNNNNNNNNNNNNNNNNNNNNNNNNNNNNNNNNNNNNNNNNNNNNNNNNNNNNNNNNNNNNNNNNNNNNNNNNNNNNNNNNNNNNNNNNNNNNNNNNNNNNNNNNNNNNNNNNNNNNNNNNNNNNNNNNNNNNNNNNNNNNNNNNNNNNNNNNNNNNNNNNNNNNNNNNNNNNNNNNNNNNNNNNNNNNNNNNNNNNNNNNNNNNNNNNNNNNNNNNNNNNNNNNNNNNNNNNNNNNNNNNNNNNNNNNNNNNNNNNNNNNNNNNNNNNNNNNNNNNNNNNNNNNNNNNNNNNNNNNNNNNNNNNNNNNNNNNNNNNNNNNNNNNNNNNNNNNNNNNNNNNNNNNNNNNNNNNNNNNNNNNNNNNNNNNNNNNNNNNNNNNNNNNNNNNNNNNNNNNNNNNNNNNNNNNNNNNNNNNNNNNNNNNNNNNNNNNNNNNNNNNNNNNNNNNNNNNNNNNNNNNNCUCCUGGAAGAAUCGCGGGGCCACCCCGACUCAACUCGCCGAGUCUGAAGAACAACUCGACGAGUCCCAGUUAAUCUUCAAGCUACUCGCCGAGUCUGUUCAUCGGACUCGGCGAGUCCAUGCCAUGCAACCGCUCAAACUGCUUUCUAAGGUCAGAACUGCUCCGACCAUUCAUAGGUCUGGCCUUCCUAGACUGAUUCAUCACGUAAGGUCCUCAUUUCGGUGCUCAUAAUACACCCCAUGACUCAUAAUUUACAUUUUGACCUAAGGCAUAAGGAUUCCAAUCCAAAACCUCCAUUGAUUCCUGAAAUGCUCAGGCAUGGGACAUUCUGGACUUCCAAAGAUCUCAAUACAGGGUUCCAAUCGUUUGGGGGACUAAAGUAACACUCAAUCUAGCCACAAAAGGGUUCAAUAAAUCCUAAAUCCAUAUACACAUCAACAUAGAAGAAUGUAACUCGAAAUAUUACCUGAAUAACGUGCUCUCUGUGUCCCCAAUCCACAGAACGUGGCUCUUCCUGUUGUUCCCUUAACCAAGCCUCUUCUUCCUUGCAAAACCACACUUCCAAAAUCAACAAUGGUCUUCAACCUUGCUCCAGACGCUCACAAUCGAAUUAGGGUUUCUCUCAGAGGACUAGGGUGAACAAUGACGGCCAUAAAGUCCCUCAUAUACGUCCCAAACCUGAACGGUUAGGGUUUUCGCUAAAUAGCGCAGACUCGCCGAGUCCAUAUCCGGACUCGUCGAGUCCAGUCGCGAACCCGCAACCAGAUCCGCGAUCCUACUCGGCGAGUCUAGGCUCCAACUCGCCGAGUCCCCUCUUAAAACACCCAAAAUCAUAAAUAUAACAAUACCUGAAAUUCCAGGCUGUUACAGUAAUCGGGUUAUUGUUGGUUGGUAAAAGUAAAUACAAUUAUUUAUUGCGGGUUGAAAACACUAUAUGCUCACCAGGCUCCCAAGCCUGACCCACUCAGUUUAUUUGUAUUACAGGUAGUGGCGCGAGGGCAUAAGAUGGACGAAUCAUCAAGUUAUUUUGUUUAUUAGACCAGUUGUUAUAUGUAACUAUUGUAUGGUCUAUCUUUUGUUGUUUAUGCUUUUGUGUCUGUAUCGGAACAUGACAUCUCGAGUUUUGAUUUUAUAGUGAAAAUACAUUUCUUUAUGAAAUGCUUUGGUAAAUAUUAUUUUAUCAUACUUUGUUUUUGGGAACAAAUUUCGCAACUCUUUUAAAUCAAAAGGAUUUACUCUUAAAUUAUUUUAAAAAGCAUAAAUGAAACUGGUCUUUUAUGGCCGUGAUUUUGGGGAUGUCACAGUGGGUAUCAGAGCAUUAGUUUAAGCGAACUAGGAAUUUGUAAGAUUUCUAGACUUAAACUUAGAAUGCUAAGUGGAGAUUGUGAGAAGUGUGUCUGUUAUAUUAUGGACACGAGCACUAGUAUAUUUUAGGAAGUUGCCUAAAAUGCUCUUAGGUGCUAAAUGUUAUAUGUUGCCAUAUAUGAUAUUAUUUGUUUGGAUCUAUGGUCUGUUGCCGACCGGAUCAUGAAACCUUAUGUGUGUAGGAUUCUAAGCAUACGUCUACGACAUUAGAACUAGCAUGUAAACGUUUCGGAGUGAUAUGGAAGAUCGUAAUAUCUAUCAUGAAUAAAGAUCUAAAUUUCACCUUAUUCGGUGUAUUGAUCAAGAAUGGCAAGAACAAGAAGCAGUGAUGGAAAUGCAAACAAGAACAGGAAUCAACCGCCUCUAAUUGAACAAGUAAUUGUUGAAACUGCUGCACCAGAGCAAAUCACUCUGGCUGGGGUGCAAGCCAUGAUUCGGGCUAUGUUAGCCGAACAAAAGGAAGAAAUGCGACAGAUGUUGCAUGAAAAUAGGGACGAACCAAUCAUACCCAUUGAGGAACCCAAACUGAUUCCCGAACAAUCGGAGGAAGGAAACAAUAGUCGCGUUGUGAGUCAAGUUGGGAGUCAAGGAGAACGAAGGAACGACCCGGAAAGGGGAAACAAAAAGGAUGGGAGAAUGUAUAAGAAUUUCUUGGGCGCCAAGCCGCCAAGUCUUUCUGGGAACCUAAAGCCCAUUGAGAUUAUGGAUUAGAUCUCCGAAAUGAAGAUGGUAUUUGAAAGUUGCGACUGUAUCAACAAACAGAAGACUGUCUUUGCAGUUAGACAACUGAAGACCGGAGUCUUGAGCUGGUGGAAGUUGUUGGCAGAUAUUAUGUCAUGAGGAGAAGCCCUGAAAAUGUCAUGAGAGGAGUUCUUAGAACAACUAAGGGCGCAGUAGUGUUCAGAGAUAGAUCUGAUUGAUCUGAACAAUGAGUUCCAAAACUUAAAGAAGGGGAGGAUGAGCAUAAAUGACUAUGCUAUCGCAUUCACUGAUAAAAUGAGGUUAUUUCCAUACCUAGUGCGAAUGAAACUCUCCAAGAUUGAGAGGUUCGCUAAUGGACUACCUUCCGACUUUUGCCCGAUAGUCAAGAUGGCAACUACUCUAAAAAUAGUUGUUUGUGCGGCUAAGAAUGUGGAGACCCAGCAGAAGGAAAAGGGUCUGGAAAGAAUAGAGGUUGGUGAGAAAAGGAAGUUGGAUGGACCUUUAGGGUCCAACAAGAAAAUCAAGUUUUCGAAGUCUAGUUCGAGAGGAGGAGGAGGAAGAGAAGCCAAAUGGUACGACAAAUGUAAGAAGAAGCAUCAUGGAAAAUGUGAAGUAGUAGCCACAUGUUUUAAAUGUGGAAAGCCAGGGCACUAUGCCAAUGAAUGCACUCUCACCAAGAAAGUUUGUUAUGGCUAUGGUGAGGAGGGGCACAUCUCGAGAGAUUGUUCGAAGAAGAAGGAGGCAUCAAAACCCAAUAUUCCCCCAAAGCCGAAGGCGAGAGCAUUCCAGAUGACACUGGAAGCUGCAAAAUAUGAAGCUGAUGUCGCUUCAGGUACCUUUCUCGUAAACAAAUUGCAUGCCCAAAUUUUAUUUGAUUCUGGAGCCAACUACUCCUUUAUUUCGCAUGAAUUUGGUAGAAACUAGCUUCUCCUGUCGAUAGACUAGAUAAUGCUUUAUUAGUCGAAGUUGCUAGUAGCAAAUUUCUACCUAUUAGCCAUCGUAUGAAAAACAUCUUAAUUCACUUGAAUGGGAAUAAGUUCCAUGAGGAAUUAUUGCCUAUCGAACUAAACAAUUUCGACAUCGUGCUGGGAAUGGAUUGGCUUAGCGCCAAUGACGCCGAAAUAUUGUGCAAGAAGAAGAUUGUAAAGGUAAAUCCGCCAGGNGCAAGAAGAAGAUAGUAAAAGUAAACCCACCAGUGAAAGAGUCAUUUAUGGUGUAUGGGGACAAACGCAGAGUAAAUUCUAGAAUCAUUUAUCUAAUGAAAGCCAGAAAGUGUUUGGCCAAAGGAUGUACAUCAUAUUUGGCAUUUGUGAUAGAUUCUAAGAAGGAGAAAAAGGUGAUGCAAAGCAUUCCUAUCGUAUGUGAUUAUCGGGAAGUAUUUCCCAAAGAUCUUCCCGGAUUACCGCCUGAUAGAAAUUUGGAGUUCAUAAUAGACUUGUUACCAGGGACGACGCCUAUAGCAAAAGCACCUAAUCGAUUAGCACCAUCAGAGAUGAAGGAGCUAAUGAUGCAACUUCAGGAGUUAUUGGGCAAAGGUUUAAUUAGACCUAGUUUAUCACCCUGGGGAGCUCCGAUGUUAUUCGUGAAGAAGAAAGAUGGAAGUAUGAGAAUGUGCAUCGAUUAUAGAGAGCUGAACAAGGCAACAAUAAAGAAUAGAUAUCCGUUGCUGAGGAUUGAUGACUUGUUCGAUCAACUACAAGGUUCAAGUUAUUUUUCAAAGAUCGACCAAAGGUCAAGAUAUCAUCAGCUGAAGGUGAAAGAGCAGAUAUAGAGAAGACUGCAUUCAGAACACGAUAUGGACACUAAGAGUUUUUGGUUAUAUCAUUUGGACUAACCAAUGCUCCAGCAUCAUUCAUGGAUUUAAUGAUCAUGGUUUGUAAUCCGUUCCUAGAUAAAUCUGUGAUAGUGUUCAUAGAUGACAUUCUGAUUUAUUUGAAAAGCGAAGAGGAGCAUGGCAUACACUUGCGAGAAGUGUUAGAAGUCUUGAAGAAGGAGAAGUUGUAUACAAAUUUCUCCAAAUGUGAUUUCUGGAUUCGAGAAGUCCAAUUCUUGGGUCACGUGAUCAACUAAAAAGGGAUAAUGGUUGAUCCAGCAAAGAUUGAAGCUGUAAUGAAGUGGGAACAACCGAAAAGUCCCACGGAGAUCCGAAGCUUUUUAGGAUUAGCCAGAUAUUACCGAAGGUUUAUCCAAGGCUUUUCUACGAUCGCUACUCCAUUAACAGCGUUCACCCACAAAGGAGUUACUUAUGCUUGGAAUGAUAAGCAUAAAGAAGAAUUCGAGAGGCUAAAGAAGAAGCUAUAUGAGGCAGCGAUUCUUUCUCUACCCGAUGGAGUUGAAGACUUCGCUGUUUAUAGCAAUGCGUCUGGUGUUGGCUUGGGUUGUGUUUUAACCCAAAGGGAAAAGGUGAUCGCAUAUGCAUCUCGACAGUUGAAGGAGCAUGAAAAGAACUACCCGACUCAUGAUUUGGAGUUGGAAACGGUAGUUUUCGCUCUGAGAAUAUGGAGGCAUUACCUCUAUGGCACGAAGUGCAACUUUUCACUGAUCAUAAGAGUCUCCAAUAUCUCUUUAGUCAGAAAUAAUUAAAUAUGAGGCAAUGAAGUUGGCUUGAAUUACUUAAGGAUGUACGACUGCGAGAUACUUUACCACCCUGGUAAGGCUAAUGUUGUUGCUGAUGUUCUCAGUCGGGAAGUCAAUCUUGAAAGAAAAAGGCCAAGAGCGUUGAGAAUAGAAGUUGUCUCAACAAUUGUGGAGAGUAUAAAGAAAGCUAAAGAGGAAGCUUUUGUGAAGAAUGAUCGAAAAGAAGAACUUUAGGGAAAAAUGUUGGUGUUCGGUAUAAACAGUCAUGGACUGAAGGUGUUCCAAGAUCGGAUUUGGAUACCUAAGACAAGAGGAGUCAGAGAUCUUAUGAUGGAAGAAGCUCAUAAGUCCAUGUACUCAAUUCAUCCCGGUAGUACUAAAAUGUAUAGGGACCUAAAACCCUACUACUGGCGGCCGACGAUGAAGCUUGAUGUUGAAAAGUAUGUAGCCGUGUGUGUGACUUGUGUGAGAGUCAAGACACAACAUCAGAAACCGUAUGGGAGUUUAGAACCUUUGCCUGUGCCUAUGGGUAAGUGGGAAGACAUUGCUAUGGAUUUUAUCACUAAACUGCCCAGAACGAAAAGUGGUCACAACAUGAUUUGGGUGAUCGUUGAUCGAUUCACUAAGAGUGCGCAUUUCAUAGCAUCCAAUGAGAAAUGGUCUAUGGAAAAGCGUGCGAAUUCUUUUGUGAAGGAAGUUGUGAGGCUUCACGGUGUUCCGUUAACGAUUGUGUCAUAUCGUGAUAGCCAUUUCACCUCGCGAUUUUGGAGAAGUCUACAAGAGGAAUUGGGUAGCAAGUUGUGUUUGAGUACAUCUUACCAUCCACAGACUGAUGGUCAGAGCGAACGGACGAUACAAACACUUGAAGAUAUGCUGAGAGCAUCUACCCUAGAAUUCCAAGGUACUUGGGAUGAACAUUUACCUUUGAUGAAAUUUUCCUACAAUAAUAGUUUCCACUAGAGCCUAAAGAUGGCACCUUGUCAAGCUUUGUAUGGACAGAAGUUUCGUACGCCGUCUUAUUGGCUUGAGGCUGGAGAAAAGAAGUUUAUGGGACCCGAGAUGGUUCAUCAAAUUGCUGAAAACCUGAAAAUAAUUUAGGAAAGAAUGUUAGUAGCUCAGGAUCGUCAAAAGUGCUAUGCUGACAAAUAGCGAAGACCGAUGACUUUUGAAGUUGGAAAUUCGGUUUUGCUUAAAGUCUCGCCAUGGAAGGGACUUAUAAGAUUUUGUAAAUGGGCAAAGUUUAGUCCAAGGUUUAUUGGACCUUUUAAAGUUCUUGAGAGGAUUGAGAACCAAGCUUACAAGAAUGAAUUGCCAGAAGAACUGCAUGGUAUUCAUAACACUUUCCAUGUGUGUUAUUUGAGGAAGUUUACUAGAGAACUUCCCGACAUGAUUCCACUUUCGGAGUUGAGAAUCAAUGAGAACAAAAGGUUGAUUGAAGAACCAGAGGCAAUCGUUCACUGAAAGACUAAGAAGUUGGGACGCAAGAUGGUCGAGUUUGUGCUUGUCCGAUGGAAACACACGAAUAGGCCAAAUCUCACCUGGGAGACGGAGAGUGACAUGAUCAGUCACUACCCGCAUUUGUUUGUUGAUGUGUGAUUCCGAGGACGGAAUCAUUCUAAGGUGGAGAGAAAUGUAACACCUGUGUUUCUGGGCUUGUCAUUAAUAUUGAUGUAAUAGUCCAGGUUAACCAUUGUAACCCGUUUCGAAAUAAUAGAAGUGUAUUAUUUGAGUAUUAUGUGUUUUGUGCUUAAUUGUGUGUCUCAAUUGAGUUAAGUAUGAAAAUAAGCGUCAAAAUUAAAUGUUAGAUAAAGCCGAUAUUUAUGUAUAAUGCUCUAGUAGUUGAAACGAGGUUUCCGAAUAUACAUAGAAUGCCGAAAUCCGAGUUAUAAGGAAGAAGUUAUGAUAUGUCGAAGUUUCGCGACAGAAACCGGCACGACGCUGAAUGACGUAAAAAGUGAAUUUACGUUAGAGUGAUACUUAGCCCUAGUGAUCUAAACGAAUGUUGUAGAUUUCGUUAAAUUGAGAGCGUGCAUAAAAAAAUCGCCCAAAUCUGACUUCGUAUGAGGAAGUUAUGAUUUUCCGAAGUUUCAACUUAUCAGUGUGCAGCCCGAAUACUCGAUUUGAGAUCAAGCGGUUUUUAGCCGAAACAAUCUAAACGAGAAUUGAAGAUCUCGUUAAUGGUAGUGCAAUGGUAAAAAGACAGAUGAAAACGGACGUCGGAUGAAGAAGUUAUGAAUUUAUAACGGGGUUUUUCUGUCCCGGCCUACUAAAAAUAAAUAAUAAAAAAAUAAUAUCAAAAUCAGCCGACGGAGUCUAAACGAAAGUUGUAGAGCGUAGUCUCACCUACGCGUGGAUAUAAAGAAAGUCGAAACGGAGUUCAUAUGAAGAAGAUAUGAAUUUCCGAAGUUUUUAAAUGAUUAACAUUUAUUAAUUAAUCUUUAAUUCGGAUGUAUAUCCGAAGGAGACACCGAUCUAGUCCGCACUACGCCCAGCGUAGUUGAGUACGACCAGCGUACACCGAAGUGUGACCCGCCUUACACUCAAGAGCUCCGAUAACGCAUGCAGUGACGAAUCCGAAGUGUACACCCCGCGUACUGAGCAUUACGCCCAGCGUAAUGUGAGGCUUCAGCCUCUAUAAAAGGGCUUGCGAGGGCAGCCAAUGCUUUUGCUCAAUUUAUUUUCUCUCUCUCCCGUUUUGCAUCGUUUUGCAUACAAAUUAUACCCCGAAACCCCGAUAUCAUUCCCGAGCCCCGAAGCAUGUCCUGAAGCCCCGAAGAUCCCGAGGAGUAGUGUUCCCGAGCCGAAGCUCUGCCUGCAAGAAGCCAAUUUUUUUGAAGAUCUUCCAGAUCUACCGAAGAAUACUACUUCUACAAGUCGUAGUGUUGUCCGAUCAUCUUCUGAUCAAGUGAGUAUGUAGUUACUUUCAUCUAAUGCAUAAUUACGAAGUAUUUUAUACGAAAUACGUGUUAUGUGUAUAUUUGUUGUUAUAUGUGUGAAUGUAUAUUCACUUUCUUCUAUCUCGUACAUAUGACUAAUUCUCUAUGAAAUAUGUGUUAUGUGUAUCUGUCUCAUCUGUUGUUUGGAAUAUGUAUUGAAUGAGAAUGUUAUACAGGUUUUAAACUAAGUAUAAAAAUAUAUAUUUUUAUCUACUAAUAUGUUGGGUAGACCAUGGGUAGAUGGUUGAUGUGUGAUAAACAGAUGAGAGGCCUCGAUGUUGCUGUUGAUCUAGUUAUUCAGCGGACUAUGGAUAAUGACCACAGACUCUUUCGAGACAGUCAUGUGGAACGCUGUGACAUCCUCAAAAUCACGGCCAAAAAAGACCGUUUUAAUUUAUGCUUUUAAAAUAAUUUGAGAGUAAAUCCUUUGAUUUAAAAGAGUUGCGGAAUUUGUUCCCAAAACAAAAUAUGAUAAAAUAAAGUUUUUCAAAGCAUUUCAUCAAGAGAUGCAUCUUCAUUAUAUAACAAUAUUCGGGAUGUCAUGUUCCCAUAAACAGACCAAAAAUAUAAACAACAAAAGAUAGAUCAUACAACAGUUACAUAUAACAAUUGGUCUAGUAUCAAAAGAUCUUGAUAAGUCAUCCAACUUAUGCUCUCGCGCCACUACCUAUAAUACAAAUAAACUGAGUGGGUCAGGCUUGGGAGCCUGGUGAGCAUAUAGGGUUUUCAACCCGAAAUAAAUAAUUAUAUUUAAUUUCACCAACCAACAAUAACCCAAUUACCCAUUCCCGUUAUCCUCACUUUACGUCCCUAAAACAACAUCUAUCUCAAGGGAUCUAAUAUAGGAUUUUCAUCGGGACAGACACUGCACAGGGGUUACCUCAAUAGUAGAUGUCCUAAAGGCAACCAUGAGGGGGAUAGAGUACACCGGUGAACACAUCGUUCACAACACCUAGCUAGCGUUCCACAGGACUGUCUAGAAAGAGUCUGUGGUUGUUAUCCAUACUCCGCUGAAUAACUAGAUCAACAACAACAACAUCGAGGCCUCUCAUUUGUUUAUCACACAUCAACUAUCUACCCAUGUUCUACCCAACAUAUUAGUAGAUAAAAAUAUAUAUUUUUAUACAUAGUUUAAAACAUGUAUAGCAUUCUCAUUCAAUACAUAUUCCAAUCAACAGAUGAGACACAUACACAUAGCACGUAUUUCCUAGAGAAUAAAUUAUAUCUCUGAGAUAGAAGAAAGUGAAUAUACAUUCACACAUAUAACAAAAAAUAUACACAUAACACGUAUUUUGUAUAAAAUACUUCAUAAUUAUGCAUUAGAAGAAAGUAACUACACACUCACUUGAUCAGAAGAUGAUCGGACAACACUACAGCUCUAAGAGUAGUAUUCUUCGGUGAAACUGGGUUCACUUCACUCACCAGGCUUCUUGCGGGCAGAGCUUCAGCUCGGAAACUCUUUUCUUCGAGGGAUCUUCGAGCUUCAGGACUUGCUUCGGUUGUCGGGAUGAUACCGGGGCUUCGGGGGUACUUUUUCACGUAAAUCGAGGUAAUAUGAGUGAGAGAGAAGAGAUUUGGCAACCACAAACGGUUGCCCCUUCAAAUCUAUUUAUAGGGCUAUUUUCUCAUUUUCCACGUCGUGGGCACUUCUUCCACGUCGUGAGCUUGGUCGUCAUUGCAUGCGUCAUCGUCCACUUGCUCUGCCAGGCUCCAGAAGGCGUCAGAAGCCAUGCCACGUCGUGGUCUCUGACGGUUUUGGUGUUUCGCACCCCGAACUUCAGAAAUCCAUAACUUUCGCAUACUUACUCCGUUUUCGACGUUCUUUAUAUCGACGUGUAGGUAAAAACAAGAUCUACAACUUUCAUUUAGACUUUGUAUGCUAAUUUUGACUUUAUUUUUAAUAUAUUAAUAAUAUACUAUUGUUAGUAGGCCGGGACAGGAAAACCCCGUUAGAAAUUCAUAACUCCUUCAUCUGACGUCCAUUUUCGACUGUCUUUUCACCGUUGGAGUACAAUCGAUGAGAUCUUUGAUUCUCGUUUAGAUUGUUUCGUCUAAAUAUCGCUCGAUCUCGUAUUCGAACUUCGGGCUAUACACUGCUAAACAAAAACUUCGAAAAAUCAUAACUUCCUCAUACGAAGUCAGAUUUGGGCCUUCUUUUUAUGCACGCUCUCAGUUUAACGAACUCUACAACAUUACUUUAGAUCGCUAAGUCCAAAUAUUUUUCUAAUGUAAACUCACUAUUUACGUCUCGCUGUGUCGUACCGGUUCUGUCGCGAAACUUCGACAAGUCAUAACUUCUUCGUUAUAACUCGGAUUUCGGCAUUCUUUAUAUAUUCAGAAACCUCGUUUCAACUACUACAACAUUAUCCAUAGAUAUUGGGUUGAUCUAACAUUUCAUUUUGACGUUUAUUUUUAUUCUUAAUUAAAUUAAGACAUACAAUUAAGCACAAAAACACAUAAUACUCAAAUAAUACACUUCUAUUAUUUCAAAACGGGUUACAAAGGUUAACCUAGACUAUUAUAUCAACAUUAAUGACAACCCCAGAAACACCGUCAUUACAAUUCUCUCCACCUUAGAAUGAUUCCGUCCCCGGAAUCACACAUCAACAAACAAAUGUGGGUAGCGACUCAUCAUGUCACUCUCCGUCUCCCAAGUGAGAUUUGGCCCAUUCGUGUGUUUCCAUCGGACAAGCACAAACUCAACCACAUUGCGUCGCAACUUCUUAGUCUUUCGGUCAAAGAUUGCCUCUGGUUCUUCAAUCAAUCUUUUGUUCUCAUCGAUUCUCAACUCCAAAAGUGGAAUCAUGUCGGGAACUUCUCUCGUGAACUUCAUCAAAUAACACACAUGGAAAUUUUUAUGAAUUCCAUUCAGUUCUUCUGGUAGUUCGAGCUUGUAAGCUUGGUUCCCAAUCCUCUAAAGAACUUUAAACGGUCCAAUAAACCUUGGACUCAACCUUCCCCUUUUACCAAAUCUUAUAAGUCCCUUCGACGGCGAGACUUUAAGCAAAACCGAAUCUCCAACUUCAAAAGUCAUCGGUCUUCGCUUGUUGUCAGCAUAGCUCUUUUGACGAUCUUGAGCUGCUAACAUUCUCUCCCUAAUUAUUUUCAACUUUUCAGCAGUUUGAUGGACUAUCUCUAGUCCCAUAAACUGCUUUUCUCCAGCCUCAAGCCAACAAGACGGCGUACGACACUUCUUUCCAUACAAAGCUUGAUAAGGUGUCAUCUUUAUGCUCGAGUGGAAACUAUUAUUGUAGGAAAAUUCUACAAAAGGUAAAUGUUCAUUCCAAUUACCUUAGAAUUCCAGGGUACAUGCUCUCAUCAUAUCUUCAAGUGUUUGUAUUGUUCGUUCGCUCUGAGCAUCAGUCUGUGGAUGGUAAGUUGUACUCAAACACAACUUGGUACCCAAUUCCUCUUGUAGACUUCUCCAAAAUCGCGAGGUAAAGCGGCUGUCACGAUCUGACAAAAUCGUUAACGGAACACCGUGAAGCCUCACAACUUCCUUCACAUAAGAAUUCGCACGCUUUUCCAUAGACCAUUUCUCAUUGGAUGCUAUGAAAUACGCACUCUUAGUGAAUCGAUCAACGACCACCCAAAUCAUGUCGUGACCACUUUUCAUUUUGGGCAGUUUAGUGAUAAAAUCCAUAGCAAUGUCUUCCCAAAUACCCAUAGGCACAGGCAAAGGUUCUAAACUCCCGUAUGGUUUCUAAUGUUGUGUCUUGACUCUCGCACAAGUCACACACUUGGAAACAUACUUUGCAACAUUAAGCUUCAUCGUCGGCCAACAGUUGUAGGGUUUCAGGUCCCUAUACAUCUUAGUGUCGCCGGGAUGAAUUAAGUACAUGGUUUUGUAAGCUUCUUCCAUCAGAAUUUCUCUGACUCCUCUUGUCUUAGGUAUCUAAAUCCGAUCUUGGAACACCUUCAGUGCAUGACUGUUUACACCGAACACUAACGUUUUGCCCAAACAUUCUCCCUUUCGGUCAUUCUUCUCAGAAGCUUCCUCUUGAACUUUCUUUAUACUUUCCAUUAUUGUCGAGACAACUUCAAUUCUCAACGCUCUUGGCCUCUUCCUUUCAAGAUUGACUUUCCGACUGAGAGCAUUAGCAACAACAUUUGCUUUGCUGGGGUGGUAAAGUAUCUCACAGUCAUAGUCCUUAAGUAACUCUAGCCAGCGUCGUUGCCUCAUAUUCAAUUCCUUCUGAUUAAAGAGAUAUUGGAGACUCUUAUGAUCAGUGAAAAGUUGGCACUUCGUGCCAUAGAGGUAAUGUCUCCAUAUCUUUAGAGAGAAAACUACCGCCGCCAACUCCAAGUCAUGAGUCGGGUAGUUCUUUUCAUGCUCUUUCAACUGUCGAAAUGCAUAUGCGAACACCUUUUCCCUUUGGUUCAAAAUACAACCCAACCCAACACCUGACGCGUCGCUAUAAAAACAAAGUCUUCAACUCCAUCGAGUAGAGAAUGUAUCGGUGCCUCGCAUAGUUUCUUCUUUAGCUUCUCGAAUGCUUCUUUAUGCUUAUCACUCCAAGCAUAAGUAGCUCCUUUGUGGGUCAAAGCUGUUAAUGGAGUAGCGAUCAAAGAAAAGCCUUGGAUAAACCUUCGGUAAUAUCCGACUAAUCCCAAAAAGCUUCAGAUCUCCGUGGGACUUUUCAGUUGUUCCCAGUUCAUUACAGCUUCAAUCUUUGCUGGAUCAACCAUUAUUCCUUCUUGGUUGAUCACAUGACCCAAGAAUUGGACUUCUCGAAUCCAAAAAUCACAUUUGAAGAACUUAGCAUAUAGCUUCUCCUUAUUCUAGACUUCUAACACUUCUCGCAAGUAUCUACCAUGCGCCUCUUGGCUUUUCGAAUAAAUCAGAAUGUCAUCUACAAACACUAUCACUGAUUUAUCAAGGAACGGAUUAGAAACCCUGAUCGUUAAAUCUACGAAUGUUGUUGGAGAAUUGGUUAGUCCAAACGACAUAACCAAAAACUCAUAGUGUCCGUAUCGUGUUCUGAAUGCAGUCUUCUCUAUAUCCUGCUCUCUUACUUUCAGGUGAUGAUAUCCUGACCUAAGAUCGAUCUUUGAGAAAUAGCUCGAACCUUGUAGUUGAUCAAACAGGUCAUCAAUCCUCGGCAACAUAUAUCUAUUCUUUAUUGUUGCCUUUUUCAGAUCUCUGUAAACGAUGCACAUUCUCAUACUUCCAUCUUUCUUCUUUACGAAUAACACCGGAGCUCCCCAGGGUGAUGAACUAGGUCUAAUGAAACCUUUGUCCAAUAACUCCUGAAGUUGCAUCAUCAGCUCCUUCAUCUCCGUCGGUGCUAAUCGGUAAGGUGCUUUUGCNNNNNNNNNNNNNNNNNNNNNNNNNNNNNNNNNNNNNNNNNNNNNNNNNNNNNNNNNNNNNNNNNNNNNNNNNNNNNNNNNNNNNNNNNNNNNNNNNNNNNNNNNNNNNNNNNNNNNNNNNNNNNNNNNNNNNNNNNNNNNNNNNNNNNNNNNNNNNNNNNNNNNNNNNNNNNNNNNNNNNNNNNNNNNNNNNNNNNNNNNNNNNNNNNNNNNNNNNNNNNNNNNNNNNNNNNNNNNNNNNNNNNNNNNNNNNNNUCUUUCCCAGGUGGGUUUACUUUGACUAUCUUCUUCUUGCACAAUAUCUCAGCAUCAUUGGCGCUAAGCCAAUCCAUUCCAAGCACGAUGUCAAAACCUUUAAGUUCAAUAGGCAAUAAUUUCUCGUGAAACUUAUUCUCAUUCAAAUCAAUUAAGAUGUUUUUCAUACGAUGACUAACAGGUACAAACUUGCCACUAGCAACUUCGACUAAUAAAGCAUUAUCUAGUCUAUCGACAGGCAAAGCUAGUUUUCUACCAAAUUCAUGUGAAAUAAAGGAGUAGUUGGCUCAAGACUCAAAUAAAAUUUGGGCAGGCAAUUCGUUAACGAGAAAGGUACCUGAAGCGACAUCAGCUUCAUCUUUAGCAGCUUCCAGUGUCAUCUGGAAGGCUCUCGCCUUCGGCUUUGGCGGAAUGUUGGGUCUUGCUGCCUCCUUUUUGGGGCAGUCCCUAGACACGUGUCCCUCCUCACCACAACCAUAACAAACUUUCUUGGUGAGAGUGCAUUCGUUGGCAUAGUGCCCUGGCUUUCCACAUUUAAAACAUGUGGCCACUACCUCACAUUUUCCAUGAUGCUUCUUCUUACAUUUGUCGCACCAUUUUGCUUCGCCUCCUCCUCCUCUCGAACUAGACUUCGAGAACUUUUUUUUCUUGUUGGACCUGAAGGUCCUUCGAACUUCCUCUUUUCACCAACCUCUAUCCUUUCCAGACCCUUUUCCUUCUGUUGGGCCUCCACAUUCUUAGCUGCUCGAACAACUUUUUUCAGAGUGGUUGCCAUCUUGACUGUCGGACCUAAUUCGGUAGGUAGUCCAUUAGCAAACCUCUCAAUCUUGGAGAGUUCCGUUGGCACCAGGUACGAAAAUAACUUUAUUUUCUCAGUGAAUGCAGUAGGAUAGUCGUCUACGCUCAUUCUCCCCUUCUUCAAGUUUUGGAAAUCAUUGUUCAAAUCAAUCAGAUCUAUCUUUGAACAGUACUGCACCCUUAGUUGUUCCAAGAAAUCCUCCCAUGACAUUUUCAGGGCUUCUCCUCAUUGCAUAGUAUCUGCCAACAGCUUCCAAAAACUCAAGACACCAGUCUUCAGUUGUCUAAAUGCAAAGACAGUCUUCUUUUUGUUGCUACAGUCGCAACUUUCAAAUACCAUCUCCAUUUCGGAGAUCCAAUCCAUAAUCUCAACAGGCUUCAGGCUUCCAGAAAGACUUGGCGGCUUGGCGCCCAAGAAAUUCUUGUACAUUCGCCCAUCCUUGUUGUUUCUCCUUUCCGGGUCGUUCCUUCGUUCUCCUUGAGUCCCAACUUGACUCAUAAUGCGACUAUUGUUUCCGUCCUCCGAUUGUUUGGGAAUCAGUUCAGGUUCCUCAAUAGGUAUGAUUGGUUCAUCCCUAUUUUCAUGUAACAUUUGUUGCAUUUCUUCCCUUUAUUCGGCUAACAUAGCCUGAACCAUGGCUUGCACCCCAGCCAUUGUUAUUGGUUCUGGUGCUGCUGCUACAACAGGUAUUUGCUCAAUCACUGGUGGUUGAUUCCUGUUUUCAUCUGCAUUUCCAACGCCACUCCUGGUUCUUACCAUUUUUUAUCUACACACCGAAUAAGGUGAAAUUCGAUCCUCAUCCAUGAUAGAUAAUUAAAUCAUCCUUAUCACUCCGAAACAUUUACAUGUUAGUUCUAAUACCGACGUCAUACGCUUAGAAUCUUACACACAUAAGGUUUCAAGAUCCGGUCGGCAGUAUACCAUAGAUCCGAACAAAUAAUAUCAUAUAUGGCAACAUAUAACAUUUAGCACAUAAAAGCAUUUUAGGCAGCUUCCUAAAAUAUACUAGUGCUCGUGUCUAUAAUAUAAUAGACACACAUCUCACAAUCUCCACUUAGCAUUCUAAUUUUAAGUCUAGAAAUCCUACAAAUUCCUAGUUCGCUUAAACUAAUGCUCUGAUACCAACUGUGACAUCCCCAAAAUCACGGCCAGAAAAGACCGUCUUAAUUUAUGCUUUUACACUAAUUUCAGAGUAAAUCCUUUGAUUUAAAAGAGUUGCGGAAUUUGUUUCCAAAACAAAAUAUGAUAAAAUAAAGUUUAUCAAAGCAUUUCAUUAAGAGAUACAUUUUCAUUAUAUAACAAUGUUCGGGAUGUCAUGUUCAGAUAAACAGACCAAAAGCAUAAACAACAAAAGAUAGACCAUACAACAGUUACAUAUAACAAAUGGUCUAAUAUCAAAAGAUCUUGAUAUGUCAUCCAACUUAUGCUAUCACGCCAAUACCUGUAAUACAAAUAAACUGAGUGGGUCUGGCUUGGGAACCUGGUGAGCAUAUAGGGUUUUCAACCUGCAAUAAAUAAUUACAUUUAAUUUCACCAACCAACAAUAACCCGAUUACCCAUUCCCGUUAUCCUCACUUUACGUCCCUAAAACAAUAUCUAUCUCAAGGGACCUAAUCAAGGAUUUUCAGCGGGACGGACAUUACUGCAAAGGGGUUUCCUCAACAGUAGAUGUCCUAAAGGCAACCAUGAGGGGGAUAGAGUACACCGGUGAAUACAUCGUUCACAACACCUACAGGUUAUGAGCCUGCUAGCGUUCCACAGGACUGACUAGAAAGAGUCUGUGGUCGUUAUCCAUACUCCGCUGAAUAACUAGAUCAACAACAACAACAUCGAGGCCUCUCAUCUGUUUAUCACACAUCAACUAUCUACCCAUGUUCUACCCAACAUAUUAGCAUAUAAAAAUAUAUAUUUUUAUACAUAGUUUAAAAACUAUAUAGCAUUCUCAUUCAAUACAUAUUCCAAUCAAUAGAUGAGACAUAUACACAUCGCACGUAUUUCAUAGAGAAUAAAUCAUAUCUAAGAGAUAGAAGAAAGUGAAUAUACAUUCACACAUAUAACAACAAAAUAUACACAUAACACGUAUUCUGUAUAAAAUACUUCAGAAUUAUGCGUUAGAAGAAAGUAACUACACACUCACUUGAUCAGAAGAUGCUCGGACAGCACUACAGCUCUAAGAGUAGUAUUCUUCGGUGAAACUGGGUUCACUUCACUCAUCGGACUUCUUAUGGGCAGAGCUUCGGCUCGGAAACUCUUUUCUUCGCGGGAUCUUCGAGCUUCUGGACUUGCUGCGGGUGUCGGGAUGAUACCGGGGCUUCGGGGGUACUUCUUUGCAUGUAAAUUGAGGUAAGAUGAGUGAGAGAGAAGAGAUUUGGCAACCACAAACGGCUGCCCCUUCAAAUCUAUUUAUAGGGCUGUUUUCUCAUUUUCCAUGUCGUGGGCACUUCUNUUCACAUCGUUACAUCAUCGCAAGUUGGGUCUGGUAGACUCCAGGAGUCGUCAAAAGACAUGCCACGUCGUGACCACUGAUUUCACAUCGUGGUCUCUGACAGUCUUGGAGUUUCGCGCCCCGAACUUCAGAAAUUCAUAACUUUAACAUACGAACUCCGUUUUCGACGUUCUUUAUAUCGACGCGUAGGUAAAAACAAGGUCCACAACUGUUAUUUAGACUUUGUAGGCUUAUUUUGACUUUAUUUUUAAUAUAUUAAUAAUAUACUAUUUUUAGUAGGCCGGGACAGGAAAACUCCGUUAGAAAUUCAUAACUCCUUCAUCUGACGUCUGUUUUCGACUGUCUUUUCACCGUUGGACUACUAUCGAUGAGAUCUUCGAUUCUCGUUUAGGUUGUUUCGGCUAAAUAUCGCUCAAUUUCAUAUUCGAACUUCGGGCUGUACACUGCUAAACCGAAACUUCGAAAAAUCAUAACUUCCUCAUACGAAGUCAGAUUUGCACAUUCUUUUUAUGCAUGCUCUCGGUUUAACGAACUCUACAACAUUCCUUUAGAUCACUAAGUCCAAAUAUUGCUCUAAUGUAAACUCACUAUUUACGUCUCGCUGUUUCGUACCGGUUCUGUCGCGAAACUUUGACAUGUUAUAACUUCUUCUUUAUAACUUGUAUUUCGGCAUUCUUUAUAUAUUCGGAAACCUCGUUUAAACUUCUACAACAUUAUCCAUAGAUAUCGACUUUAUCUAACAUUUCAUUUUGACGCUUAUUUUUAUUCUUAAUUAAAUUAAGACACACAAUUAAGCACAAAACACAUAAUACUCAAAUAAUACACUUCUGUUAUUUCAAAACGGGUUACAAAGAUUAACCUAGACUAUUAUAUCAACAUUAAUGACAAGCCCAUAAACACAGUCAUUACAAACGCUAGCAGGCUCAUAACCUGUAGGUGUUGUGAACGAUGUGUUUACCGGUGUACUCUAUCCCCCUCAUGGUUGCUUUUAGGACAUCUACUGUUGAGGAAACCCUUAGCAGUAAUGUCCGUACCGAUGAAAAUCCUAGAUUAGGUCCCUUGAGAUAGAUGUUGUUUUAGGGACGUAAAGUGAGGAUAACGGGAAUGGGUAAUCGGGUUAUUGUUGGUUGGUAAAAGUAAAUAUAAUAAUUUAUUGCGAGUUGAAAACCCUAUAUGCUCACCAGGCUCCCAAGCCUGACCCACUCAGUUUAUUUGUAUUACUAGUAGUGUCGCGAGGGCAUAAGAUGGAUGAAUCAUCAAGUUAUUUUAUUUAUUAGACCAGUUAUUAUAUGUAACUGUUGUAUGGUCUAUCUUUUGUAGUUUAUGCUUUUGUGUCUGUAUCGGAACAUGACAUCCCGAGUUUUGAUUUUAUAAUGAAAAUACAUUUUGUUAUGAAAUGCUUUGGUAAAUAUUAUUUUAUCAUGCUUUUUUUGGAACAAAUUCUGCAACAAUUUAAAAUCAAAAGGAUUUACUCUGAAAUUAUUUAAAAAAACAUAAAUGAAACUGGUCUUUUCUGACUGUGAUUUUGGGGAUGUCACACUGCGCCUAAUCGAGAACAUCAUAAUCCUGGCAGCUACGCCCAAAGGACAAUAUUAGCACUUGCGCCUAAUAGAGAAUAUUAUAAUUCUGGUAGUUGCGUCUAAAUGAUAAUGUUGGUAGUUGUGCUUAAUAGAUAACGUUGACAACUGUGUCAUUAGGAAAACGGUGGACUGCGUGCCUAUUCCUUAGGAAAAUCCUUAGGAAUGAAUGAGUUAAUGAUAAAUGAUUCUUAGGAUACAUCCUUAAGAAAUAACGAAGAUAAUGGGGAUGGAUAAUUGGGUUAAUUUUUUAAUGAUUAAACAUAAUUAUAUUAUUGUGGGUUGAAAACCCUAUGUACUCACUAGGUUUCCCAAUAUGACCCACUCAAGUUUAUUUGGAUCACAGGUGUCUAUACGAAGCUACUUUACACUGAGAGAUUAAGGAGACGUAAAUCACUAGUGUAAAUGAAUGGAAGGUCUGUUUAUGCUUAUAUUUAUGUAUUAACGAUGACGUCCUAAAGUUUUAAAAAGAAAUGAAAUACAUUUCUUCGAAAAUGCUUUGAUAACACAUUUAUCAUGUUUUUCUGGGAACAAAUUCCGCAACAUUUUUAUAAAAAGGGUACUCUCAUUUUUAAAUAAAGCAUAAACAAAUCGGUCUUUUCUGGCUGUGAAAAUGGGGAUGUCACAAUUGGUAUCAGAGCAUUAGUUUAAGAGAACUAAGAAUAAGGGUUUAUUUCUAGACUUAAACUUAGAAUGCUAAGCGAUGAUUAUGAGUUGAGUGUGUGAUGUUGCGCAUAAAAAAACACAAAGAUAACCAAGAAUGAACCUGUUGAUUCUAAAAGAAUAGCCAGGACAAUCUCUUCAAAACCACGUUGAUUCUACGAAUACUGUGGGAUUGGCUUCAAAAACUGGGUUAACACGCACAAAAUUUGGGAGAAAACUGAAAGUUCAUAAAAUUGAUGAUCGACCAUCCAAAUUACAUAAAAAACAGUUAAAUAAAAAGCAUAAAUUAAAAUGAAACCCUAAAAGUCCAUGGGCGAAAUACAAACCCAAAAAUUAAGGAAAAAUAACAAAAUUGUUCAUAACUCCAUUUAGAAAGCGAUUUCUGGACUCAAAAUGGGUAAGUCCCUUUCGGGGACUUAUCUAGAUGUGCUCCUUGCUCCAAGCUUCGACUUGACUGGUCGUAGGCCCAAAACGGAGACUCGUAGCCAAAGUUAUGGCCAUUUCCGUGAAGCCCCUUUAAUCACACGAUCGUGGGCCUCUAGGAAUGCAAUGGCCCGAUCCUCCACACUAGGGCCCGCAUCUGUGUGUCUAAUAUAUUUUAGGUAGUACACCUGAAUAGACACAGCCACUAUCUUAUUUUGGGAGGAUGCCUAAAAUGCUUUUAUGUGCUAAAUGAUUUGUGAUACUUUAUGAUGCUAUUGUUCGAUCAGAUAUAUGGUAUGUUGCCCACCGGAUCCAGAAACUUUAUGUGUUUAGAUUUCAAAAUGUUUAAUUACAGUAUUAGAACUGGCAUGUAACUUUUCGGAGUGAUAAGAAGAUUUACAUGUGGAUCGUAAAUAAAACCUUUCCUAUCUUAAUUAUCAUCAUUACACAUCAAACGUCUGAUUUGGUGUAUAGAUCAACAUGUUGAGAACUCGAAGCGGAUUAGGAGACGCUAAUGGAAAUGUUGAUCAACGGCCUAUGAUUUAACGUGCACUAAAGGUAGCAGCUACACCAUAGCCAAUCACAAUGGCAAGAGUCCAAGCAAUGAUUCAGGCUAUGAUAGCCAAACAAAGGGAGGAGAUGAGGCAAAUGUUGCUUAAUAGGGAUGAACCUACCAUGCUCAUUGAAUAACUAGAACUAAAUGAUGAACAGUUAGAGAAGGGAAUUACAGUAGAACCGUUGGUCAAGCUGAACUGCCAGUGGUUAGGAGGAAUAACCAAGAGGAAGGGAUCAAGAGAAAUAGAUGCAAGUAUAAGGAUUUCACAACUUGCAAACCAUAGAUUUUCACUGGGAAAGAGGAUCCAAAUCGGAGUUACAGACCGGAUCUCGGAGAUGGAUUUGGCUUUCAUAACAUGUAGAUUCAAAGGAAAGCUAAAAACCAUAUAUGCAGUGCGUCAGUUGAUGGGUGGAGUUGUUCACUAGUGGAACACUUUGGGAAAGAUCAUGAGUCCUAAUGAGCUGCUGCAACUGACGUGGGCAGAGUUCCUAGUGCAUUUCAAACGAAAGUUUUGCUCGGCCCAAAAUCUGUUGGAGCUAGAGAACCAAUUCCUAACAUUGAAGAAGGGCAUCAUGCCUAUUGACGAAUACAGCAAUGCCUUCACCGACAAGAUGGAAUUUUCUUUGCGCAUCGUCCCUGGCGAACUAACUAAAGUCGAUAAGUAUACAAAGGGACUACCAUGGGAAUAUGUUGUGCUAGUACGCCAGGCACCUACCAUCGAGGCGACUAUCUGGGCUGCUAAGUCUGUUGAAGAAAUGAUCAAGAGUAGGGCCACCAACAACGUCGAAGUUGGUGAAAGAGAAAGUUUGAAGGAUCUUCAAUGUCCAAUGAGAGGAGAAAAUGCUCGAAGUCUGGUUCGAAGAAGUUUGAAGGAGGAGGAGGUGAAGCAAGAUGGUGUGAUAAGUGCAAGAAGAAACACUUUGGAAAAUAUGGCAAGAAGGUGACUUGUUUCAAGUGUGGAAAGUCUGGGCAUUAUGCCGAUGAGUGUAUAUUCAACAAAAGGGUGUAUUACGGAUGUAAUGAAGAAGGGAAUUCAAGCUGGACUGCCCAAAGAGGGAAGGAGCUACAAAGCAAAAUGCACCGCCAAAGCCGAAGGCAAAAACAUUCCAUAUGAUCCUUAAUGAAGCAGAUGAUAAUGCAAGGAAUCAAGAAUGAGGACUGAUACCCGAAGAUCAAGUUAUGAAGUAGCCAUGCAGAUAGUAUCAGGAGGUGUAGCCUAUUAGAGGCAUAUUAUAGGUUGAACUUUAACAUCCAUGUAAUCAUUUCAAGAAGUAAUAUAAGCCUUGGUUUUGUUAUCUGGUGCGUUAAGUUGUUAUGUGAUUUUCAAGUAUGGUGACUUGGAAAACUGCGAGACAAUACUUGGGACAAGUAUGAGUAUAUGUGAAUGGUAGUAGAGGCCUAUACUACCAGAAGCACAGGACUCGCACUUGGAUUAGGGAAAGUCACAAGGUUACCAAGGCACUAGUAAUUGAUUCUUUUUUGUUCAUGUUUGUCGUCACCAUCGUUUCGGUAAUGACUAAGAAGAUGAUUGUUAGUCCAACCCUAGUGGUCAUAUCAAAUCGAGUCCGACUAAGAUGAAUAUGUUGCGUGGUUCAAAAAACCAAGGUCGAUGUUGCAUCUGACUUAAGCCAGACGAUUGAAGUGAAAGAUAAUCGAACCGAUCAAUAGAAGUAUCGUAACCUUUGUUAAGGUAAGAAGCUUGUAGCUAGAAGUGCUACAUGCUAGAAUAUGAUUAUAUCACAUUAGAACAUGAAGGAAGGUAUAUUUUGUUCUAUAGUUUGACUCUAAAAGACCUAAGUCUAAGUGUUGCAUCAUACGAUAAGAGGUCAUUACAACAUGACCCAUCGGUUUAUUGUGGUAAUCAAAUAACUUCUCUUAAUAUAAGUAUGUUUAACAAGAAGUAGGAGUCUCUGAUUUGGAUCGAUUUUGUAACUCGAAGGUUACGAUUGGAAGUCCAACAUAGGAUAAAGAACGGGUGCAAGAUUGAGUACCUCCUGCGGUCAAGAAGUCCAAGAGUUUGAUACUCAUUCGAAGGAACAUAAAAGUUACGAUUAUUACCUAAUAUGAAGAGAUAACAUAAGGAUUCAUUAUACAAGCCCUAUUUUGUUGAUUAUUCUGGGACGUAAUCAUCCUAAGGAGGAGAUAACUGUAACGCCCGCAGAUUCAGGCUAGUCAAUUAGAGAUAUUGAGCGUCAAAAAUGACAUUUUUAUGGGAGUUUAUUUAGAAGAAAUAAUCUUAACCUAGUAAUAGUAUAUGUCACAAGGGUUCCGUACAUAUAAAGAACGCCGAAAUCCGAGUUAUAACGAAGAAGUUACGACCCGACGAAGUUCUACAGCAAAACCGGCACGACACCGCGUAACAUAAAAAGUGAAUUUUUGAUAAAUUACUUUUUAGCCUUAGAGAUAUAAAUGAAAGUUAUAAUAUAGGUUAAACCGAUAGCAUGCAUAAAAAGAACGUCAAUAUCUAACUUCGUAUGAGGAAGUUAUGAUUUUUCUAAGAUUUCGCAAAGUAGUAUACAACCCGGAAUUCGAAUUUCAGAUCGAGCGAUUUUUAGCCAACACAACCUAAAUGAAAAUUGAAUAUCUCAUUAAUAGGAGUUCAACGAUAAAAAGACAUUAAAAAUGGAGUUCGAAUGUACAAGUUAUGAAUUUUACACGGUCAUUAACAAUGUAAUCUUCUCAUACUAGUAAAUUUAAAAUCGGUCGAGAGUUAGCUGUUUGAGUCAAAAGGAGAGUUGUAGAUCAUGUCAAUACCUAUGCGUGGAUAUAAAUAAUGUCAAAAAUGGAGCUCGUAUGCAAAAGUUAUGAAUUUUUGAAAAUUGGUUGUUUUACCUGCGUCCAGCACCACGUGUCAGCACCAAGCGAAGCCAUGGUGCCUACGCAAGGCCACGACGUGGAUUGGCUCCAGAUAGCCUAUAAAUAGAGGCGGAAAUCAUCCGUUUUCUUCACACCUUCACCCUUCUUUCUCUCUCAACGCUCCUAAUCUCUCCCUCCCAAUCCCUAGCAACUUCUAAGUGCUCCGAGAAGAAGAUCUUUCGGCUCAGAAGUUCCACCCCCGCAUAGCCCGGUUCCUAGCCAAACCCACGGUAAGUUAGUUAUGAUUACCCUACUUUAAGUAUAACUUAUGUUUGAGUUUAUUAUCAUUAUUAUGAACUUAUAAACAAGAUUUAUCAAUGAUUCCAAGUAGUUAUAUUGAUUGAUCUACUUAUGGGGAUAAUGUCUAGGCUGUGAUUUUGUGAGGUGUUUAAAGUGGGGUUUCCAAAUAGUAUACUUCGUAUACCAAACGAACCCUACCUCUGAUAUGAUCCUACCUGGUUGCUCUUUACAUGAUAGAUCAUGAAAGUAGACUUUGAGUUAAUGAUGAAUCUAGACUAAUAAUUAGUUGCAAUAAAGAUUAGACUAAAACUUAGCGAUAAUAAUGUUAGGUUUCGUCGAAGGAAGAUAGAAUCGUUAGAAGUGAAGCGUUUCUCGACUUUGGAAUUAUCACUUUGAAAAGUGAGUGCAUAGUUACUUUCAUCUUACACAUUGAUAUGAAGUAUUUUAUAUAAAUUACGCGCUAUGUGUGCAUGUUAUCUGUUUACUUGAUAUAUAUGAUAAAUGAACGAUCUUAUACAUGUACUCUAAACAUCCUAGUAGCUGUGCUCAAAGUGUAGUAUCGGUAGCUGUGCCGUCACACCCCCAAACCAGAACGACGGAAACGUUCAGGGGCGGAGGACGUCAUGUAUAGUAUCAUAACAAUGCAUAAUAGUAAAACAAGCAACAACAUCAUCCAUUGAAUUAAUGAUAGAAUUUAUACAUGUGUGUUCUUUGUAAAGUUGUAAGACACCAAAAAUAUAUAAUCAAAAUAAAGACGAGUCUUGAAUACGCUCUGUCUCCUCAAAACCUGGUCAUCGAUACAUGUCUACUGGUGACCUAAGAAUACAAGUUAUUUUGAAAGAGUAGAUCAACAUUUAAGCUGGUGAGUUCAUAAGUAUAUUAGUGUCAAAAAUUUUCAUCUGUUUCAUGAAAAUGUUUGUAAGUAUUUAGAUGUAAAUGUUUGUAUGCUUCCAAGAAAAUCCUAUAUUUUCUACUAAAAUGAAAAGUAGUCUUCUUCCAAGACUCAACUGUUUUGUAUGUUUGUUUUCUCGUAAAAAUUGAUGUAAGAUGUAUGUUUGUACUUGUAAUAGUAUAAAUGUGGGUUUUCCAUAUUUUUUUAAAACUUUCUAUACACGAAAAAUAGUAUGCAUUUCUUACGUGAGAAUAUCACUGUGUGAAUAUGAUGGAAAAAUGACGAUAUUCAGUAGUGUUGUAUAAAAUAUCUACUGAAGCACUAACUACCUUAAAGCAAAUUGUUAAUUAAGGUAAAACGUGAUGAGGUUAUAACCAUGCUUGAUUGACUUGUAUAAAACACAACGAUCAAAAUACAUCGAAAUGGUAUGACAUUUGUCACUUGUAGACCUGUAGGUCCCAUUGUAGCUAGCAACAAGGUUUAGGAUGGUCAAUCCAGUAUAGAUCUAUACACAAACUCACGCUCUCCCUCCAAGAGACUCUGGUUACAAAGCGUGACACAACAAGUAUAUUGAUAUGCCAUGAAGUAGUGGCUCACAUUAAUGUUAUCUUGUUCUAGUUAUAGUAUGUAUGUUCCUUUCUGUUCUAGUUAUAGUAUGUAUGUUCCAAUCUGUUCUAGUUAUAGUAAGUAGUAAUACUCUAAACUAUACCUAUUAUAGUUUACUAGUAUGAUUGUUUGACUGUUACUAAUUUGCAGAAAAGUCUCAAUUACUCACAUAAGCAACUAACUUAAGUAUGUAACUUAAAAAUGGGUUUAAUAUUCAUAUAUGUAUUUAAUAAGCAUAACUAUGAUUUUGCUGACAUUCGAACUAGUGAUCCUACCCUAAGCCCACAACCAAACAAAGAAACAGGAGUUAAGGUAUCUCGCAGUAGUCCUAAGCCCGUUAAAGCAUACUUACACGUAAACAGAUAGACGAAUAUGAUUUGAUAUAAAAGAAGUUUAUAAAAGAUUUAAAAGAGUUUUAACAAGUUUUGAGUAUAAGAAAUCCCUUUGGAUGUUGUUUUCACAUGUAAAUGGUUAACAAAAUUUAAUUGUGUUCUACUUGUUAUCCCCCAUAAAAGCAUUUAAAAGGUAUUUAAAAGUGUAUUGUAGGGGUAUGAACUCAUAUGUAGUGAGUGAUUCGAAUGAAAGAUCGAUAUAGGAUGAUAAGUAUGCCAAGUGAAGUAUCGAGCACAAACGGGUCCUAUUAAGCAUAUAAUAACACAUAUAUGUAUACAAUUAGUAUAUAUAACAACUAAAAUGUAAGGGAAACAACCUUAGGAACUAGGAAACACUUUGAAUGAAGUGUUAGCAUCACAAAUGAUUGGCUGAAAGGUGUUCACGACUAAACAAGGGGUGUUCACGGCCUUAGGAGGGUACAUGUCCAUAGAACGCAUGAUGUGUUCACGGACCAAGGUUGAUCUUAUGAAGGUUUCACGGUCCUAUGAUGCAUCUAUGAAGGGUUCAUGGCCCUAUGAAGGGUUCACGGUCGUGAACUCUUGAAGAUCUUGCAAAUAAGUGUUUGUUUCAUGGGUGGAAUCAAGUGUUUCUAAGGGACAACAAGAUGAUGGAUGAGAUACUUAUGUUUUGGAAGCCUUUAGAAGUGUUCACAGUUGAAGAUAGUUGAGAGAGAAGUGGUGUUCACGGCUAGGGUUUAAAGAAAUGAAGAAAAAUGAGCCAACUCCUUAUAUAUAAGACUUGUUCACGGCCAAGGAUGGGUACACGGCCAUGAACCUAGAUGUGGCCGUGAACUCCUUUUGGUGGUGUUUCCGGCUCGAUUGCAACUCAAUGAACUCAAGCUAACACUUCCUAACUCACAAUCCUUGAGUGUACUAGGCUUAGAAAUUCUCAAACAUACCCUUAACACAACAUAAAGGUAACAGAAACAAGUCUGACUUUAGAUUGAAUUGAUUGACUUUACAAGAUAGAAAUUCCAGGUUGUCGCAUGUGCCUAAUAGAAAACAUCAUAACCCUGGCAGCUACGCCCAAAGGACAAUAUCGACUGUUGUGCCUAAUAGAAAAUAUCAUAAUUCUGGCAGCUGCUCCUAAAUGAUAAUAUUGGCAGCUAUGCUUAAUAGAUAAUGAUGAUAUAUGGUCCAUUAGCAUGGCCUAGACUGCUCUAGCGCGCCAUAUGAUGCGACAUCGGCUCCGACCACCUGCUCUAAGGAGAUGCUUCUGCACCAGAGAUAGAUCUGUGAGGUCACAACAAACAAGACCGUUAGAGCUGCCCCAAAGACUGUGCCCUGGGAGAGAGCUCCGACGGUCAAGUUAGAUCAUUUGGUAGAUCUGAGAUGGAUCUCUUUAGCUAGAGAGGAUCAUCCUUGUGUUGGUGGUGUUGUAUGGUGGUUGACGGCGGCGGGUGCCGGCUGAGCCACCCGGCCAAAGUAUAGGGCGGCGGCUGAGCCAAGGGGAAGAUCCUAAUGGUGGCAGAACCACCUAGGAAAGAGUCCUCCUUCAUGAAGGAGGCACUAUUCUAUUUAUAGGGGGACAACUAGGUCAAGGGGAAUUAGGUCAGGCCUUGGGCCAACCCAAUUCAGGCCCAGCUAGCAAGGAGCUGGGUAAGGCCGCCCGGAGGCGCCGCGCGGGACUUANUGACGGGCGCGUACCAGGAAAGGACGGCAAGGGUGCGCCAGGAAAGGGAGCGUCAGGUCGGGCCUGCAAGAGAUUCCCCAGCAAGGCUGGCAAGGGAGUCCCCAACAAGGUUGUCAAGGGAAUGCCAGGAGAGGCUGGCAGGAGCGCGCCAGGCCAAGAUGGCGCGCUAGAGCAGUGUAGGCCAUGCUAAUGGACCAUAUAUCAUUAGAUAACAUUGACAGCUGUGUCAGUAGGAAAAUGAUGGACUUUAUGCCUAUUCUUUAGGAAAAUCCUUAGGAAUGAAUGAGUGAAUGAUAAAUGAUUCUUAGGAUAGAUCCUUAAGAAAUAACGAAGAUAAUGGGGAUGGAUAAUUGGGUUGAUUGUUUAAUGACUAAACAUAAUUAUACUAUUGUGGGUUGAAAAACAUAUGUACUCACUAGGUUUCUGAACCUGACCCACUCAAGUUUAUUUGUGUGACAGGUGUCGAUACGAAGCUACUUUACACUGAGAGAUUAAGGAGAUGUAGAUCACUAGUUAAAAUGAAUGUAAGGUCUGUUUAUGCUUAUGUUUCUGUAUUGACGAUGACAUUCCAAAGUUUUAAAAGAAAUAAAAUACAUUUCUUCGGAAAUGAUUUGAUAACACAUUUAUCAUGUUUUUCUGGGAACAAAUUUCACAACAUUUUUCUGGCAUCGGGCCUCGCCCGGUAUACAAAUAACAUAUAAGCACAUGCAUAAAAAUCACUUAAACACAUGCAUAAAAAUCACAAUGAUAAAUAGCAUACAAUAUAAUCAUUACGCCCCGCCCGGUAAUCAUAUAAACACAUAACACAUGCAAGAGUAACACAUACAACUAGUAAGGAAACUCACCUCAAGCUGCAAAAUCACUCGGAUAAAAUCUCAAUCUGUUGGUCCGGAAGAUCCUCGCGCUAACCUCAUAAUAUAAAUAUCCAAUUAAUAAUUGGAUCUCGACCCAUAAUAACCAAUCUAAGUUCCUUUUCCAAUAUCCAGGGUAAAAGAUUGUUUUACCCUUUUUCUUACAUGGCCCAAAACCAAGGCCCAAUCCAUUGCUCAAAAGGGCUAAAUUCCAAAAUGGCAUCCAUAGGCCCAAUAAGGCCCAACUUCCAAAUUGGGCUGAAAAUCAUCAUGGACCUAAUCCCAUGAAAGUCCAUAGUCUAUCCAUGACCCAAAGUCAAAAUUCUAAUGACCUAACAAGGCCCAAAUCUUAAAAACCCAAAAUAUGGCCAAAACCCAGGGAAGUCAAACCAAAAGUCAACCUACUGUACGCUUAGCAUACUCCUUCCAGGGCAAGUAUGUGCAUCGUACCAACUGGGUAUGCCCAACGUACUCCCCAGAUUAUCAACCCAACCCAUUAAUAACUUAAUUGGUUAAGCCAACAUGCUAAACUCUCAGAUCUGGUUCUAAAUGGCGACUUACUAUGUAAAGUUGACAACUUUACACCCAUGCAUGAAUUAAUGGGGCCCAACACUAAAAAAGAAGCUUAAUAAGACUCUUAACACUUGCAUGGAAUAAUAUCUUACAUAAAGUUUGCAUUUUUAUGGGCAAAGGACCUCAAAUCAGCGAAGAUCUAACAUCCAUAGCUUCUGGAGUGGACCAUAACUUCAUAUAUGACUUAAAAGACCCAAAAACGCAUAAAUAUCACCAUAAAAUGGAUCUAGCACAAAGGACCAUCCAGAUGAGAGAUUUUUACCUCAAAAGGCUUGCUAAGGUGAAGAUAACUCUAGAUCUACAAGAUUAAGCUACUCCCAAGAAACCUCGAAGUGUUCCUCGUUUUCUUCUUCUUCACCACAAAACACCAACAAACUCACUUUCAAGCUCAAAUCUGACCAAAUACACUUAGGGUUUCGAUAUUGUGACAUAGGGUGAUGGAGGCUGAUCAAUAAAAUGUCCAAAGGUGGUUUAAGAUGUUUAAGUAGGCUGCAAACCCUAAAAAUUAGGGUUUGCCCCUGCUCUACGUAUGUCAUGCAUACUCUACGUACGCCCCACAUACGUGGGUGAAUCUUGCGUCCAGAAAAUAGAUAGUAUGAUAAGCGUACUCAUAGAGUAUGCCCUGUGUACUAGCUAUGGACCAAAAUGAUAAGGAUUUUGCAUUAAGGGGUUAGAAAGAAACUUACCAAAUUACGAAUGUUACAAUUCACUUUAAUCAGAAUUUGUCCUUGAAGUAUGCUGCUCCAAACAACUUUGGGUAGUGCUCUCUCAUCUCGUCCUCCGGCUCCCACGUCCAUUCUGAACCCUUUCGAUGCUGCCACUGAACUUUCACCAAUUCAACAACCUUGUACCUCAAGGCUUCGUCUUCCUGUCAAGAAUUGUUACCGGUCUCUCGAUAUAAUUCAUGCGAUCAUCCACUUAAAUAUCCUCUAAUAGAACCACCACGGAAUCAUCAAUUAAACAUUUUUGUAACUGAGAGACAUGAAAUAUGCUAUGGAUCAUACUAAGAUCCUCGGGAAGAUACAAGCGAUAAGCAACCCGAACCACCCGUGUGAUAAGUCCAUUUUAUGAAUGUACUAAAUUGUCAUAAAUCUGUUGAAUUGAUGUAUAAUUGUCCAAGAAUGGCACUACAUUGCUGAGUUAUUGAACUUCAUAUGCAGGUCAAUAUAUUGUACUAAAAGUGGGUGGAACCUACAAGUAAAACGGAUUGUUAAAGGAAUGAAGAAACGUUGCUGGGAAAAUUGACCAUUCUUCAAUGUUUUGGUCUAAUCUCAAGUUCUGGAGCUCCGAUUGACAUGAGUAUAGAAGUUCUGGAAACUAGACAAGAUUUUCUACAACUUUCGUGUUUUGUGCUUCUGCUAGUUAUGUCGUUUUGACUACCAAAACUUGCACAGAAGAUGAAGGACACCUCCAGACAUCUAAGACGUCCAGGUCAAACAGCCAACAUCUGGUCGUUAUUUCAGAGCAGAAAAGAAGGAAGAACCCCGUCAGCAUCUAACAUGGAAUCUAAGAUGUCCCCUAGGAUGUCUUGGCAUUUUAGGGACGUCCCGUGUUGGAACGGUGUGUUUAGGAAAGUUUAGAAAACAAGGCACGACGUCCUAGAACGCAUCUAAGACGUCUCCUAAGACGUUUGACGUUUUUGGCCAUUUUUUAGUAUAUUUCAAGGACGUACAAAGAUCGCUUGGGCGUUAUACACGACGUCUAAGAUGUCUCCUAGGACGUCCAACGUCCCACAUCGCCCAAUUUCAUUAUUUUUUAUCCCACACUAUAAAUAGGAGCCUAUUUCGUUGGUUAAAAUUCGGAUUCAAAGCAAGAUUCGAUUCAAUUCAUCAUCAAGCUAUAAGUGAAGAUCAUUUCAUUGGUUAAUUUUCAUCAAUUCUUUAUUUUCCAGAAUUAUUUCUUCUUCCCCAAGGUUUAUUUGUUCUACACUUCGAUAAUCAUUAGGCUACAUUUGUUUGAUGAUUCUACGUUUGUUUAUGAAUUCUAUAAUGGAUUUUAUUCAUUUUAAUCAAGUUAUUUGUCUUAUGAACUCAAUGGAAGGCUAAAUCAUUAGGGUUACUUCCGGGGAUGUUUAGGACUUUUUGAUGAACACACUUGAUUAUUACUUGAUUCUAGUUAAUUUCAAUUGUUGUUUUAUGCUUCAUGUGAUGAUCUUUUGGUAAUGAUAAUUGAAAUUGGGUUGUAUGAAUUGUUUGAUGUCAUAAUUAAGAUAGUCUAUUGUCAAUUCAUCAUUUGUUCCAAGUUCACAUAGUUUAGGAAUAAAGACAAGUGAUUGAAUCAACAUAUAUUAUUCCAACUUAUGAUAUUGAAUCUUAAUGCGGUAAUAGGUACUUGUAAGAUAUUUUAUUGCUAGUCCACUAAUUGUUCUUAAUCCAUUGAGGCAUAAAGGAGUAAGACAACUAGUUAAAUGAACAUUUAGUAUGCCCAAACUAUGUAUUACAAGUUAAUAAAUCCCAAUUGUAUCUAAGUAAUUGAAUUAGGAUUUAAGGGAAGAAAGUGUGUGAAUUUAAACUGUCCAUAACUGAACCGGGAGUACUCUAGUUUUCUCAUUGAGAUUUUCGUUGUAAUUAAUAAAUUUCCAUGCUUUUUGUUUGAUCUUUGCGUUAAAUUCUUUUUCGUGACAAUUGCUAGUAGCUUUUUUUCGUUGACUAUUUUAACACAAAGUUUGACAACAAACUCCCUGUAGAUUCGACCCUUACUUACCCUAGCUAUCUAGUGGUUUUGAGGUUAUUUUUGAUUGAUACAACGACAUCAAUCAUAAUUUGGCGCCUUUGUCGGGGAGAUUGUGCGCUUGAGCUAUUGUUUUUAAGUAGUUAUAGCCUUUUACUUUCAUUUUCAAUUCUCGUUUGUAGUUCACAUUUUGUUUUAUUUGUGUUGUGCAGGCACACUGGUGCAUGCAUACAAGACAUAGCAGACGCUCUUCACCGCUUGCAUUUGAUCCGGAAAUCGAACGAACAGCUCGCUCAAAUCGGGUCGCCAGAAGGAACAUCAACACUAUGAGUGUAGAUAAUGUUGUCGUGGAAGAUGUGGUUGAAGGGCAUGAGGAAGAAGCCAACAAUCCUCCACCACUAGUUCCACCACCAGCUCCUCAAUUCCCAAACAACAACAAUGGGAAUAACAACAAUGCCGGUGCACCAAUCAUCCAACCAGUGCAACCAUAACUGAAUAGAAACAACCGUGGCCAAAAUGGUGGAAACGGAGGAAAUUGGGCAUAGAAUAUGGGAGGCAAUGUAGGAAACCACACUGGUGGUAAUGUUAGAAAUCAUAACCAAAAUCCUAGAAAUGUUGGUCCUCAAUUCGGUAAUGGUGGUAAUGGUGGUAACGAGGAUGAUUGGGAUUUUGACGAUGGAAGUUACAACGGACUUGGUUGGAAUCAUAACCACAACGGUGGUAAUAGGCGGAAUCAAGGAAAUCGGGGUGGAAACGGGUACUAAAACAAUAACUGGAACAACCUGAAUUUCCCUAAUGGUGGCAACAAUUACUACAAUGAUGGGUUCGGAAAUCAAGGCUUUGGGAAUCAAUAUCGAAGGAAUCCAAAUGGUGGAUUCAACAAUGCGAAUGGAGGAUACUAAAAUGAAGGUAAUCAAUUCCCUCAUCUUUACUUUCUGCAGCCUAAUAGACAAUCUGUGGCGUCUCAUUUUCAGCCGAGAGAGUAUGAUGAUGCUUCACCCAUACUCUUCGCAGAAGUAAAUGAGCAUCAUGUAGAAGUAAGACCACAACUAAUUAGUGUCUUACCCGUCUUUAGAGGCCAUAAAACUAAUGAUCCAUACAAUCACCUCUAUGAGUUCCUUGCAAUUGCUAACGCGAAUACUCCGCGAGGAACUAAUAGAGAUUCAUUUAGACUUCUCUUAUUUCCGUUCACUUUAAAAGAAAAAGCUAAGUAUUGGUUCACUUCUCUUGCCCCCAUAGUAUCACUACUUGGGAGCAAUUAAAAACUAAAUUUUUGCAAGAGUUUUACCCAGCUAGUAAAACAACGGAAAUAAGAAAAGCCAUAGAAGAUUUUGCACAAAAACCCAAAGAAGAAUUUCAUGAUGCAUUUGAACGCCUCAAGGAAUUGUUCCGUUCAUGUCCCUAUCAUGAAUUUCCCCGUUGGCAACUGGUAGGUUUCUUUUAUGAUGGAGUCGAUACUGCCAAUCAAAGCAUGAUUAAUGCCUCGUCCGGCGGCAUUAUUAUGAUACAAGAUAGUGAAGACGCUUGGCGAUUCUUAGAGUAGUUGAGUCAUGGUUCAAAAACCAAUUACUCAGCUAAGAAACGGGACAAUCCAGUUUCAUCUGUUGCUUCAGUUGGACUAGACAAAAAACUGGAAAAAUGAAGUCAAAUCUGAUAUUAAUUCUUUAAAUAAAAUUUUUGACUUACUACUCUCUAGUCUAGGCAAAAAGAAAGGUGUGUUUUUUCGCAGGGACAGAAGAUAUGUGUAAGCUGUGGAGAUUCAUGACACAUUGCAGAUGAGUGCAUGAGAAUUCAAGAGGAAAUCAAUCAAGUGCAUGGUUAUGGUCAAUUCCAAAAUAAUCCACGAUCAUUCAAUCGGAACUACAUCCAAGGCGGGAACUACAACAACAUUGGGAUUUUCAACAACAACAACCGUCAAGGGAAUUACCAAAACCAAAAUCAGCCAAAACAGUUCCAGCAGUCCAACUUUAACCAAGGUGGAACAUCAAAGAAGGAGGAAAAUGAUGGCAACAAGUUGGACAAAAUCAUGGAGUUCAUAACCUAAACAUAUCAGAAAACCGACACUAACUCCAAGUCUAUAGCUGCUAUUGAGAAGCAAAUUGCUCAACUGGCGGAGCAAAUUGGGAAAAGAGAAGAUGGCAAGUUUCCAAGCACCACAACAGUGAACCCAUCUCAUACCCAGAGACCCCGAAAAGAGCAUCAAGUGAACGAGGUAAUUACCUUGUGUAGUGGAAAAAAGGUUGACAACAAGGUAAGUGCUUCUACAUUAGAUAAUGACAGUGACACUGAAGUCAUCUUUGAUGAAAAAGAAGAGUUUGAGAAAGAUUUUAAAUCCGAAAAACAAAAAGAAGAUAAGGUUAAAAAUGACUCUAAAGUUGGGGAGCAUGGUGUGGAGGUUAAUACCGCACCAUACCCUUCGGCUUUAGAGAAGCCGGCAUCCUUCCCUUUUGGGAAGCGAGGGCUAAAAAUGGAAGACAUGUGAGAUCUAUUUAGUCAAGUUAAAAUAAAUAUCCCAUUAGUCAAACUUAUUAAGGAGGUACCUUCUUAUGCUAAAUUUUUGAAGGAUUUGUGUGUUCAAAAACGCAAACUCCAAGCAUACCUCCCUAAAAAGAUUGAUUUAGUCAAGCAUGCGAGUUCGAUAAUAUCAAAUAAACUUCCACCCAAGCUUAAGGAUCAUGGAGCACCUUUAAUUUUUGUUACGCUAGGUAACAUUAAUAUAAAAAAGGCGCUCCUUGAUCUUGGAGCUAGUGUUAAUAUAAUCCCGGGAAAUUUUUUUGAUCAACAUGACUUAGGCACUUUGGAACAAACUGAUAUUAUUUUACGAUUGGCCGAUAAGUCAACAAAAAUUCCUUGGGGAAUAUUAUCAGAUGUUAUUAUUAAGGUGGGAGAUUUCUAUUACCCAGUUGAUUUUCUUAUGCUUGACACCGUGAGCACUUAUAAAGAAAGUCAACCUUCUAUUAUUUUAGGUCGUCCGUUAUUGACAGCAAUAAAUGCACAAAUUAAUUGUAGAACGGGUGCAAUGGAUAUCUCUUUUGGAAAUAGGAAACUUAGAAUUGAUAUUUUUAAUACGUUUCCUAACUCACCAUCAGAUUAUGAAUGUUAUCAUGUGGAUGUGGUUGAUGACUUAGUGCAUCAAUUCACUCUUAAAAUCUUACACCCUGAUCCAUUGGAGUUUUUUCUUUCUAAUGACAGGGACGAAGUUUUAGAGUUGGAUGACAUCAAGAUGGUUGAGGAGGCAUUUGAAAAUGUUAUUGAGCAAGAGAGGCCACCAUGGAGUUAUCAAGUUGAAAAAUUGCCAACAAGUUUUUCGGACCCACUUAAGCCAUCUUUGGAGGAGCCACCCAGUCUUGAACUCAAAACUCUUCCUUCACAUCAUAGAUACUCUUUUUUAGGAUCUAAGGAGAACUUACCAAUUACCAUAUCUUUUGAUUUGACAUGUCCACAGGAGGAAGCAUUACUGAAGGUGCUUUCGAAGUACAAGGGAGCAAUUGGAUGGACCAUAGCAGACUUGAAGGGAAUUAUUCCAGCCACAUGUAUGCAUUGAAUCAUCACUGAAGCUAGAGAAAAGCCAUCCCGAGAUGCACAACGAAGGCUCAACCCGAAUCUGCGAGAAGUUGUUAAAAAGGAGGUGUUGAAAUGGCUUGAUGCGGGUAUUAUCUACCCAAUAUUUGAUAGUGAUUGGGUGAGCCCGACACAGACAGUGCCAAAGAAGUCGGGCGUUACAGUGGUAGAUACAGAAGAUGGAGAGAAGAUCUCAACAAGAUCGGUCACCAGAUGGAGAGUUUGCAUCGACUAUCGCAAACUCAAUGCUGCAACAUCAAAUGACCAUUUCCCUCUCCCUUUUAUUGAUCAAAUAAUUGAGAAAUUGUAUGGUAAAAAGUUUUAUUGUUUUUUGGAUGGAUACUCGGGGUAUAAUCAAAUUGCCAUCCACCCCGAGUAUCAAUCCAAAAUGACAUUCACGUGUCCAUAUGGCACCUUUGCUUUCCGAAGGAUGCCAUUCGGCUUGUGUAAUGCCCCUGCCACAUUUUAAAGAUGUAUGAUGGCUAUUUUUUUAGACGUGGUGGGGGAUGCAUUAGAAAUUUUCAUGGAUGAUUUUUCUAUUUUUGGAUCAUCUUUUGAGACAUGCUUAGACCAAUUAGAAAAAGUUUUGAAACGUUGUAUUGACUCUAAUUUGGUUUUAAGUUGGGAGAAGAGUCAUUUCAUGAUAAAAUAGGGAAUUGUACUUGGCCAUGUUGUCUCCGAGCAUGGCUUUGAAGUCGACCGGGCCAUAGUACAAAUUAUUUCUACUCUUCUCCCACCAACUUCAGUAAAAGGCGCCCGUUCUUUUCUUGUACAUGCCGGCUUUUAUCGAAGAUUUAUCAAGGAUUUUAGUGCAAUGUCAAAACCUCUUUGUAAUUUACUUUUAAAAGAUGCACCAUUUUCCUUUGAUAAAGCAUGUCUUGAAUCUUUUACCACAUUAAAGAACAAACUUGUUGAAGCUCCUAUCUUGCAAUCACCCGAUUGGACUUUACAUUUUGAAAUUAUGUGUGAUCCAAGUGAUUACGCGGUAGGGGCAAUUUUGGGACAACGGGUGAAUAAAAAACCCAUUGCAAUUUGUUAUGCGAGCAAAAAAAUUUCGGAUGCACAAUUGAAUUACACUACUACCGAAAAAGAGUUGCUUGCGGUCGUGUUUGCACUUGAAAAUUUUAGAUCUUACAUAUGGGGAUCUAAAGUUGUAAUUUUUACCGACCAUAGUGCCAUUCACCACCUCUUGGAAAAGAAGGAUGCCAAACCACGUCUCAUAAGAUGGAUCCUUCUUCUUCAAGAGUUUAAUCUUGAAAUUCAGGACAAAAAGGGUUCUGAAAAUGUUGUGGUGGAUCAUUUAUAUAGAAUAACUAAUAAUGAUAACUCAACGAAAGUUAUUCAAGAAAACUUUCCAGAUGAGCAUAGUCUUGUUGUCAAAACUAUACCAUGGUUUGCUAAUUUAAUUAAUUACUUUGCGACAGGGGAAACUCCAUUGUAUUGGAAUGCUCAACAAAUGAGGUUCUUCCACUCUCAAACAAAAUACUACAUAUGGGAGGACCCAUAUAUUUUCAAAAUUGGAGCAGAUCAAGUGAAUAGGAGAUGUGUACCACAUACAGAGCAAGAAGACAUUCUUCGACACUGCCAUUCAUAUACAUGUGGAGGGCAUUUUAGUGCCAAAAGGCAGGGCAUCGGGUUCUACAAAGCGGUUUUUUCUGGCCCUCUAUUUUUAAAGAUGCACAUACAUUCGUUAAAGCUUGUAUUCGUUGCCAACAAGUUGGGGGGAUCUCAAGACGGGACAUGAUGCCAAUGACCCCAAUUUUAGUAGUUGAAAUCUUUGAUGUAUGGGGCAUUGAUUUCAUGGGUCUGUUCCCCACUUCUUUUGGCAAUCUAUACAUUCUUGUAGCCGUUGAUUAUGUAUCAAAAUGGCUCGAAACCGAGGAUACACACACGAAUGACCAUAGUGUUGUUUGUAAAUUUGUUAAAAAGAACAUAUUUUCUACACACGGAAUCCCUCGAACUAUUAUUAGUGAUGGGGGCUCCCAUUUUAAAAAUUGGCAUUUUGCAAAGUUACUUAAACACUAUAGUGUCACACAUAUGAUAGCUACUCCAUAUCACCCACAAACAAAUGGACAAGUAGAAGUGUCAAAUAGGGAAAUAAAACGAAUCUUGGAGAAGACUGUUCAUCCCGACCGAAAAGAUUGGUCAUUAAGAUUAGAUGAUGUGUUAUGGGCAUAUCGAACAACCUAUACGACGCCCAUUGGAAUGUCUCCGUAUCGGCUUGUUUAUGGAAAGCCAUGCCAUCUCCCGGUGGAGUUAGAACACCGUGCCAUGUGGGCCAUAAAAAAUGCUAACUUUGAAUUGAGUGAUGCAGGUAUAGAAAGGAAACUCCAAAUUGUUGAAUUGGAAGAGAUUCGAAAAGAAGCUUACGAAAGCUCAAGGAUCUAUAAAGAAAAGACGAAGGCAUUUCAUGACCGACAUAUUGUCCGAAAACAAUUCGUUAAAGAACAAUUGGUGUGGCUAUUCAACUCUCGUCUCAAACUCUUCCUCAGAAAGCUUCGGAGUAAAUGGAAUGGACCUUUUGUGGUGAAAAAUGUGGCGGAUCAUGGAUCUAUUGAAAUCAAGGACACGAAAGGCAGUGAACCAUUCAAGGUAAAUGGACAAAGACUCAAACCUUAUAUUCGAAUGGUAAAUGGUGAAACAACAUUCGUUGAGAAAACAACGCUCAAGGCAACACAAUAUUUAGAAACAACUUAGUCGAGGUAAACCGUCCGGCUGAAGACAUAAAACUUACCGCUUUUCGGGAGGCAACCCGUGGUUUGGUGUGUUUUUACUUCUAUUCUUCUUUUGGUGUGUUUUAAUUCUUUUCGUAUCGAGGACAAUCCAAGGUUUAAAGUUGGGGAGGGGGUAUUUAAUUUUUGUUUAAAAUUAAAUAAUAUUCGAAAAAUACUCAAAAAACAGCAAAAAAAAAUAGCCUCAGGCAUCCUAGGGGUGUCUUAGACGUUGUCUAAGACGCCGUCGGGCUGUCACUUCUUUUCCCCCCGAUGAAAACCCUUCGCGAAAAUUAAAAAAAUACCCUUAAUGUGUAUGACGUCCUAGGACGCGUCUAAGACGCCGGCUAGGACGUCGACGUGUUUUUCAACCGUUUUAUGCCGUUUUCUGCAUUAUUGUUGGUAUCUUUCUUCUCCAAACUGCCAUAGCCGAAAACCCACUUGUUCUUGCUUAUUUCCUUUGAUUUCUUGGCCAAAACUCAACCAAAAUUCGUGGUUUUUGUUGCAAUCUUCAAGAAAUCAAGUAAGAAACAUCACAUUGCAAGAUUUACACACUCUAAUCACUUAUUUGGGGCCGAUUUCAAAACCCACAAAAACUAGGGUUUCGAAAUUUUGACUUAUUUUGAGAUUUUACUUCAAGUUCUUGGUUCUUCUUCACUAGAAACACAAUUUCAACAAGGUAUAUGCUUCAAAACUCCAUCUUUUAGUUGAAUUUCAGAAUUUUUGCAUGUAUGUUCAUAUAUGUUUGAAAUUUUGAAAAAGAUGAAGAAUAUGAUAUAUAUUGGUAUGAAUUCUUGUGAAUUAGUGUUUGUAGUUGUUAGAAGUAUGUUCCAAACAAGUUGCAUGUGUUGAUUCGAGAAAUUUCUAAAAAUUGAAUUUUUGUUGUUAGUUGUUAAAAAAUAAUAAUAAUAAAUAAAAGCACAUAUAAUGUUGGAAAAUCAUUCUUAUGUUUAUAUUUGUGUUUGAAUUAAAAAUUCAAGUUUUUAGAAAAUUUCAGAAUGACACUGAAUUUUGACAUUGCAUUGUUAGUCUGAAUAUUUGCCUGUUACAGUUCUGUUCUGGUUUUAGUUAGAACUUGUCAGUUGAAGUUAACUUUUGGUUUAACUGUGUUUUUACUGAUUGGAUAAAUUUUUGAAAAAUAUUUAGUUACUAAAAACAUAACAGGACUUAAAACGGUUAUUUAUUUAGACUGGAUUUAUUUUAACUUUGUUUGGAACAACUUGCCAACUGAAUUAUUUGUUUUAUUUUUGUGACAUUUGAUAUGUUUAAUGGCAAGUUUUGUUUUGUGGUUUUGUGUAUGAAUUAUUUUGCAGAUGCCAGCAAAGAGAUCAAGGGUAGCAUCAUCAAGCAGUGCAUCUAGACAACCAGCUAGACAGUCGGAGCCAAAUGUACAUGUGGCUUUCAACCCACAGUAUCAGACAUUGCAUGAGCAUCUAGAUGACAUUCGUCCAACAGUUUAUGAGGCAACUCAUCCGAAUAUGGGUUUUAUUGUAGAGUACAUGGUGGAGCGACCGAGCUUCACUAGGUAUAAUAUUGUGGAGACGUUUGAUCGCUAUGGAUGGGGUGGAGUGCUAGACUUCAAUCCCACGCAGAUUUAUGUUGAUAUAGUGCAGGAAUGGAUGAGGAAACUUCGACGUGUCGAGGUGCCUGGUAGGCCGGAGGAGUUGCCGCUGAUUGGGACGGUCCGUACUCAUGAUAUAGUGAUAACUGUGCAGGGUAUUCGGGACAUGUUUCAUGUAGAUACUGGCUGUCAUUUUCAUUAUCUUGAGAAUCAUCUGACUGAGUAUAGAUGUAUUGACACGAGGGGGUAACCCUGGGGUUAGUAUGACUGAAGUAUACCGUAUAGUGUUCCAUGAGGGGACGAGGGCAUACGACAGAUUCCGCGAAUUGGUGCCUUUAGCAAAGGCAUUACAUAACAUUAUCACGAAAAAUGUGAACCCAAGGAAUAGUGAUCCUAGGGCGGUGAGGCCACAUGACUUAUAUGUAUUAUAUGGAUUGAUGAUAGGAUCUAUCUUUAUCUCUUAUGCAUAUAAUGCUAUGUGCAACAUAUGGUCCUGUUUUGAUAUCCAGCACAGAGUCACUACCCCCCAUGUUGCCCUGAUAUCGACAUAUGUUGCCUUGCUACUUCUUUUAGACACAUCUCAUUUCAUGUUGAAAAUGGGAGACAUAUUCUGAGGGAUUCUACCACAAAUCCGACAUACACGGCACCACUCGGAGUGGGGGAUGAGGAGCCAUUCGUUGGUGAUUUUUAGGGGGAUCAGUAGCAGCAAUAGGCAUAAGCAGCAGGUCGGGGAUAGAACAUGCAGGCAGCUUGGGAGGACUUUGUGGGGAGGCAGAACAUGCAUAACCAGGAGGUGCAGGCUUGGAUGGGGAGAACGGAUAUAUGGUUGAAGGGUGUCGAUACGACACUAGCUGAUAUUACUGAGCAGAUGCGACAGAUUGGCAUUACAUCUAGCAACACUUAUAGUGUUGCCACUCGUCAGUUGUACCAACAGGAGUACUAUGCAGAUGCUGCCUACACAUAGAGUCGUGUCCAGUAUGAACCGAUGGACAUUGAUCAACCACAGUAUCGAUACCGAGCUCCAGCUCCGUUCUUCUACCGAUCCGGGAAUCUGAGCAACUAUCCACCGCCAUCCGAGCAUGAGCAUUAUCAGCCACCACCAGCUACAGAGGACUCUACUCGCUUUGAGGAUUUAGUUGGAUCGAUCUUUGGGUAUCCUCCACCAUACCCACGUUAUCCUCCACAGUCGCCCCCACAUUGAACUUUGGUGAGAUCCUCUUUUGAUUUUUAUUUUUAUGGUUGUUUGAUGAAGACUUUUUUUAUUUUUAUUUUUAUUUUUCGUUUGCUUUUCAUGUCUUUAUUUGGGAUGAAUGUACUAUUAUUAAACUCAUUAUUAUUAUUACUCUCUCUUGGGUUGGUUCCAUUAAAUAUGUGAUGAGUUAGUAGCAUCUCUAUAUCUUGAACGUAACUCAUCAAAAUGGAAAAUGAUAGGAGUUUCGUAAAUUGAGUCAUAAUAUUUAUUUAAUAUUGAUUUUGUGGAUUGCUCAACCGAUUUGGGAAUAUUUAUAUUUAGUUAAAAAAUUGUUAUGUGAAAUACCCAAGUGUUUGAAAAAUGACGGUUUUUAGCUCGAGCCUACGAUCUUUCAAUUGAGGACCCAACCGAACAAUAUGUGUCAUCACGCUCUGAGUACUUGGUCUUACUUACUCUUGCGCCUUUGGGGUUGGGAGGGGACUAUUAUUGUUUUCACACAAUAAAAAAGCAUCAAAAGACAUUGAAGAACUUCCAAGUAUCUAUAUUCAAGCUCAAGUCAAAUACCAAAAUGAUCAAAUCCGAUGAAGCCAUCAAAGAACUUGAAGAAUGCAAAAUCAAGAUAAAUAUGAAGAAAAGUUCAAGUUGAAGACAUUGUGUGAAAUAAUGUGUGACCCCUCGAUAGCGGGAGCGUAUGGGUUGGUCCAUUAAGUGUUACCGACCGCGCUAACUAUGUUAGUGAACCUUGAAAAAAGGGACUUUGGCAAUGAGUUCAACUGAUUACUCAUGAGGGUGAUUAUUGGAAAGGGUUCAAAAAGUGGAGGGUUUCAAACAACAAAGUAAAAUAAGCAUAACAUGUGUUUUGAGUUUAAAAGUCUGGAUAAGAAAAUAAUAAUCCCCAUAAUCAAUAUAUUGUGCUAUUGGAAAUGUUGUGAUAAAAAGUACAGAAUUCAUGAUUCCAUUGAGUUUUUCUUAGGAUAAGAGAGUAAAGACUACGCUGAUUAUUUCAGGCCAAUCUCGGGACGAGUUUGGAAUAAAGUUGGGGAGGUUUGAUAAGUCCAUUUUAUGAAUGUACUAAAUUGUUAUAAAUCUGUUGAAUUGAUGUAUAAUUGUCCAAGAAUGGCACUACUUUGAUGAGUUGUUGAACUUCAUAUACAGGUCAAUAUAUUGUACUAAAAGUGGGCGGAACCUGCAAGUAAAACAGUGCUAAAGGAAUGAAGAAACGUUGCUGGGAAAACUGACCAUGCUUCAAUGUUUUGGUCAUAACUGAAGUUCCGCAGCUCUAAUUGACAUGAGUAAAGAAGUUCUGGAAACUAGACAAGAUUUUCUACAACUUUUGUGUUUUGUGUUUCUGCUAGUUAUGUCGUUUUGACCACCAAAACUUAAACGAAAGAUGAAGGAUGCCUCCAGGCGUCUAAGACAUCCCCUAGGACGUCCACAUCAAACGGUCAGCAUCUGGCCGUUAUUUCAAAGCAGAAAAGAAGGAAGAACCCCCGUCAGCGUCUUACAUGGCGUCAAAGAUGUCCCCUAGGACAUCUUGGCAUUUUGGGGAUGUCCCGUGUUGGAACGGUGUGUUUCGGAAAGUUUAGAAAACAAGGCAGGACGUCCUAGAACGUGUCUAAGACGUCUCCUAAUACGUUUGACGUUUUUGGCCAUUUUUUAGUGUAUUUCAAGGACGACAGAUGGCAUGCAAGGACGUACAAAGAACGCCUGGGCGUUAUACACGACAUCUAAGAUGUCUGCUAGGACGUCCAACAUCCCACAUCCCCCAAUUUCAUUAUUUUUUAUCUCACACUAUAAAUACGAGCCUAUGAAUUCGUUUUUAGGGUUACCACCUCCGAUUUUCAGAGUUUUUCAUGUGUUUUUGAGGCUUCUAAAACACUUGGAAACAUUUGAAAACACAAAUCCAUUCCAUUAAAAUCCGGAUUCAAAGCAAGACUCAAUUCAAUUCAUCAUCAAGCUAUAAGUGAAGAUCAUUUCAUUGGUUAAUCUUCAUCAAUUCUUUAUUUUCCAGAAUUAUUUCUUCUUCCCCAAGGUUUAUUUUUUCUAUAAUUUGAUAAUCAUUAGGCUACAUUUGUUUGAUGAUUCUACAUUUGUUUAUGAAUUCUAUUAUGCAUUUUAUUCAUUUCAAUCAAGUUAUUUGUUUUAUGAACUCAAUGGAAGGCUAAAUCAUUAGGGUUACUUCUGGGGAUGUUUAGGACUUUUUGAUGAACAUAAUUGAUUAUUACUUGAUUUUAGUUAAUUCAAUUGUUGUUUUAUGCUUCAUGUGAUGAUCUUUUAGUAAUGAUAAUUGAAAUUGGGUUGUAUGAAUUGUUUGAUGUCAUAAUUAAGAUAGUCUAUUGUCAAUUCAUCAUUUGUUCCAAGUUCACUUAGUUUAGGAAUAAAGACAAGUGACUGAAUCAACAUAUAUUAUUCCAACUUAUGAUAUUGAAUCUUAAUGCGGUAAUAGGUAGUUGUAUGAUAUUUUAUAGCUAGUCCACUAAUUGUUCUUAAUCCAUUUAGGCAUAAAGGAGUAAGACAACUAGUUAAAUGAAAAUUUAGUGUGCCCAAACUAUGUAUUACAAGUUAAUAAACCCCAAUUGUAUCUAAGUAAUUGAAUUAGGAUUUAAGGGAAGAAAGUGUGUGAAUUUAAACUAUCCAUAACUGAACCGGAAGUACUCUAGUUUUCUCAUUGAAAUUUUCGUUUUAAUUAAUAAAUUUCCAAGCUUUUUGUUUGAUCUUUGCUUUAAUUUUUUUUCGUGACAAUUUCUAGUAGUUUGUUUUUUUUCGUUGACUAUUUUAACACAAAAUUUGACGACAAACUCCUUGCGGAUUCGACCCUUACUUACCCUAGCUAUCUAGUGGUUUUGAGAUUAUUCUUGACUGAUACAACGACAUUGAUCAUCGUGCCAAAACCCUAAAGAGACCGAUGUGCCUGGGGCCCAAUUUGCUCUUCUUCCUGAAUCGGAUGACACCUUUCCAAUGUGACAAGUUCAGGGGGACCAUAUCCCUAACCUGAAACUCUAAAUCUGAUUGGUGCUUGUCGGCAUAGCUCUUCUUCCGGCUCUAAGCUGUCUGGAGCCUACUCCAAACUGCUGAAUCAACUUGGUAGUCUUGAGUACCGCUUUGGUACUCCCCAUUAGUAGCUGACCGUCCUCACCCCAACAUAUCAUGGUACUGCAUUUCUUUCUAUAGAGCAUCUCAAAAGGAGGUCGAUUAAUGUUGGCGUGAUUACUAUUGUUAUACAAAAACUAUUGGAUUAGGUGUCUAAGACCAUAACUAUUUUGGUAUGUACUUGACCCGAUUGUGAGCAUGGUCCUUUUGGGUUGCCUUCACCAUAGCAACUGAUGGGAUGAAUUAAGGAGAAAAAGGAUUAAUUAUGAUUUAUUAAUAUAUUAUAUGAAUAAUAUAUUAAAAGAGAAAUCAUAUUGUUUAAUUAAUAUUAGUCAAUAAUUCAUUUUGUGGCUAAAAGAGAUUAAUUAAAUAAAGGGGACUGAUAUUGCAAUUAUAUGAUAGUUGCAAAUUGGGCUAUGGAUUCCUAAUGGAAAUCGGAUUGGACAAAAUCUAUGGGAAGCCCAUAUGGAUUUCGUCCAAGGGCUUUCCAAGGGAACUCCAUGGGUUGCUUAAGGCGUAAGCAGUGAGAUUAGGGUUUCCUGAUUCAAAACCCUAAUAGCCUAAGUAUAAAAGGAACCCUUGGCAAGCCAAAAACGUCCCUAACCUUAUAAGAGAAACCCUAGGACGUUUUUGGUGCCUCCUCCCUCUCUCCUUGUUCAUCUUGUUACAUAUGGUGUUUGUGACUCCAUUAGAGGUGCAACAUUUGAGGCACUAGGCUUUCAGAAGUCAAUUACAAGAAGGAUUCGGAUUGUUAUUGCAACAUAACAAUCAAGGUAAGAUCUAAAAUCUAUCCUUUUGUCAAUUUUGAUUAUUGUAUACUAGAGUUAGGGUUUAUGAGCUUUGGAUGAUUAUUACGUAUAUCAGACAAACUAGAUCCAAAGCUUUAGGGUUUGCAUGUACACCAUAGGAUUGACGUAGUGCUCAAAACCCAUCAAAAACUACGCCAAAGGGAUAUAUGUAUCCCAACUCCCACCAAAAUCCAGAACACACGCCCGAAGCAUAUCCUCCAAGGUAUGAAUAGUCCUCUCGCUCUGACCAUCAGUAUGUGGGUGGAAAGUCGUACUGAAAUGCAGAUGAGUACCCAGCUCGUCGUGGAACCUCUUCCAAAAUCUGGAAGUAAACCGGACGUUCCUGUCUAAAACCACAAAACGGGCACACCAUGAAGUGCCACUACCUCCCUGAUGUAUACCUCAGCUAACUUCUCUGAGGAGAUACUAUCUUGAGUCGGAAUAAAAUGUGUGAACUUGGUCAAUCAAUCCACGAUGACCCAAAUCGAAUCCACUCUAUGUUCACUCUAAGGCAACAUCGUAAUGAAAUCCAUGGUAAUCUCCUCCCAUUUUCAAACAGUGAUAUCUAACGGUUACAUCUUGUCGUGAGGCCACUGAUGCUCGGCCUUGACUUUCCUUCAAGUCAAGCAUCUCUCCACGUACCAAGCUACAUCCCGCUUCAUACAGGGCCACCAAUAAUCAGGAUGAAGAUCAAUAUACAUCUUCGUCGUGGUGGGAUGAAUGGAGAAUCUCAAUUUGUGUGCCUCCUCCAUCAGAACUUGACGCACACCAGCCCAAUCGGAACCCACACUCUUCGAUGGAGAUUCAAUAACCCUUGGUUUUCAUAAUAAAAGGAAGCCACCUGACUCACUGUGCGCUCACUCUUCCCAUCACAACCUCAACCUGAGCCUCUCAAAUCUACUCUAAAAGUGGAGUGAUCACAGUCAUCCUGAAACAAAUAUCCUUGAACGGAGCCGCGAUCGCCUUGCUGCUAAGAGCAUCGGCCACCACAUUAUCCUUCCCCGUAUGGUAAAGGAUCUCACAAUCAUAAUCCUUCACCACAUCCAACCAUUGGCACUGCCUCAUGUUCAUAUUUGGCUGAUCCAUCAGAUACCUCAAGCUCUUGUGAUAUGUCUAUAUAGUACAGCGGGCCCCAUAGAGGUAAUGUCAUCAAAUCUUGAGGGCAAAAACCAUAGCCCCAACUCUAAAUCAUGCAUCGGAUAAUUCGUCUCAUGAUGCUUCACUUACCUUGAAGCGUAAGCGAUCACGUGACCCCUCUGCAUCAGAACUACACCUAAACCUGUGAUCGACGCAUCAUAAUAAACCAUGAAAUCUUCAACACCCUCCGGCAGGGUCAAAAUAGAUGCCUCACACAAUCUUUAUCUUAGGGUCUCAAAAGUUGCAUGUUGGUCGGGCGCCCAGCGAAAAGUGACAAUCUUCUUCGUCAACCGAUUUAGAGGAACCGCUAUCUUGGAGAAAUCCUAAAUGAACCUCCGAUAAUAGCCUUCCAACUAAGGAAACUCCAAAUCUUAGAUGGAGACCUCGGUACCUCCCACCUCAUCACGGCCUCGACCUUGGCCGGAUCGACCAGAAUACUGUUUUGGUUGACAAGGUGCCCUUGAAACUGCACCUCGUGCAACUAGAACUCGCACUUGGAGAACUUUGCAAAAAGUCUCUCCCUCCUCAAAGUUUCCAAUACCUCCCUGAAGUGCUCCUCAUGUAGCUCCUGGGUCUUGGAAUAGACCAGGAUAUCAUCAAUGAAUAGGGCAUUUUGUAUAAUCAAUUGUUGAUGUUAUUGAAAAUAAUGAUGUUAUUGAAACAUAUGCAUGGCAUGUAUUCCCAAUAAUUAUAUUUAAUUAAUUGGUUGUUGUGCAUGUUAUUAUAUUGGGAACAAAUUAGAAAGUGGUCCAUGUGGUAGUACAUGAUAUGUAUGGGGACCAUUUGUAGUUAAUAGUCAAUGGGUAUUUUUAUAAUGGAAAAAUGGGACCUUUGAACCCAUUAUAGAACCAUAUCCAUGACUAUAUAACAAAUUCACAUGCAUGCACAUUAUUCCAAAUUUUUCCAUGCAUAAAUAUUCAAACCCAUUGGUCAUGAGUUUACUUAAAAAGGCAACAUACUUUCAUAAGUGAGUAAAAUAUCAUUUCAUGUCAACAAUUUACUUACAAAGGCAACAUACAUUCAUUAGUGACCAAAAUACCCUUUUAUGUCAUGAGUUAACUUAAAAAAGCAUCACGCAUACAUAAAUGACUAAAAUACCCUUUUAUGUCAUGAGUGAACUUAAAAAGGCACCAUGCAUACAUAAAUGACCAAAAUACCCUUUUAUGUUAUGAGUGAACUUAAAAUGGCACCAUGCAUACAUAAAUGACCAAAAUACCCUUUUAUGUCAUGAGUUAACUUAAAAAGCCACCAUGCAUACAUAAAUGAUCACAUCACAUGUAUUCAAAUACACAUACUUUAAAUCCAAAUUACCAUCAUCCUAAUACACAAACUUAAAAUCCAAAUUACCAUCAUCCUAACACACAUACUUUAAAUCUAAAUAACACAAAGGAAAAAUCAACACUAAUAAAUUAGAAGAGCUUUUCCCUUAGAAUUUCCUGGAUCAUCAACACCACCAACUUUCUUGCCUAAUUUCAACUUGAAGAUUCUCUUUGACUUUCUUCUCCUUAUCCUGUUCAAAAUCUUGGAAAUUGGUCUAACCCUUACCUGUUGAACCUAGAUAAUAGGAGUAACCUCCUAAAUUUGAACAUUAUCAACAACUUGGACAUUAGGAAUAACCUCAUCAUCUUGAACAUUACCACCCUCCUCAACUUCCUCACCCAUAACACCCCCAUCACCUUCAUAACUUCUAGGUGGAAUAACUUGCAUAGACUGACUAAAAUCCCUUGCACUACUGGAUUCAACAUGAGUAGAAGUAACUUGCAUAUCAUUUUGAGUAUUAUCCAUCUCAAUUGGAGUCAUUUAACCUCUUCUUGUUGUUGUGGUUCACUUGUACUACCCUAUAUGGCAUGAUAUAAUUAUGUUAGUGGCAAAUCAUAUGUAAAUAAAUUUAAAUUUUAAAUGGUUUUACCUGUUCUGCAUUUUUCUUCACAUAAACUUUUUGUUUCUUCUGUUUCUUUACAUUUAACUUUUGGGGCCUUCUCUAUGGACAAGUGGCCUUACUGUGACACAUCUCCUUGCAUAUAAUACAUCUAAUUUUCUUUCCAUCCUUAGAAACCCUGUGUGUUCCUGUAUUCUUUGUAGUGGAUUUCUUCUUCUUAGUAGCUGGCCUACCAUGCAUCCGUCUACUAAUAAGAGGCAAUGGUGGAGUAUAAUUUGUCUCUGGCCACAUGUCACUGCCAUUCAUGGGGGAAAUUCUGUAAUUGUAUGCCUUCCGAAUUGUGGUGGUGUUAAACAUGUUGUCUACAUAGGCUUCUACAUCUCUAUUAAGAUUGGAUAUGGUAGCUACAGAAUGAGCAUAUCCAUAUCCAUUUAACCGCCACAACCUACAUGAACAUGUUUUCCUUUAUAAGUCCACCUCAUAUGCAUCUGUUUCUCCCUUACCUCGAACUGGUUUAAUCCACUAGGUAGUACCUGAUAAUGCCUCUGAAUUUUUUAAGCAAAUUCACCUUAUCCCUUAUCUCUGGACAAAUAUUAUUUCCCCAUUGUUGUCCCUUUAAUUUCAUGUUGUACAUUUUGUCCAUCAUGUAUAAUCUUAACUCCUCUAACAUGGUUAUUAUGGGCUUCUUCCUGGUAUCCACUAUUACAACAUUAAAACUUUCAGAGAAAUCAUUUUCAACUGCAUCACAACACCUUCCAGCUUGAAAGUAAGCUCUUGACCAUGUUUUAAGAUCUUUCUCCAUGAGAUAUUGAUGGGCAUCUGGGUUUAAUGUCUCAAUUUCCUUCAUCACAACUUUAAAAGCAUGCUCAUUUGUGGUUUUAGAUGCUCUCCAAAACAAGGUAUGAUAUAUGACACCAGUGAAUCUCUUCUGCAAAUUUUGAAAAAUAUGUCUAGCACACUGCCUGUGCAUAUGGAAGAAACUCUUUAACAGCCUCUAUCAAACCUUGUAUUAAUAAAAAGGUUUAAAUCAGAUAGUAUAAAAUAAAUAUAAAUGAAUUACUAUGUAAAAUACUAACCUUAUGUUGGUCUGACAUUAAACUGAAGCAAUUGCCUAAACUUAAGUUUAGAUUAUUAAUGAGAAGCUCUAAAAACCACUUUUAAUUCUACUUGUUCUCCACACUAACCAUUGCCCAAUCAAUAGGAUAUAUCUUGUUAUUUACAUCCCUCCCAAUAACACAAAGCAAUCCCCCCUUACAAACACCUUUAAGAAAACAUCCAUCAAGACCCAUUAUCCUUCUACACCCUUUAAUCCAACCUUGUUUAAUUCCUUGAAAACAAACAUAGAACUUGCUAGAAUAUUUCUUUCCAUCUGGACCAUCCUCCACAUCUAGUUUCACAGUUGACCUAGGAUUUGUCCUUAAAAUCUCAUCAACAUAUUACCAUAGCUUACCAUAAUGUUCAACAAGGCUACCUUCAACAAGAUUUAAUGCAUACUUCUUUGUUCUCCUACAUUAGCCCAUACUAACUUGGAUACUAAACUUGGUCAUUACCUUUACCCUAAGCUUCCUUACACUCAUUUUAUGACUUUGUACAAUCUCUUUGGUAUAGUGACUCCCAAUCCAUGCAUAUGUCACCAAUAAUCCAAACUUGAAGUUCCUAGCACAAUUAUGAUAAGCUUUUUGUGACUUGAUUUGGAAAGUCUCUCCAUCAUUCAUCCAAGAAGCCCAUAAUAUAAAUGUGCAAGCACCCUUGCUACAUCUCACCAAAAGUCUUUUCCUAUCAUAUUUUUUCAAAACACAAUUGAUAUCCAUUAGCCACAACAUAGUUGCACAACCUUGACUUUACUUGCCCUGGACCCUUAGAUCUCAUUCCUAGAAUUGGUUUUUGUUUUUUCCAGUGUAAUAGCUCAUUAAAUAUGGAAAUAGUUUGGAUGUUAGGUUCAACUUCUCUCCCAUUAUCAUCAUCUACAAUGUUGUUAUCCUCCUCAUCAUCAACACACAACUUACUCACGAAAGGAUCAUUUGAUGUCCUAUUCAUAUGCACUGCAUCCUUAUUAAAUUCAAAGACAACAUUCCUAAGUUCAUCUAUGUUAUCUUCAUCUAUGUUAGCGGCGCAGCUUUUUGCCCGUUUGCCUUCAAUCGAUAUGUAUUGAACAAAAAUGUUUGAAUGUCUAUCAAUACAAGGCUCAUGUUCAUCAUCAAACCACCCACCAACACCAACCCCAAUAUGAUCCACAUAAACCGAAAUUACACCAUCUGUUCCAUCAACAUCAAAAAUAAAAGCAGCAUAGUCCACAUCAUCUGAAAAUGGGAUUAAGCUCUUCCAUCAGGGAAUUGCCUGGUUUACAGUAGUAAAACUUUUUACACUCUUCAUGCAUGAAAUGUUCACAGAAGGUCACAAGCUCAGAAUAAGUCAUAGAAGAAAAGUCGACAUCAGUGAACAUGGUUUUCACACCACCAGUGUAAGAGAAAGGAUUUCGAUUAAAUACCCCUUGGUAGUUGAGUUCCACCAUCACAAACACUCCAUUAGGUUCCGAUUGUGCCAUUUUUGCGACUUCUUUGGCUCUUCAGCUCGAUCACAAAAAUGCUUCACAAAACCUAAAUCAAUUUCUUUUAAAACUAAAUAAUGAAGACGAGUGAAGUUCGAUAGCUGAAGACAAAAGGCUUAAAGCUUCGUAUAUCAUCUAUUGAUGUGGCAUAUCUCACAUGGCAUCAGAUUAGCUAAAAAAGAUAUAUUAAUUGACAUAUAUAAAAUGUCAACCAGGAAACCGUUUACAAGUAUGGAAAUGACUAAAUUAAUAAGUCAGAUACCAUUUUAAUGGUCUAAUGUACCCAAAAAACUUUAAUGACCAAAUUAGCCAAAUGUAAAAAGUUUCAUGUGCUACAGUGACAUUAUCCCUGAUGGGUUUUGAGCAUUCUAACACUCCUAUGGUGUACAUGCAACCCUAGAAACCUUGGAUCUAUGUUUGACUAAUAUACAUGCAAAUAAUUAUUUUCCAAGGUUCUUAUCCUAUCUAGCAUGGCAUGGGAACUUGAAUCAAAUAGAGCUAGUAGAAUUACUUACCUUGUAGUUGUUUAAAGCUUCGUAUAUCAUCUAUUGAUGUGGCAUAUCUCACGUGGCAUCGGAUUAGCUAAAAAAUAUAUAUUAAUUGACAUAUAUAAAAUGUCAACCAGGAAACCGUUUACAAGUAUGGAAAAUGACUAAAUUAAUAAGUCACAUACUAGUUUAAUGGUCUAAUGUACCAAAAAAACUUUAAUGACCAAAUUAGCCAAAUGUAAAAAGUUUCAUGUGCUACAGUGACAAUAUCCCUGAUGGGUUUUGAGCAUUCUAACACUCCUAUGGUGUACAUGCAACCCUAGAAACCUUGGAUCUAUGUUUGACUAAGAUACAUGCAAAUAAUUAUUUUUCCAAGGAUCUUAUCCUAUCUAGCAUGGCAUGGGGAACUUGAAUCAAAUAGAGCUAGUAGAAUUACUUACCUUGUAGUUGUAGUUGAUUGCUUGGAGUUUUAGAGCCUAGCACCAAUAGUGUGGAUGCCUCAAAUGUAAAUCACAAAUCACUACAAACUUGGAACUUUGAGAGAAUAGUAACCACCUUUCUUGAAAUCGGCCCUCUUACUUUACUCACCACAACUAGUAUGAUUUCAAGAACCAAAGCCUCCUUUAUAUAGUGUGGUGGAUUAGGGUUACAUCCAUGUAAACCCUAAUACCCAUGUCUUUUCAUUUCCAUGAGAUCCAUGGGUUAAAGCUCCAUGGAGUAUCCAUGGACUUUCCAAGCAAGCCUAGCCCAUUCCAAAUAAGCAUUAGCCCACACUAUAUAAAUAUAAGAGCCCAUAUUUAAUUAGUAAUACUUUUGAUCUCUAAAUUAAUUUUAGAUUAAUUAUAGAUCAAUACUAAUUAAAUAAUAUGGUUUUAUAUUAAUAUAUUAGAACUUAUAAUAUAUUAAUAAAUCAUAACUUAUACUAUUCUCAAAAGAUUAUCCAUAAAUUGUUCGGGUGAAGUGCAACCCAAAUGGACCAUGACGGGUCGGGUCAAGUACAUACCAAAUAUAGUUAUGGACUUAGACACUAUAUCCAACAAUCCCUACAUAAAGUCAUAUGUAGUCAAGGAUCAGAUAGAUAAUCGAACAUAUGACUCACCUAAGAGCGAACAAUCAGAAAAGAACAUCACAAUCAAGCCUUAGAUCAAGAGUUAUCAGUCUAUCCAACUUAAACUAGAUAGACCUAAGAUAUUAUUACCACCUAACCAUGUGACAUAAACAUUUAACAGAUACUAGCAUAUUUAUACACUUAGCAACUAUCCUUCCCUAGUUACCCUGUCAUUGAUCACUUCUCAAUCAAGUGAUCAUCUGGUCAGUCAUGCAUAAUCAUGAUAAUUGACCUACCCCAAUUUCCCUAACUAAACAUAACUCAUAACAAUAUCAUACAAUAAAUAGGAAAGACCUCACAAGAAUAGCAUACCCAGACACCAAGUGUUCUAAACUGCACAUGCAUAUCCUAGCCAACUAGCAUAUUUGUACUCUAACAGUAUCUCCAUCCUAUCAUGCACAGGAUAUAUAAUGAGAUAUGUGGCAUACUAUGAAACUCACCUGAACUGAAGAACCGGAGAAGCACAACAACACUCUUACACAUUUCACUACUCGAUCAUGUGAACCAAUUAACACCAAAAUAGAUAAAUCCUCAAUCAAUAAUCCAAAUCCUCCAAGUUUGACCCUAAGUCAAACUGGUCAAAAGUCAAUAGUCGAUGUAACGCCCAUGUUUCUUUCCAGACAUUAACUAAAUAAUUAGGGUCAACAAUCACCACAACGUGGUAACCUCUUGGCCACAUCCUGGGAAUUUCCAUACAAAAUAGUUACGAAGCUUAGGAUCACCAUGUCGUUGCAAGCCUAUUGCCACGUCGUGGAAAUUCACAGGAAGUCAUAUUCUUCAUUAUGAGCUUAAUGCUUACAGAUCUAAGCUCAAACUUUCAUAUUUGAUUCUUCUUGAUGAAUUAAUGGAUCUUAAACCAUAAGUCUAUUAAGUCUUUAAUAUGACCAAAACUAGAGCAUGGAGAAAAGGGAGCUAUGAAUUAACGCUUUUUCCAUCAAACAAGACCAAAAGAUGGUCACCAAACAAUUCUAAAGUUCUGGAGUUGGCCAAAACUCCAAGAAAAUGCCUUCAAGGGACUUCAAAGCAUGAUAUGAGAGAAAAGGAUGAUAAAGGUGGAAGCUUUAUACCUUCCCAAAAUCCACAAGACAUAGGAGAUGCAAGAUCUGAAGUAGAUACACCAUUCAAACUAGCAAACACACUGUCGUUUCCUUCCCAAAGUGCAACCCAAGGCUUCAAACUUCAAGAACUCCAAGAACUCAUCAAUAUCACUCAAAUAGGGCUAGGGUUUCGAAAUAGGAGGAUGGAGACUGAGGGAAAUGAGCUAACCCUAGAGUUAAGGCCAUUAAAUAUGGGAGAAAAUAUAAAAAAAAAAAUUAUGUGCUUGGGCUACAGCACUCACAACGUCGUGGCAACCCUCUAGUCAUGUCGUGGUGCUCUUCAAAAUGUGCGUUCCCGAAAAUAUGUGUCACGUCGUGGUCAUCCAUGCACCAUACCAAGGCAUAGAUUUUUCUCCUAAAACCCCAUCUUUGAUCCUAUUAGCUCUUUAGUUAAACUAUUAUAGAAAAUAGGUGUUAUAGCCACCAUUCCGAGUUCCUUCUGUGACUGCUAAAUUAGUGUUUGGCGGGUUGGGGAGCCCGACUUCUUUCUCUUAUAUCUUCACAUAUAUAUAUAUAUAUAUAUAUAUAUAUAUAUAUAUAACAUUUUUUUUUCAAAAGUGUAAUACUAUCAAGGGAAAUUGACUUAUCAGGGUAAUUACUGUUUUGUUUUGUUCACAUCGGGGUAACUCUUUUUUUAGUACACAUCUAGGUAACAAACUUUUUGUAAGUGUUCACAUGUGACCAUUAUAAUUGGUUGUAGCAAGUUACAACCGAACGUAAUUGUCAUAUAUGAACACUUCCAACAAGCUCGUUACCUCGAUGCAUACAAAAAAAUGAAGUUACACAUAUGUGAACAAAACGAAAAGGUAAUUACCCUGAUAAGCCAAUUUCCCUUUUUAUUAAGGUGGCAAAUCAUAAUGUUUGUAAUAUUAAUAUAUUCAUUUAAAUUUCUUUAAAACAACAUUUGUAACACCCGGAAUCUAGAAGAUUAAUUAUGGAAACAAAUUCCCUUACCUAAGUAAAAACACGAUGAGUUGAUGGUGGGAAACUCGAUGUGUUGGAGGUUUUUGGGACACACGUUUUUAUGAACCAACUCGGUGAGUUGGUGAAGGAAAAUCGGCGAGUUGGACACUGACUGAGAAACCCUAAUUUUUAGGGUGUUACACCCUAUUUAAAGACCUUAAGUUCUUUAGCUGGCCUCCUUACCGGCCUCCUCUAUCCAGAAACCCUAAAACUGAGCCUUGUCUUCCAUUUAUGAGUGUGAAAGCUUGGGGAGAGCCUUGAGAGUUCAUUUUUGGUGCUUUUUGAAGGAGCUAAGGAAUUAGGAGUUGCUUGGCUUGAAGAAGAAGUCUUGGAUCCAGAAUCUCUGCCUCAUUUGCCAAGUUUUUGAGGAAUCGUGUUCUUACCUUGCUUAUUUGUUGCUUAGAUCUCUUCUUGGGUUAGAGUUUAUGAUUUUUAGCCAUUUUGGGUGAAUGUUGGGGAUUAGGAGGUCCCAAGCAAUUAUUAUUUCAGAUAUAAGGGCUAGCGGCGCUGCUUGUUGCCCGUUCGCCUUCAAUCGAUAUGUAUUGAACUUUCAUUGGAGUAUAUUUUCUUAAUAUAAAUAUAUAAUAGAUAUAAGGUCUACAUGAGCUCUUUAGGCAUAAAGGUGCCAACUUUAUGGAUUUAAUGGCUUCAUGUAUUCAUUAAGUCUUUCAGUUAGCCCUUUUUGAGCUUUUGAUCACCUCCUAGUCAUGCUUAAGUGUAAAGUUGGAAACUUUACACGGCCAUCUAGCCUUAUGGGGACAGAUCUGCAUUAUGGGUUUUAUCUUUGAUGAUUAAGUGAUUAAUGAUUAAGCCUUCACUCUUUUAAGUUUAGGGUUUGGGUUUGGACCCAUUAGGUGAUUCCUAGGGGUAAAGUUGGAAAAUUUACCCUUCUUGAUCUCAUUUUGGUCGAGAGCAGAGCUUUGGAGCCUUUGGACUCGAUGAAGGUACCUUAAUGCAUUAAGAUGUUGGUUCUUGAGAGAACUCGGCGAGUUGACUUGGUUUCCCCGAUUUGUGUAGUUGAUGGAGAAACUCGACGAGUUGGGUUAACUUGGACCGUUGACUUUGACUUUCGAUUUAUGUCUUUGAACAAGUUUGUCCCAAUGGGUACUUGAGGUAAUCUGAAUUGUAAUUAAGGGAAUUAUGAGAUUAGGAUAAGGCCCAUAUGGGGUUGGUCCCAAUUUGGAAAAUUGGGCCAUUACUGGGCCUUUGCGGAUCUUUUGGUUUUGGACUUUUUGGUUAAUGGAAUUUGGGCCUCAGUUUUGGUUCAUGACGCGUUAGGGUUAAAAUGGUCAUUUUCCCCCAAGUAUGGAUGGAGGGCUUUAGAAUGGAACCCAAUUGCUAAUUAGGUGUUAUUUUGAUCUCAUAGCUCGGAGGUCUCAUCAGGGCAGCAGCUAGGGACUUCUUUCUGUGAGUUUCUGCGUUCGAGGUGAGUCUCCUUACUUUUCUAUGGUUUGAAGGCAAUAAUGACGGCCCAUUUGGUUUAUGUAUUAUAGGAAGACCUGGGGGAUAAACCUUGGCAGUUUGUAUGAAAGACCAGGAGGCGGCUCCUGGCAAACUGUAUGCAAGACCAGGGUCUGAACUCUAGCAGUUGACUAGUUAAGUAGUGUAGAUUUUAUACUAUUUGUCUUUGUGACACUUUCAUGGAAGACUCGAAGGUGGAUCCUGGCACUUGUCUGUAAGACCUAGGUUUUUGGCCCCCGGCCUGACAAGGAAGACCACAAGGCGGCUCAUGUCAUAAUGGCAAGACUAUGGAUGGCACAUAUCACCUUUACUAAUUGGGGUAUAUGUAUGCUAAGUAAGACUCAGUGAUAUUAAUGUUAUUUAUAGUUUUGAGUUGAGUUUUCUCCUGCGAUUGAGGUGCAACAGUUGGUGCGAGAGUUUCUGGAUCUCUGUCAGACUACUGAGACUGUGGCAGAUUGUGGAAGGGUGGAAGUGAUGUAAGACUGAGGGGUGGCCCGUAGCAUUCACUAGUUAGAAGUUGGUAUAAAAAUGUUGUAAGACUGUGGGGUGGCACGUAGCAUUCACUAGCGAUCAGAUAGUGUGGGAAGUGUUGUAAGACAGAGGGGUGGCCCGUAGCAUUCACCAGUCCCUAUACAGCGGUGAGAGUGUGGCAAAUUUGUGAUUUGCUCACGGUUUUCUUCGGAUGAUUUUGGCCAGGAUGGAUCAGUUCGCAAGGCUAUGGGAAGGACACAACAUGUUUGGAAUCAAGAUAUGGGAGGUCGUGGGAGACCGGGUUUGAGGUAAGACUAUAGUUGGUCUGUAACGUUCAACCUAGUAUCAGAUUAUUGACGAGACGGUUUGGGUAGUUAUUGCCAGUGAGGCUUUUUUUCAAAAGUUGCGAUGGGCGAUUGUGUGGAGUUUCAAAAGCAGCUACGAGGCAACAAGCUGUUUUGGGCAGUAUUAGUGAUUUUUGGGCAGUAUUUUCGGGUAGUACUAGUCAUUUGGAAUUUGUGUGUGAAUAUGUAAUUUUUCAAACAAUUUUUUUUUCAUUUAUAAAACUCAUAAAAACUCAUAUAUUUCAUUUCAUAAAAUCACAAGUGUCUCAAGUCAACAUAAAUCCACAAGAAAAAUCAAAUCCUAGAAUCCUCAACAUAAUCUCGAACAGGUGUGUACAAUCACGUCGGUGCCUUCCCGCGAUCCUCGGAGGUACUUGAAACACAUAUCACAUAGCACGGUAAGCAUAAAGCUUAGUGAGUUCCUCAAAAUACCAUGCACACACAUAAUUAGCCACUCGAGGCUAUCGCUCUGUAAGACCCUCCGGUUAAUGUGUCUUAGCGAGACCCACCAGUCCUACAAAUCGUCAGACCCUCCGGUCCGGUCUAAGUGAGAACCCUCCGGUCUCACUACUCGUUGGACCCUCCGGUCUAGUCUAAGUGAGGACCCUCCGGUCUCAUAGUUCGUUGGACCCUCCGGUCCGGUCUAAGUAUCUCAUAAUAUAGUACACAGUAUAUAUCACACAGAAAUACAUAACUCAAGCAAGCACAUAAGACCCUCUGGUCACACAUAAUGACCACACUAGGUAAGGUAUAAUGAGAAGACUCACCUCCUAAGAACUCGGAUAAUCUCAAACUCAAAUCACAGGUUUAGCCUCCGCCUAAUAUACACAAUAAUUAUCCCUAAUUAAUAACGGCUCUCACAAGGCUGAACUAACCCUUCCAUACACUCACAGAAGGGUAAAAGACCAUUUUACUCCUCCAUGGGCUUAAUAGACCACAUGUUGACCAAACCCUAAAAGUCAACCGAAAGCCAACAGCAAGGAGUACGCUGUGCGUACCAACUCCCUACGUUGGGCAUACUCGGCUGCCAUGCAGGCAUCGUGGAGACUCGACCUCUACGUUGUGCGUACUGGGAUUAUGCCCAGCGUACAUCCUAGUUUCACUCUCCUCACAAUUUUGGUCUUAAACAGUUAAUACAUUGGCUCAUAAUUCAGAUCUGGACUCCCUAAUGUCUCUUAAUCCAUAAAGUUGGUGACUUUAAGCCUUUGCGUGGCUAAAUAGGUCACAAACACUGAAAACUCCCAUCCCCUUUCCUCAUGAAACUCAUAACUCAUGCAUGGCUUACUCCUAAUGUCCAAGAUUAGAUUUUUAUGACUUUACUCCACAAAAUACACUGAAAAGGGAUAGAUCAAGGCCUCUAGAGUGCAUUAUCUCAUAAAGUCUCCAUCUUUUGGGAAAAAACCCUAAAGUAAUUCAUAUGAAUGCACCAAACAAACAAAUGAGAAAGCUUGAAGAUUUAUACCUUUAUGUGAAACCUUCUUCACAGCUAAGCUCAGAUCCAACUCCUGGGGCUCUCACUCCUUCUUCUCUAAAGCUUCCUCUCUACUUCAAGAACACAAGAUUACACCAACAAGCUCUCAAAUGCACUCUCCAGCUAUAAUGACGGAGAUUUAGGGUUAGGAGGGGUUGGUGUUUGGGAAUGGUGGCCAGGAAUGAGGCCAUCAUGUCCUUUAAAUAGUGAGCUCAUUAAAAUUUAGGGUUUCAUUAUGGGCCUAGCAUGCCCAGCGUACCCACUGGUACGUCGCGCGUACUAGGUGGCCUCCACAUCACUAACACGCAUUGGAGUAUGCUGAGCGUACACUCAAGUACGCCCCGAAUACUCGUUUACCACCUUUUCUCUAAUAAGGCCAAAAUGGACAAAUGCUCAAUAGAUCAAGGUUUACAAGGUAUACCUGGACUUGGGAUGUUACAUCGUGUGUGAGUCUCUUGUAGUUCGGGGAAUAUAAUAAGUUGCUUGUAGUGGAUUAAAUAAUCUCAGAGUGGUUGAUUUGAUUCUAUUGCGCAGUUCUCGUCUGAGUCUAACCAUUGCAGGGAUGAAUCUUCUACUCAAAGGAUUAUCUGAGCCUAUUGUCGAGUAUAAGUGUUCUGUAGCUGCAAAUGAUCUGUUUUUUGGUUCCUUUAAAAGCAUUAAGAUAUUGGUUUUAUAGUGGUUCAGAGAGGGGGAGGGGGUGAUCAGCCAGGAAGUCAAAUCAAAUUGAGAUUUCAGGUAUCAGGAAAGGUAAAGGUGGGUUUUUCUGCAAGGGAUUAAGGUUCGUUCUGCUAGGGUUGGUUUCAGUUGCUAUGGGAAGGUGGUAGUAUUAUGGGGUUGUGAAGAUGAGUCCUUAUGGGGACAGUGUUAUCUGGUGCUAUCUGUCAUGGAGUUCGGCAAUGUCCAGGGUUUUCCAGGUUCAAGUUUAAUGGUUAGGGAUCUUCUAUUUUGGAUUUGUCAUCGGUAUGGGUGGGCGGUUAUCUAAGCGGGGUGACUUCCUUAGUCUUUUGGGGUUCAAGGAGUUUAGUCAGGAUCAUCAGUUCGGUACACGAGAUUUUAGGGAAUGAUUUCGAGGAUGAAAUCUAAUUUAAGUGGGGGAGAGUUGUAACAUCUGGAAUUUACAAGAAUAAUUGUGGAAAUAAAUUCCCUUUCUAGGGACCAACACGGCGAGUUGAUCGUGGGAAACUCGACGUAUUGGAGGCUUUUGGGAUGAGCGUUUUUAUAAACCAAUUCAAUGAGUUGGUGAAGGGAACUCGGCGAGUUGGACGCUAAUCGAAAAACCCUAAUUUUUAGGUUGUUGUACCCUAUCUAAAGGCCUUAAGUUCUUUGGUUGGCCUCCUUACCAGCCUCCUCUGUCCAAAAACCCUAAAAUCGAGCCUUAUCUUCCAUUGUUGAGUGUGAAAGCUUGGGGAGAGCCUUGAGAGUUUAUUUUUGGUGCUAGUUGAAGGAGCUAAGGAAUUAGGAGUUCCUUUCCUUGAAGAAGAAAUCUUAGAUCCAGAAUCUCUGCCUCAUUUGCCAAGUUUUUGAGGUAUCAAGUUCUCACCUUGCCUGUUUGUUUCAUAGAUCUCUUCUUGGGUUAGAGUUAAUGCUUUUUAGCCAUGGUUGGGUGGAUUUUGGGGAUUAGGACAUCCCAAACGAUUAUUAUUUCAGAUCUAAGGUAUAUAUGAGCUCUUUUGGCAUAAAGGUGCCAACUUUAUUGAUUUAAGGGCUUCAUAGAGUCAUUAAUUCUUUCAUUUAGCCGUUUUUGAGAUUUUGUGCUCGUCCUAGUCAUGCUUAAGCGUAAAGUUGGAAACUUUACAUGGCCAUCUAGCCUUAUGGGUUCAGAUCUGCAUUAUGGGGUUUUGUCUUUGCUGAUUAAGUGCUUAAUGAUUAAGCUAUCACUCUUUUAAUUCUAAGGUUUGGGUUUGGACCCAUUUAGGUGGUUCCUAGGGGUAAAGUUGGAAACUUUAACCUUCGGGGUCUUAUUUUGGUCAAUAGCUGAGUUUGGAGCUCUUGGAUUCGAUGAAGGUAGCUUAACGCAUUAAGCUGUUGGACUUUUAGAGCUCAUAUCGUGAGUUCGAUCUUAUCCAUCCGCUGAAUCGACUUCUGACAGCCCGACUCUGGAACCCAUCCAUCACUGGCUCACGUCGUGAGCUUCAUGCUCACGUCAUGAGUCCUCUUAUAGUGUGGGGUUGAGUCUUUUACUCGAAGGAUUAUUUGAUCUUUGUUGCGUGUGGCUAUAUUAAUGAGGAAGCUAGUUGACAUUGGUGGGAUUCCUUUAGCAGUUGAGGGUUUGGUGAGGUCGGGAACCUAGGAAAGCCUAGGAUAUGCUUUAGUGGGUUAGUGGUACGGUUUAGUGAGUUUUGGUGCAUUGUGCUGAAGAAGUGACUUAGAGGAUUCGAGAGGAUUACUGAGGAAAGUAUGGAUAGGUGGGCUUUAGAAUGGAACCCAAUUGCUAGUUGGGUGUUAUUGUGAUCUGAUAGCUCGGAGGUGUCGUCAGGGCACUAAUGUCGGCCCAUUUGGUUUAUGUAUUAUAGGAAGACCCAGGGGAUAACCCUGGGCAGUUUGUAUGAAAGACCAGGAGGCGGCUCCUGGCAAACUGUAUGCAAAACCAGAAUCUGAACUGUGGUAGUUAACUAGUUAACUAGUGUAGAUUGUAUGCUAGUUGUCUUUGUGAUGCUUGCAUGGAAGACUCGGAGGUGGCUCAUGGCACUUUUUUGUAAGACCGCAGGUUUUGGCCCCCGCCCUGACAAGGAAGACCACGAGGCGGCUCGUGACAUAAUGGAAAGACUAUGGAUGACACAUAGCACCUUUACUGAUUGUAGUAUAUGUAUGCUAAGUAUGGCUUGUUGAUAUGAAUGUUAUUUAUGGUUCAAUCGGUAUGUUUGGUAUGUGGUAUUUGGGGAACUCAAGAAGCUAUGUGCUUACAUUUUGUGCUUUAUGGUUUCAUGUAAUUCCAUUUUGAAAGGAAAGGGUUCGGCUUAAUCGCAACGCAUACACCCAUGUUUUCCGCAAUGUGUGAUAUUUAGGAAUGAACUCUGAUAAUUGUUUUAUUUUGAAACUCUUCUAGAUGUCGGAUUAAAGGUUAAUGAAUGUUUUGGGCAUAAUAAAAACGAAAUUUUUACCCCUGAUUUUCGGGAUGUUACAACAUUUAUUACCAUUUAUUGACAUUUAAAUUGGCCACGACAUGUUUGAAACCAUUUGUGAUAGCAUAAUUAUCAAAUCAAAUAACUCUAUAUAUUGAGACAAGAGCAAUGUUAUCCAUGUGGAUAAAAUGUAUUUCUAUUUUUUGUAUUUUAAAUUCAUGUAAUACAUGGAACAAAAUUGAAGAUGAUAUUCUAUUUCAUGUUAUUGGUCUCAAUAUCUGACACUUUUAGUAUCUAGUAAAUUUUAAUUUUCAUAUGUAAUAUCUUAAACAAUAAAAUUCUAUAAAAUGACGAUGUAUUUUUUCCAUGUCAAAUGUGAUUUUUUUUUUGUAUCAAAGUAGUGUAUUUUAAAAAGAUAUUUACCAAGUUGGAUUGAGUGACAAGUGGAUUGAGUUAACUGAAAAAAAAAAUUAUUUUUCAUGGGUUAGAAAAGAUGAAAAAAAAAAGUUGAUAUAGAACUCACACCACAUGAAUGAUUUGACACCGUUCUACUCCUACGACCUUUACCCCCAACAUCGAAUUCAUUAUGAUUGUUAGCCUAUCUUACGAGACAGACAUGACCUCCUACUACCAUGUAUACUAAGUCCCACUAUUUAUAACUCUACCCUAUAAAACUCGACGGAGCGCUGGGGUGAAGGGUUACGGGAUCCUUUCCCGCUCACCGGAACANNNNNNNNNNNNNNNNNNNNNNNNNGGGGGGGGGGGGGGGGGAAGGCUGCUGCACUCUCUCUCUCUCUCUUCUUCCUAUUGGCUGGUUUUUUUCCCAAGCGAACUGUUUGAAAUAAAUAACAAAAUUAAUUUUUUUUUCAAUACAACUAUUGAAAAACAACAAUGAAUUUAUAUAUAUAUAAUUUUGUUUUUACCUCUAUAACAUCUAUAAAUAUACACAUACUUUAACCUUUCAAACUCACACCUCCUUCUAUGAAUUUCUCUGUACUUUCUUCAAAAAAAGGAAUCCAUACAACCAAACCCCAAACUUCGAUAGAAGGAAAAAAACCAAUGUUUCAAAUUUAAGCACCCCAACUCGAAACAUUUUUGAUAUCGAUUCAUCUCAAGGGGUUUAUCGUCCACAACUCGAUGCUCACAUUUAAUCUUCACUACAAUCACAAUACCAAAAUAUUAGACAAUUUUACCCGAUGCAAGUUCCAAAUGUUACUCCAAAUAUGCUAUUAAACUUUGUUGUUUUUCCUGAUCAACUUUCGCCAAAUCAACCCCAAACUCAAAUCCCACUCUUUCAAUCUCAAACCCAAACCCAACCUAAGCCCAAACACAAUAUCAACAACAAUACCAAAUCUUCGAUGAGUCGGAUGAAGAGAUUGUACGGGAAACUCAACCCACAACCCCCAACCCCACAAAGUAAAACAACAAGUGAGAGAGGGUUCCAUACAACCGGGACGACAGAAGCCGCAACCAUGGACUAAACGAGAAGAGAUAAUUGGGGUAAAAGCUUGGGUUGACAUUUCAGAUGAUUCAGCGACAGGAAAAUGCACAACCUGAGGAUCAUUUUUGGUUUCACAUUCUUGAGAGGUUUCAUAAGGAGAUGGGAAAAAGUGACGAGUAUCGUACCAAUCAUCAAUUGAAUUCAAAGUUUCGAGAAAUAGCGUGGGCCGUUUCAAAAAUGAGCGGGUGUACAACAACCUAAAAACCUAAUGGAAAAGCAGCCAAGGAGAUGAAGAAAUACUUCAGGAAGUUUUGCAUUUUUUCGAGAGGAAGUGGGAAAGUCAUUCAAGUGCCACGAUUGUUGGAAAAUAUUGAUUAAAAGUCGUAGGUGGAAAAAAUACGAGCAAGAGUUUAUACGUCGAGUACAACAAUCAAAACGAACAAAAAUGAGCUCUAGUGGUUACACAACUUCCUCCGAUGCUCGGGUCGGUCUAGAUUUAAAUGACGAGGACGCACUCGAGCUAGAAGAAAUUGUCCGACCGAUAGGUAGGGACAAAGCAAAAAUGAAGGGAAAUGAGACUUCUUGGGGUGAAUCGAAUUUCAGCAUGGACGCGGACCAAGUGCGAAAAAUGGUGGAGAUAUUUGAUCGAUAUAAUCUUAAUUUUGCUGAAAGUUUUGGCAUUCGACAAAGACAAAGAAGGAGAAAAAAAGAAGGAGAACGCAUAGAAACAAGAAAUGGAGGAGAUGAUGUUAUUGAUGAAAAAUACCGACCAUCUUUCGGGACUAGCUUCGGAGCUCGUUUUGAAAAAAAAAGGUGCGGAUUAUGCAAAAAUAUUUUCCCUAAGAGUGUUGUUUGUUUUUUUUUUCUAGUUAUUUAAAUCUUAGGUUUUUAUGUAAUUUUUAUUAUAAUUAACAAUGGCGGAGUUACUAUAUCAUUAUAAAUAAUAUUUUGUUUCUUAUAAUGAUAAUCUUUCCUAAUAAAUAAAGAACUUUUUGUCACAUGUCAAACUCUCAUUGAUUUGACCACAUGUCAUUUUGUGGUUAUUUUCAAUUAAUUUUUUUUUACACAUGUCAUUUUGGGGUUUUUUCAUUUUAUUAAUUUUCACAUAAUAUUUAAAUGUAAUAAUUACAAUAAAUAUAAUAAUAAAAUGCAUAUCAAUUUUAUUAAUUGACUUCCUUUUAAUUUUAAAAUUUCUAAAUUAAAGUUUCAUUAGUUUCCUUUAUUUAUUUAUCUAAAUUAUUUGUUUAAUUUAAAAGAAAAACAAACAAUUUAAUUUUAAUAAUUAAAUGUUUUUCUAUUGUUUUCUUAUAAAUUCAAACUUGUCAAAUGUUUAAAAUUUUAUAUGUUUUUCUUUAAAAUGAACUCAUGUAAUACAUGAGUGUUACACCUAGUGAUAGAUUAUAUCACGAGUACAAUUCAUUUAAUGAAACAUAUGUACGUAUAAUUAGAGAAAAUUUUUAAUAUUAGCAUGUUAAUCCUCUCUAAAAAAUAAAAAUAAUUUUGCCACAUAUCACUCUUUUAUUAAUUUGGACACAUGUCAUUUUUUGGUAUUUUUGAUUAAAUGUUUUUUCCAUUUGUCAAUUUUUUAUUUUUUAAUAUUUUCUUAAUUAACACAUCAUAUAUACACCUCAAUUAAUAAUUACCUUAAUUGAAAAUAACCAAUAAAUUACAAUAUUAAUAGUCAUAUAGUAUUUAAUAUGUUUCCUUUUAAAUUUAAAUUUUAAAAUUUUAAUUUCAAAUCUAAAAUUUCAAAUUUGAAUAAAAUUUGUUUGAACUUUUAUAUUUAAUUUUUGUUUUAUCAAACUCGUAUAACAUACGGGUCUCACACCUAAUGGAGAAUUAUAAAUCAACGUUUAUUGUCGGUCUAAACUUUUGAAAUGUCAUUUUUGCAAUGAUCGGUAUAACUUCUCCUUAAAGGAAUUUUUAUAGUCAUUUUCUCUUUCAAGAUUGUAGACUCUUUUACAUUAUUUUGAUAAAAGAUAUAUUUGAAUAUAUUUUUACGACGUCGGCUUUCCUUAUUCUUAAAUCCUGGCUCCGUUCCUUUUAAUUAAUGUAGUGGUUUUUAUUUUUAAUUAUAUAUAUAUAUAUAUAUAUUACUUAUUCAUUUAUAAAAUUAUAAAUCAUAAAAUCAAUUAUUUUUACUUAAAAAAGAGUGAUACACCUUUACAAAAUUAUAAACCAUAAAAAUCAAUUAUUUUUACUUAAAAAAUAGUGAAAAAACCUUCCCACAUACACCUUGGUUUCUAACUAAGAAAAAAAAUGUAGGAAAAAGGAUAAAAUGAUAAAGAAAAAUAAUAAAAAAAAAAAUAAAAACCUUCCCGUACCCACCCUCCGGCAUAAGAAGGUGCGUCCCUACGAGUACAAGAUACACAGGUGUAGAUACAUAUGUAAAAAGCUAGUAAUUAACCAACUAAUUAUUAAUUAUUAAAUAAAAUAGGGAUAUAAUAUUAAUGAUAAACACAUUAAAAUAUUCCAAAUGCUCAUGAAGUCAACAUGAGAAAUUAUAUUGCAAUAAAUUUCUUGUUGGGUGAGAAAUUCACAAGUAAAAUUUGUAUAGUAAAUAACAAACCGAAAGUUCCAGAAACAGGUCAAAACUUAAAACCCUAAAUGAGCUUACAAAUUUCCAUUGGCCACAUACCCCACCACAAAGGCACAAACAAUCAAUGAAACAAGUGUAGAUGUAGAGGCCUUUUUCACCACAAUCACCCUUCAUCGGCCAUUUCGAAGGCCACGUGAAAUGUCACUAACGUGGCCCUCUAAAUAUCCACUACUUUGUCUUUAACCCCUCCCCCCUCCCUUAUAAAACACUCCAUCCUCCUCCUUAAUCACCAUCACCAACAACCUUCUCUCCUUCCUCAAAAGUACCACCAUCUUUUCCGACAUGGCAGCUUCUUCAAUCUUCAUGGCAACUCCCAUCACACUCCUCAAAAAAACUCCCACCUUCUCCGUCAAAUGCAUGUCACAAACACCUCAAAGCGGUGAACCGGAGAUUUCAAAAUCAGCAACCACCCCAACACCACCACAGAUCAACAUUCCUCCUCCUCCGCCACCUGCUCCAAAGGUCAGCACGAAAUUCUCUGACGUGUUGGCGUUUAGUGGACCUGCACCGGAGAGGAUCAACGGAAGGUUGGCGAUGAUAGGGUUUGUGUCGGCGAUGGCUGUGGAAGUGAGCAGCGGUCAAGACGUGUUUACCCAGAUCGGCAACGGCGGAGUUGCGGUGUUUGUGGGGACUAGCGUCGUGUUGACGUU